AAGUUGCAUCUUCCAUUACAGCAAUUGCAAAUGAGAAGAUAAAAGCAGAGAAGGAAGCAAAUGCUGGCAAAAAGAAGACAGGUGCGUGUCUUUGCUUAUUUCAUUCUUUGCUAAGAGUAGAAUGUCUCAUGCUUCAUUUUAGUUUUAUUUAUGAUUUUUCAUCCACUUGAAAACCAAAUUAAUGUCCUAUAUGUGAAGAAAAGAAAAGGAAUAAGGAAUUAUAUUGGGUUUGUGUUGAGAAGCAUCAGCCGGAGGCUCUUAGUAUUGUGGAACCGAGAAACUAACGUGUUUAAAAAAUGCCUUUGCGCGUUUGAUUCAGAAAACUUGUUUAGGGUAUUGGUCAAAGCAACCCCUGUGCUUUCUGGUUUAGGUGUAGGUGUCACCAAUAAGUGAAAGCAAUGUGUUAAAAAUGCCUUGCAAGUUUGAUUCAGAAAACUUGUUUAGGGUAUUGGUCAAUGCAGCCCCUGUGCUUUCCGUUUCAGGUGUAGGUGUCACCACCAAGUGAAACUAACAUGUUAAAAAAUGCCUUGCACGUUUGGUUCAGAAGACUUGUUUAGGUUACUGGUCAAAGCAGGCCCUGUGCUUUCCAGUUUAGGUUUAGGUGCCGAAAUAGCUAUGGUUUAUGUAAUCAGAGUUGAAGGUAUGACAAUGCAAUCCACUUUGGAUCUUUGAGUCUCAUACCAAUCAAUUCCUUUCUUUUCCCAUUCUAUCCUUUAAAAAAUAUGUUCAACUGAAAAAAAAAUAAAGAAGAAAUAGAGGAAUUUUGUUAGUGCUAUUUUCGAUACUUAUGUAGAGCAACAUAGUUAUGGCCUUUAUCUUUACCAAGUGGUAUUCGUUUUAAGUCUGAAAAGUAUCCUGCAUCAGAGAGUUAAGGAACCUUGCGAGGGCUUAUAAGUUGGGCUACUCCCCCUGUUGCCAAUUGGUUUUAGGGUGGAACCCCAACUUCCUUUAUGUUAUUCAGAGCAGGUUUGUCCGCUUGUGAAGCCCAACAUACACGUGCCGCACAUCACCCAAUCAAAUUGUCCACGGGUUUGGAACAAAAAAUUUCCACAGCUGUUAAAAGCAAUCUGAAAACCUAAUGUUAAAAAUUGUCUGCGUUAAAAAUUGACCACUUCACCCAUUUUGAGAACUUGUAGUCGAGGGUUGCCUCUGUGUUAGGCUUAACUUCCUUCAUAGAGCCUCAAUACUUGUUCACUACUCCCAGUUAGAAUUAUUUUAGUGUGGAACCAUGAUCUCUUCAUCGAUAAACAUUAAAAAACUUAAAUGUUAGAGAGGUGCACAAAUAUUUGUUGAUGAUAUAGUUUCUCUCGGUGUUUGUUAAUUGCUUUCCUUGUUUUCAGGUGCCAAGAAAAAGCAGCUAAUUGUUGAUAAGGCGGAUGAUGAUAUAGCUGUUGAGGGCUAUGAUCAACUCGAUGAUUAUGAUUUUAUGUGAGUGUUUUGAUGUAGCGAGUUUUUAUCAAAAGGCAGUAAAGGAACACGUAUUUUCAACAUUGAAGUAGGGAGAAAGAUUCUGCGGGCACCCCCUCAACAGAGAUUGAUUGGUACGAGUGUUAUGUAUUUUGUCGAAUAAGAGUUUCAGAUAUCGUUUUUUUUUCCUCAUAUGAUGGUCAAUUUUGUCGGUUACGGAUGCUACAUGCUCUGCAUUUUGCUGCGCAUACUUGAGCUCAUGGGAGUCAUUGGCUUGUCAAAUUUAUGGCUACGGUUGCAAAAGAUUUGCCCUUUAUUCAUCUUGUUCUCCCAUUUGUUUCAUUCACUUCUCUAUAUAAAAUGCUGGAUUUUUAUUUCUCGUGUAAAAUUCCAAAUUCAAUGACCCCUCCUCCUGCAAUUGGGUCGUUAUAGUUACGGGUUGGAUGCCAUUUUGAAACCCUACUUCAUCCCCAGCACCCAAACAAUGCCCAUUUACACCAUGAGCUGCUGCUUACUAGACAAGGGAAACAUUGCCCUUUCAAGUUCAGAUGGCGAUCCAUCAUAAUAUCUUGCCCACCUGAGACAGUUGUUUGUCGCCGUGAUCUACUGAGCUAGCUAUCAUGCAUUUAUGGUGAGUCUGUUAUAGAGAAAGACUUAUACGACACGAGUAUUAGACCUGUCAAUGGAUCAGAUUUUGAACUGGAUCCAAUCCGAAUCAAAUGAAAUUAAAAGGACAUGGAUCGAUACUUAUUUUUAUUAUCUGAAUUAGUUUGAAUCUGAUUUUAAAUGGAUGUGGAUAUGGGUUAAGGUUGAUACGAUUCGAUCCAACCUGUUAACAUGUCUAAUGAGUACACUUCCAAGGUGGUGUUAGGUGCCAAUAAAAUAAAGACGUGGAAGUUUUUUUGGCCAAAUUUCAUUGUUUCAUUAGCGCAGAACAUCAUGUGGCGAUGUGUACUUGUUCCCUAAAAGUUGUUCUCCGUCAGAAGGUCGGCCUUGCGUGAUUAUGCUAAAGCUACACCUGUCUUGCUUGCCUUCCCAUUGGGUAUCUGAGUUGUAGCAUGUCAUUCCAGCACAUAGGAAUGCGUAUUCCUGCUAUCGAUUGAUCUCCCAAAAGAGGGGUUUCUUUCUUAUGUUACUAUCGUCGUUGUGGAAAGAGAGGAAUAAUCCCUCUUAUGACAAAGAGGGGAAUAAUCUCUUAUGGCUUGGGGAUUACGGUGAAACGAGCCUUGCUCUCCUGCGCAUUAUUCCACAUAAAAAAACAAAAAACGACAGUUCCGUUCACCCGUGAAAUGCGCGGGAGAGAAUUUCUGAAAAUUUCCUCUUAAGUAAGUAUUCCGUCUUAUCAUCCAUGAAACUUAUGUCAAAGAUUCCAAGAUUCUGUCCGACUGCUACUCUCAUUGAUGUGUUAGAAAAAGCGGUCUCAAUCUCAUGCCGUAGAGGGUGGUUUAGAAAAAGUGCUCAUGCCGUAGAGGGUGGUUUAGAAAAAGUGCUCAUGUCGUAGAGGAUGGUUUAGAAAAAGUGAGGCUCUCUAGUGUAUAUAGCUAGCACUACUCUGGAUGGUUCAUUGCUCGUACACAUCACCUACUUCAUACACUAAAACUUCAUGGAGAGAAGCAUGAGAGUUGUUUUACUACUAAUCAGGGUUCUUGCUAUUGCAACCAUUACUUUCAGUAUUGGUUUAUGCAAUGGAAUACCCGGUUGGCCUCCGCUUUGCAAAGAAAGCGAAAGACAAGCACUUCUGAUGUUCAAGCAAGAUCUCGAGGACCCUGCCAAUCGACUUUCUUCGUGGGUUGCAGAAGAAGGUUCAGACUGUUGCAGUUGGACAGGAGUUGUCUGUGAUCACAUAACCGGCCACAUUCACGAGCUGCACCUUAAUAGUUCCGACUCUGAUUGGGAUUUCAACCGUUCCUUCGGUGGUAAGAUAAAUUCUUCUUUGCUCGGUUUAAAGCAUCUCAACUACUUGGACUUGAGUAACAAUUAUUUCAGUACAACACAAAUUCCUAGUUUCUUUGGUUCUAUGACAAGUUUAACACACCUUAAUCUUGGAGACUCAUCGUUUGAUGGAGUAAUUCCUCAUCAACUAGGAAAUCUGUCCAGUCUACGCUAUCUCAAUCUCAGUAGUUACAUUCUGAAGGUUGAGAACCUUCAGUGGAUUUCUGGUCUUUCUCUGCUAAAACAGUUGGACUUGAGUUUUGUAAAUCUUAGCAAAGCAUCUGACUGGUUGCAAGUUACAAACAUGCUUCCUUGUUUGGUACAGUUAAUUAUGUCCGAUUGUGUACUUCAUCAUCCUCCCCCUCUACCCACCAUAAAUUUUACUUCCCUGGUCGUCCUUGACCUUUCUUACAACAGUUUUAAUUCUUUGAUGCCGAGAUGGGUUUUCAAUAUUAAAAAUCUAGUUUCUCUUCGUCUCACUGGUUGUGAUUUCCAAGGUCCAAUUCCUGGUAUUUCACAGAAUAUCACAUCUUUGAGGGAAAUUGAUUUGUCAUUCAAUUCUAUUAAUCUUGAUCCGGAUCCCAAAUGGUUGUUUAACCAAAAAAUCCUUGAAUUGAAUCUAGAAGCCAAUCAACUUUCAGGCCAACUUCCAAGCAGUAUUCAAAAUAUGACUUGUCUUAAAGUUCUUAAUCUCAGGGAGAACGACUUCAAUUCUACCAUAUCUGAAUGGUUGUAUAGCUUGAACAAUCUCGAGUCCUUACUUCUUUCUCACAAUGCCUUACGUGGUGAAAUAUCGAGUUCCAUUGGAAACCUUAAAAGUUUAAGGCACUUUGAUCUUUCAAGUAAUUCAAUAUCAGGUUCCAUUCCAAUGUCCCUAGGAAACCUGUCAAGCUUAGUAGAACUAGACAUAUCUGGUAAUCAGUUUAAAGGAACUUUCAUAGAAGUUAUUGGGAAACUCAAAUUGCUAGCAUAUCUGGAUAUAUCUUAUAAUUCGUUUGAGGGUAUGGUGUCGGAAGUUUCUUUUAGUAACCUUACAAAAUUGAAGCAUUUCAUUGCAAAAGGAAACUCAUUUACUCUGAACACCAGUCGAGAUUGGCUUCAUCCUUUUCAACUUGAAAGUUUACGAUUGGAUUCAUGGCAUCUGGGACCUGAAUGGCCAAUGUGGCUUCGGACACAAACACAGUUAACGGAUCUAAGCUUAUCUGGUACAGGAAUUUCAAGUACUAUUCCAACUUGGUUUUGGAACUUAACAUUCCAAUUAGGUUAUCUAAAUCUCUCUCACAAUCAAUUGUACGGGGAGAUUCAAAAUAUAGUUGUUGCUCCUUAUUCAGUAGUUGAUCUUGGUUCUAACCAAUUCACUGGUGCAUUGCCUAUUGUUCCCACCUCAUUAGCUUGGCUAGAUCUUUCCAAUUCAUCAUUUUCUGGAUCCGUUUUCCACUUCUUCUGUGAUAGGCCGGAAGAAGCAAAGCAACUUUCUAUUCUUCAUCUCGGGAACAAUCUUCUCACUGGAAAAGUACCCGACUGUUGGAGGAGUUGGCAAUACUUGGCAGCCCUAAAUUUAGAAAACAAUCUUCUCACUGGAAAUGUCCCAAUGUCUAUGAGAUACUUGCAACAGUUGGAAUCGCUGCACUUGCGCAAUAAUCACCUGUACGGAGAAUUGCCACAUUCCCUACAAAACUGUUCCUCGUUGUCAGUUGUUGACCUUGGUGGAAAUGGGUUUGUCGGAAGCAUACCAAUAUGGAUGGGGAAAAGCCUUUCAAGGUUGAACGUUCUUAACCUUCGUUCGAAUGAGUUUGAAGGAGACAUUCCUUCUGAAAUUUGUCAUUUGAAAAAUCUCCAGAUAUUGGACCUUGCACGUAAUAAACUCUCUGGAACGAUACCGAGAUGCUUCCACAAUUUGAGCGCCAUGGCUACUUUGUCAGAAUCAUUUUCGUCAAUCACGUUUAUGAUUAGUACUUCUGUUGAGGCUUCUGUAGUGGUAACGAAAGGGAUAGAAGUGGAAUAUACCGAGAUUCUGGGAUUCGUAAAAGGCAUGGAUCUUUCAUGCAACUUUAUGUAUGGAGAGAUCCCUGAAGAACUUACCGACCUCCUCGCAUUGCAGUCACUCAAUUUAUCGCAUAACCGCUUCACCGGAAGAGUUCCUUCAAAGAUUGGUAAUAUGGCAAUGUUAGAAUCUCUCGAUUUUUCCAUGAACCAACUUGACGGUGAAAUUCCUCCAAGCAUGACGAAUUUGACAUUUCUGAGUCACUUAAACUUGUCCUACAACAAUUUGACGGGACGAAUUCCGAAAAGCACUCAGCUGCAGAGCCUUGAUCAGUCUAGCUUCGUCGGCAACGAACUAUGCGGAGCUCCACUCAACAAGAAUUGCAGCGCAAAUGGGGUGAUACCGCCACCAACAGUUGAGCAAGACGGAGGAGGAGGAUACCGUUUACUCGAAGACGAGUGGUUCUACGUGAAUUUGGCAGUUGGAUUCUUCACGGGGUUUUGGAUUGUGCUUGGUUCUUUGCUGGUAAACAUGCCAUGGAGCAUUCUUCUUUCACAGUUGCAGAAUAGGAUGGUGCUUAAAAUGUAUCAUGUAAUUGUUAAAUAUGUUUAGGUCUAUAUGACGAAUAUGCCAGUAUGGUUGUGUUGUAUGAUUUUGUCAAAUUUCAUCCUCUUGUUUCAUUGUAUUUUUCUUCUUUUCUUGGCAUUAUGAGGGGUAAGGUUUAUGUCCUCCCUGACUAGGUGUAACUUUUUUUUUCGUUAUCAAUAAAAUAUCCCUCGUAUCAUCAAGGUUUUCUUAAAAAAAAAAUAAAAAUUAUCCCAUAUAAAAUUAAAAGACUUGUUUUCUGAACAAGUAACUUUUCAUUCAGCAGAAGUAAAUUGAAUGACAGUAACUCGUAUCCUCGAUCUUUCUUUUGUUCUCUCUCCUCUCUCCCCUUCUCCUUCGCAGCACUACUACUCUCUCGUCUUCGUACUAAUUCACGUAACACCUCUCUCUCUUCUUCGUACUAAUACAAGAAGAAGGGUGGCUCAAGGUCAAUUUUGAUGGAGGUUUCCAAGAUGUUAAGGAGCAUUUGGUAUGCUCCUAAGACAAUGCAAUGGGGGUUCUCUUGCUGCUGCAACAGGCGCUGUCACACGAGUUGCUUCCCGAACUCGUAGCUUUGGCUGCUAGGAGGGGGCAACCCCAGCUUCUUCGCGAGGGUACUUCUUGGUGCAGAUUAAGAGUUCCCAGAUAUCGUUCCAUGACAAUUUUAAACACUCGAUUAAAUUGCUUCCAUGGCAGUCAUCUCGGCUAGAAAGGUUUCUCUUUUAAAAUGUAAGACUUCUCAGCUGUCGAAGAAGAAGUUCUACAAUGAAAUUGAUUCAACAUCUACUACUAGAAAGAAGCUGAGGUUCGAUUUACAUGGCGAGUCAACAACUGGCUUCAUCUGCACAGUAUACACCAAAAACUGAACCCUUGCGAGACAGCUCCAUUUCAAGAAGAAUUCAGCUCUUGCCGAAAAACCAUAUGCACAAAAAGAAUCCAUCGAUUUCAGAUGGUGGUGAACUUACACUCUGGUCGGUCAUCAGCUUCAAUUCGAUCUUGUUGGCAAAGUGCAUACUCUGGUCGGUCAUCAGCUUCAACUUUCGGUCAGGAGUUGCAAAAUUAAGGUAAAGUCCUAACCUGCGAGAUUCAAUCAAAUCUAGUUAACAAAAGAAAAUGACCAUUAAAUUCAAUUGCCGCCCCAAGAGUGCAAAUUUCACUUAAGAACGAGCCACAAUGUUUUACACAAACAGAAUGAAAAGCUUUUUACACACGUUUAAGUGGUCACACAACUGAUAACUACCGAUAAUCAAAAUAGAUACGAUGGUAGAUACUACCCUUUCUGGAAAGAAAAACAAAAUUCCGAUCAGUUUUACCAAACUGAACAGAAAAAAAUUAAUAAAUGCUACCCCUUGGAUAAGUAACCAAAUUCUAGUUGUCUUUACUGAAAUGGAACAGAGAAAAGCAAUCGAGACUCAAUUCAAGGCUUUAGGAAAGGUAGUUUGUAGGCAGUUUUGGGGAUCAGUUAGAUGGAGCGUAACAGAACUUUGAGAACUAAAAUGGGGUUGGGAUGGAUUUACUUUGGACAGUCAGAUUCUCGUUAGUUCGUUGAGGCUCCAGUUACGAAUACAAUGUCAUCAAUUAUGUUGGACUGGGUUGCUGUGCUGAAGUGACUUGUGUUAGUUCAUUUCAAUUCUGAUUGAUAUGUUCUUUCUUGUAAGUUGAAUGUGGAGUUAUUCCUGUGCUUCUGAUUUGAAUCGAAAAUUUAGGAUCUAAGAAAGUACCUGAUUAUGAAAGCAAAGUAGGAAGUCAAUCUGCUUAAAGAUGGACUAACUCCACGGUUGUGACAAAGAAACAUUUGGAGUGGAUGCGUUUAGUCCUUGUUUGUAAUGUAUAGCAGCUUUCAGCACAUUGUAAUGUUCAGUAACGAUACCGUACAGAGCUUGUGUGUAUACCUCCCUCGCCUGCAACAUAGAACAGCCAGAAUACUUAGAAACAAGAUAAAAGAAAAACAAUGAAGUUAAAAAAAAAAAAAACAUUUAGAGUAGAUGUCAAUUUUGCACCCUGAACUUUGACUGAUGUGGCACUUUGGUCCCUCAACUUCAAAACGUUUGGUCCCCAUAGUAUGUGUCUCAGUUAAGCCCGUUUCGAAAGUUUUGAAGUCCAGCAACCAGAGUCAACAAAACUCAAAAUUCAGGGGAUAAGGGUGAAAUUUACUCUUAACAAUUAGAAAUCAAUGGAAAUGACUUUCCCAGUCCUUGAACAUUAGCUUUCAAAACUUUUUCUCGUAUGAAUGAACAUUAUAUAUCUAUAUAGUAUACCCCUACACUAAACUACUUUUGCAUACAGUUUCACAUAAUUGUUGACCAAGGAAAAGACUGUAUUAGUUAAAUGCCAAUGUUCAUACAAUAGGCGGACCUAGUUCUUCCACAUGAUUCAGCAGUUUAUCAAACGGUAUCAUGACAUGAUUUAAAAUGCAAUGCUAAGUCUCAGAUCCAGAACAUAAUUACACAUGAGCUUUCAUUGCAGAAUAAUGUAAAGAUCCGAAAGAAUACAACAGGAGCCGUCCAAAUCAAUCAGGAAGUUGAAAGACAUUGUUUAGAGAACCAACCUCUUCAGAAUUUUGACAGGAAGCAGUAAUAUCAGAGAAGGUGAUUUCUGGUGCAACCGAUAAUCCAGUACCAUGGAAGGAGAUCAUUCUCCUUUCUCCAAUUUCUUUUUCUACCUGGAAAACAAUUGUGUCACUAAUGCGGAAAAGUAGCACUACAGUAACCACCAAAACAGAGCUGACGAACCUGGGGUGGAGGGGGCAUGAUGUUGUGACACAACAAUGCUAAGGGAUAUAUAUGCCCUGGCGCAGCAGAAUGUUCACCAAGCCUUCUUAGAUUGUCCAGUGAAGCAGCAUCAAAAGGUGCCUGACCAACUUAUAUCAGUAUGAAGUUUGAAUCAUGAAGACAACACUUACACUUAUGUCUACGUGUUCGCAUGUAUGUUAGACUUGUUAGUAUGAAGUCAUUGCACCACCAACUCGAAAUCAAGAUAGGUGGAUGCUUAUCUAUAUUGGUAAAUUCUUGGUUAUAGUGGAACACUAUGUCAACGUGAUCUCAAAUUGUAGCCAAUCUUCGUUUUAUGGAAGCCCAACUCCUCAAUUAGAAUACAACCAAGUUGAGGUCAAAUUUAGUAAAUGCUUAAAACAGUAAUUUAUUUCAACAGACACAAAAUGGAAUAUAUUUAGAAAUCAUCCUCAAUCUAUUUAUGAUUUCCUCUAGAGCUAUUGAGUCCCUAUUCUAUCCAUGAUGAAUUUAGAACUCCUUUGAUUUUACACCUACGCUGUCAGGUUUGCUUGACCUAAAUUCACAAGUACAACUAGAACAUAUAGAUGCAACUUUAAGACCCCUUAUGUGGCAACCCUAGAGAGACAAUUGCAAGAUAAAAAUCAUCAUCAGAACAUUGAAUCUCCUAUACAGAUCAAAACAUUUAACAAAAAGAAAGCUCGAAAAAUAAAAAAUAUUAAACAUCGACAAUGAAAAUACAUGAUUUCCUUCUCAAUCUUCUCAUACAUGAUGAAGUUGAAAGAGCUUACUGGGUACCAUUCUCCUGUUGCAGGAUCUGGCCGGUCCCUGCCACCACUAGGUGCAAUCCAUACAAUCUGUGACCCGCCCCUAUAAAAACAUGUUAAAUUAGAAGGCUGUAUUAAGAAAACAGAGGUAAACAAAUUCACCACAUUAAAAGAGUAAGUUUUUUAAGAAAAGAAAAUUGUUAAAUUUUAAUGCCCUUCUUGAUCUAGCUUUUCGAUGGAUUAUGAUGUUAUGCAAACAGCUUGGAUGAUGAUAUGUGAGUAAACGGAAACAAUAAACUAAACACCGCCUCACAUAAUCACAAGAAAAAUUGUUAUCGAGAUGGCUAACUUUUCCUACGUCCCUGUGUGAUCUGUCUUGAGAGAAUCACUUGCACUAUCAAGAAGAAUAAUUUAUUACAAAAAAUUUCGGAAAUUCCUAUGCUAAUCCCCAAGCCCUAGCUUUCGUUCUCUCUAUCACUCUCUUUAGUUCUCUACCCCUUGUGUGCUCGCUAUAUUUUAAGAACUCUUAUCAAGACUAUUUACAGAUAAUAGGUUGUGGGUUAGAAGAAACCUAAUCUGAAAUCACUUAGGAUAGAGAAGAAAAACUGAUUUUCUCAUUCUAGUAGGAAUCUAGCAUGCACUGAUUUUCUAAUUCUAGUAGGAAUCUAGCAUGUGUCCUAGAAAAAAAAUACAAGAACAAAUAGAGAUAAAGAAACUCAACUUGACCUUUUUUUCUUAAAGAGACACAAAUUUUAUUGCAGAAAACUACAUAAAGAGUGGACAGUCCACUAAUAUUGUGAUUAAAUGCAUAUUAUUCCUUUACCAGUAAUUGAAAUUAGAGAGAUCAUCCCCCACCCUGAUUAGCAAACCUACCACCAGCGAAGACCUAAAGGUAAGCAUUUGUUACAAUGUUGAACCUUCAGGCCUAAUUUGGUCUCGAGGACUAGUUUGGAUUGGAAAACUCGCUAGGUUCAUGAAUGUUGAAUAAAGAAAUAGGUGACGACUUGCAUAUUGUACAAGUUGAAAGGUACAAGAUGGAUUUGUAAAGAAGUAAACUUAUCCCUUCAAAUCCCCACAUAAAGGGUAGAAUUGGGAAUGAGAAGUUUCAUUCAUAACUAAUGCGACUUCUACCUUCAAUUUCGACAAGCUUUACAAGUUGGCAUCCAUUUCUUCCUUCAACAUACAUGGAAUCUAGUGAGAUUUCCAAUCCUAGGCACAAACGAGCCCUUGCUCUCUCAGUCUAGCACCUAAAACGAAUUGUUUUUCAGUUUUAACAGUAUCCUCGACUCAAAGUAUGACAAGUACUCCAUUUUGAGUUGACAUACUAGUAUAAAAAUCCGAGUAGGUGUUGAUUAAGUACUAGAAGGAUGAAUGAAAUAAGAAAAAGAGGAGCACUUCCUUGAGUUGCUACGCAUUUUUUAUGCAACAAGUAAAAUCAAAUUUCCAUGUCCAUUAGCACAAGAAAGAUGAAUGGAGAAAAAAGGGUGAGUGCUUCCUUGACUUGUUAACUUGAUAUGCAUUUUUGUACGCUAACAAGGAAAAUCAGCUUAGCUCCUUUAUCACCAGUUUGUUCCUAGCUAUCACAACAAGAAGAUUCACUUCAAACAAAUUGGUUAGUUCUGAGAUGUGUAGUGCUUAAUAGGGUUCAAUGAGACAAGAAAUGAGCAAGAUGUAAGAGCAAAUACAACAACACCAACAAAGCCUUAUCCCACUAAUAGUGGUCGGCUGUAAGAAUCCUAGAACACCAUUGUGCUCGGUUUUGCACCAAAUCUUCCAAAAGGUAAGAGCAAAUAAAACAGAGAAAAUAUAUGAAAGAGGGAGAAAUAAGGAUUGUCCAAGAACACAAAAACAAUGCAAAAAAUAAAAAGGAAAAAAAUCUUUCUGCACAGGACCUGACAUGGUAGUAACACCGUCGGACCUUGAUAAGCAGAAAUAAGAAGAGCCGCCAAUAAAAUCAAACCAACUUUGACAACGCAUAGACAAACAAAAUAAUUGAGGUACCUCAAUAGCACUGCCAUUUCCUUCAAACUCCGUGUGUUUGCUUUUCUUUUCAUAUCAACAAGCUCAGGAACAUCAUUCAUGUGCUUUUUGGAGUAUACACAUAUCAGAUUCCUGUAAGAAUAUUAAAACAACAAAUGAUGAGAAUUUCAUCAUUUAACUAAUCAAAGCACAGAGGUGCAUACUAAUUGCAUAACAUUAUCCCACAAUUCACAAGUACCUCCCCAUGCUGAAAGGCUUACAAAGAGGAUCUGUCAAAACCCUAUCUCCUGCUAUGUAGGUCUGCAGUACAAAACUACAAAGUCUAAAAUUUGGUUAUGCAAAUAGGUGUAAGUGCACAAAAUAGCGUAUGCAUCCAAUGUACACUUAGAAUGAAGACAGAACAUUGCAAUUCACCAUUUUCUCAGCGAGAUGUGGGUUUGUUGAUUCAAGCAACAAGGCAAUGACAGCUGGAUCUGCUUCAGUUUGGUGGUUUGAUAUCAAAAAGAUGUUGUGACCCUGCAUGCAUAAUCCAAUUGCAUUACAUCACGAGUCACGUCCAUGUGUAAACUAAUCAAGAUGAUAUGGCAUCUGCAUAGUGCAUACCACAGUACCAAUAAAAUCAUACCACGAAAAGAAUUGAGACAACUACUGGUCAACUAUAAAUGUGAUAUACAGCACCAAUACAAAGUUAUUGCACUGUAUUGCAUUCUACUGAAAAACAGUUACUAUUUUGAUAGCCCAUGCAAGAAACUGACUGGUAGGAACCCUUCAGACCAUCACUCCUUAUCAGUUCUCUGACAUUGUUUUCUAAAGUACUUAAACAUAUAUAUGUCCAAACCUAAACUUGAACUGCCAAACAUGCAAAUACAUCACCUUUAUAUCGGAGGCCACUAUAUAACUUUGUAAGUUGUAACAACAAAACAAGGAGGAAGUUUAGUCUAACUUUGCUUCUAGAAAGUAAGUGUUUCACAAUUCAGCUAUGUAUAGUUGUUAACCCCACAAAGAAAAUAAGCUGAAUACUGAGAAUACGCACCUGCUGAAGCUUCUCUUCAAUUUCAUAGAAAAUGGAAUGGUUGCCAACAUAUGAGUUUCUGCACAAAUAAGCAUCAGAAUUUAGGAUUAGAACUCAUAUUCACGUGAAUAUAAGAAAGUAAGAACUAGCACACAUGAAAGAAAAUGUGAUUUGCCAGCAUUUUUUUUGUUUCUUCGUGUGAGUAUUCUCUGUUAACAAGUUUUUGAAAAAUCUUUUUUCUAAUAAUUGGACACACAUGGUAACACUGCAUUACUCUAGUCCAUAAUAAUACUGUAGUGUAGAUUUAUUUCAAAAUUCAGUCAAGAAUUCAGGAAAAAAACUACAAAACGAAUGGUUAUAAAUUCCAUUUUAUAUUUACUUCAUUAAACAAGUCAGAAAAGGGCAAAGAAAUGAAGACGCAUCUAAAUUAAAUUGAUCUUUACAUUUUUGUAUCGAUGAUUAAAAAUCAGAAUAUUUAAAAUUCCCAAGACAACUAUUCUAUAAAAGAAAUUCUCUUAUAAAUCAAAAUAAAUGAUUUUAAUCUCAUGCUGAAUGAUCCAAUGAAAGCAUGUCAGAUGGACAAAUCACCCAUGACCCUGUCAGUUUUAAGGCUCCAAUGAACUUCAUGAAAUAAUGCAUAGUACAUACAUUCAUUUUUAGGAAAACUAAUGAAAAGGGCUUGAAAACUGAGUUUUAACGAUAAGGACAAAAUAAAGGGUAAAGUGAAUAGUAGCAGGUUUGACUUUUUAAUGUAAAAAUGUGGUUUUUCGUUAAAGUGAACAGUACCUUGGGCUUUUUGUUAAAACUCCCUUCAUUUUUAGCAAAAAUAGACAACAAGAAUAAAUGCAUCAUCUUUCAGUUUAUAUACAUCAAAGUAGCUGAUGAAGAUGGUAAAAAGGAUAGAAGUUGUCAAGAUACCUGAAAUCAACUAAAGGACGAAUAUAGUUUUGACCAAACAUGUAGUAAUCAAAAGGCUCUCGCAUUGCCUUGUGAUAUGGUGAGAAGAUAAAUGGAUCCUGAAAAAUUAUUGAUCUAUCACAUAGACAAAAAAAUAAAAAAAAUAAAACAAGUAUACAAGAAAACAAACAAUAAUUUGGUUUCCUAGUGUUACACACAUCAGCAACUAAGGCAACUGUAUGAUAACGCAUAUAAAACCCAGUAUUACCUCUAUAUCCAAGAAUACACGAUCCAACACAGCAGUCAUAUUUGACAACACAAUCUCAUCUGCCUUGGGAUUUCCGCUUUGAAGAAUCUGAAUAAUGAUAGCAUAGGAUUAUGAAAAAAAGAAAACGAGUUUCUUAUCACUUAGAUUUAAUUACUUCCAGGACAUCUAACGCAUACAAGCCAUCCAUAUACGAUCUAAUAAUUGAACAAGAAGUCCUCAAACCUCUAUACGGAAUAUCAAAUCCAGAUAUUAAAAAACACUAAAAAAUCAAAGCCGAUUGGCAUGUACUUGAAUCUAAUAAUUAAAGCAGGCUGUGAUCUCACUCUCCUGAAGCUACCCAUAUAAUUACAGCCACACGUUACUGACAGAUUAUUGACAUUUAAGGAACACAUUAUUUCAUGUCCGCUAAUUAAGGAAAAAAAGGCUAAACUUGGCAUCUACGUGUAUAUAUAUAUAUAUAUAGACCCACACACACACAUACACAUACACACACACACACACACACACACACACACUAGUAUAUAGAGAUAUAUAUAUAUAUAUAUAUAUAUAUAUAUGUAUGUAUAUAUAAAGUCCACUUUAGUCAAGAAGAAUCCAUACACAAUGAGUUAACCAGUGAAGCAUAACAAAGAUAAGCUUCAAACUUAAGAAAGUUUACAUUGAUUAUUAUGGAAGCUUGUAAUAAAAUAACCAUGAAACAAGUUCUAGAUCCAUACACAAUGGCCACAUUGUGGCUAUUUGAUCGUGUAAGCACAACAUGUAAAUGGUUCGGAUUUCUGAUAAAAAAUGUCACAUUUUCUUUUUGACCUUAAACAACUAAGGCACAUUAAUCGCGUGCUAGCUUGUGAUUGACUUUUUGUUAUUCUUUUAGUUACUCACAAUUUGUAAGUACCAUGGUCACAUUAAGUAGUCGUAACUAAAGAUUCGAUCCUACUCAAUUGGUAUCAAUAUUUCUAGUAAAAAUGUAGGCCUUGAACCACAAAAUAUCUAUCUCAAAGAAUUCUAAUUCCUACUCAUCAGCAAAGCCAAGCAUAGGAUAUAUGUAAUUAACAAUAUAUUUAGCAAGUUGAAAGAUAUUCCUAGUUCAUAAGGAAAAGGAAGUUUAAAAUUGUAUGAAUUUAUGAAAUUUUAUUGCCAGUUUUGUCGUCUCUAAAUAAUAUGGCUACAGCAGUAUAUACUAAAAUCUCUUCUAUUUUGAGAAGAAAAUACUAAAGCUUCUUCGUUUGGCAAUUUUGAAUGCCAAAACCGUUGAAAUAAAUUAAAUUUACAGAUGCACGCAUCUGUACACAAAUUGCUUUUAGAUGAGACUCGAACCAAAACGUUUACAGAUAUAAAGUAAAUUCAAAAUAAAAUAUCAGAAGCAGAUCUAACUAUGUACAGUAAAAUACAAGAUUAAGAAUUUUACAGCAUUUUUAUAAUUCUGAUAUAAUUCUUCCAUUCCUGAAGCAACAGUUGAGGGAAGCCUGCCAGCUUCUGUUUCCUUCCUUAUUGCAGACAGCAGCUCUACAGAUGAACAUUUCAAACAAGUCAAGAAAACUAGCAUCAAUAAACAGGAGAACAUUAAUAAAGUAAAGAAAAGCUGCUUAGAAAGGAGAUUUUUUUUUUUUUUUUUUCAUUAAGAAAGCUGCAGUUAAUGACAAACUAGCUCUAGGUCUAGUGGCAAUUUCUUUCCAGUGUUGACAAAGAUUUUCAAGUUUAUGUUCAAUGGAAACAUAAAACAAUAUAGAUGAAUUAUUUAACUACAAUACAAGGAUACAAGAAAAACAAAAAUAUAACCUUCAAGGAACCUGAAUAAGAAGACACAGAACAUUUGAAUUACAUAUCAGAGCAUGCAAUCAAUGACAUCGGAGGUUAUGCUUACAAAACGGUUAGUAAAAAUAAUGAGAGGAGUGGAAGAAAGAAAAAGAGAGAAAAUGAGUCAGUUGGGACCAUAGUCCCAGUGAUACUGCACUGUAAAUUUGAGGACAUUCUUAGGCUAUUAGGAGUUAGACUGUAUCCUGAUGGUCGCACUAAUAGGAAGGACUCAAAGACUAUCCAACCACAGGGUUCAGAUGUCCAACAAGCCAAUCAAAUAGCUAUGAAUUUGAACAAGAUUUGAAGCUUGCAUAUACUACAAACCUCUGCUCCAAAUAUUUGAAGCAAGAAGCCCAACUUUUGGCGACCAUAAUUAUAAGGGUUAUUAUGAGCAAUGGUCCCUGAACUUGUCCAUAGUUACAAUUUAGUCCUCCAACCCUUUUUUAGUUCAUGUGGUCCUUCAACUUGACCACCUCUUGCAACACUGGUCCUAUCCGUCACCAUGUACCAUAUUCUGUCUAUUUAAUCUAUGUUUUGUCAAAUAGUAUCUGUCUUUCCUUUUGUUUGUUGUUUCUCUUUUGGUUUGCAUGGUGGGGAAUAAAUAUAGGAAUUUUACGAUGGGUGUGAACAACAAUAAGGUAGGGCCACUAGACAGGUCUUUCAGUGAAAAUCCAUCCUAAACCAAGCAAAAAGUGCUCUUAAUGUAGCUUAUCAAAUGUUAAUAAUGCAUACCCUGCAAAAAUUGUACCUACAUGAAACGCAAUCCCAUGAUGAGAAAGCCAACCAUAUGAUGCAUCCAUGUUCAGUUUCAAGUCCUUUUUGCACGAUUCUUGAAUCAUUCGAAAUUUAUAUUGUUACUGAACCCAUUUCGUUAUGGUAGCAUGGAUUGAUGGGUAUCCACCUACCAUGGACUUGGAACGGAUGAAGCUGUUGAGUAAGUAGAUCUUAUCAUGAUAACUAGUCUAAAAAAAAUCUGGCUUCCACAGGCACAUACUUGAAACAAUGGAUUUGACGCGUACAAUCUAUAAAAAAGAUACAGAAAGGGUGAAUAACACAAAAACAAGGAGCAAUAACCAUUGAACAACUUCGACGUGUUGACAACUCAUACCUAAUGAAACCAAUACUUUUUAAUAAAUUUGUAUAAGGAAAUAAGGUAUUCAAAGUAUGAUGUACUUUUAGGUUCAUAAUCAGAGUCUAUUGACUUGUCAUAACUUUCACUGUUCUUCAUUUGUUCUCUGUUUUGUUUGUUCUUUGAAUACACUAGGUAGGUUGCUUUUCGAAAAUGGACAAUUUUGUUAAUGAUUUUUUACUCAUUUCAAAAUACAGCGGUUUUCCUUAAAACAUAAUAUCUUUAGAGAAGGCUUAAAAACAUAAUUCAAAAUAUACUUUAUAUGCGUAUACAUUUGGGGAAAGAAUUACUCAGAAGUUAUAACCUUAAAGUAACAACUAUAUCCCAUAAAAUACCUUCCAUCCUUGUCCUUAUUCUCUAUCUUGUCCGAUCUUGUGAUCAUUUUGGUUUACAGCACCAUACAUAACUACAACCACUAAUAUAUACAGAUACAAGUCUCAUAACCAACCCCUGGCUACAGUGUCAUGCCCUAGUACAUAGUGCUACAAUUACAGACUGUACAUCCUUAUGAAAGAAUACAUGCCCAACAAGAAUCGGUUUCCUUUACAUAAAUAGGAACUUCAACCUGAACUUUUUUGUCAACAUUUCCUUCAAAUUGAAAACAAGUUAUCAUGACAUUCCACUCAUUUAACGAUAGGAUUGGUUUCAAAGAAAUCAAUGGAUAUUUGAAAAUACUAGGGGGCUUCUGUAUCGACCAUUUCACUAGAUUGGAAGGCUGCAGUGUCAAUCAAAUUUGAAACUUUCAUCACUUCCAAGUUUAGAGAAGAAAAUUCUUUUGACAAAUAACUGAAAUACUCCUCUCUUUCUAGCAAAUUUAAAAGGAAAAUCAAGAAAGGCAACAUUUCAACUCCAAGAAAAAAAAAAAAGUAUGAGCAUUCACUUUCUUGCAUUUUCUGAGGAGCCAAACAGACAAAAUGCGAAGAGCUCUCACCAUAGAAAUUUAAGUCGGCCACGAAAAUAAAAUUGAGGACCAAUUUCAAUUCAAGAAAGGCAAAAUUUCAAUUCAAGAAAAAAACUAUUAGCUUUCUUGCAUUUUCUGAGGAACCAAACAGAGAAAAUGGCGAAGAGCUCACACCUUGUUCAGUGGUCGCGUUGAGAAAGGUGCGAGAAUGGUUAGUCUCCCUCUUCUCUGCACACUGAAUGGGCGACAAAGAAGCCGACUCCGUGUCCUUCACCAGCUCCGCCAUGGCAGUCACCUUCAAGGUGGAAAACAAGCAAGGACAGGCGGAGCUCCGCCACCUCAAAGAGACCAAGCACAGCCGAGAAGAAGACGACGGUGACGAAGAGUAAGCAGCGGAGGCGGAGGAGGAAAGAGACGACGGCGAAAUCCUAGGCGUGAGGAAUGCGGUGGAUGGCGUUGCAGAGAGAGUAAACAUAGUGAGAGAGAGAGAGAGAGAGAGAGAGAGAAGCGGAGGAUAGAUCGAUCGAUCUGUGAGUUUUGGUUUUCUGCAGAGUGGGGGAGUGGACGGUGGAGGCAAGGUUAUGAUCACGUCUUUUCCAACGCCAAUAGUGGGAGAAUGGUGACGGCGGUUUUGGAUUGGGGGGAAGAGAGUGACACCAGCGGAAGCUAUCUCGACACGUGGCUUUUCUCGCAGGGUGGAUUGAGGGGAGGCAACCCGAAAGUGGCUGUGGUGUCGUUUGCUUGUUGUUACUGUUUUGUAAAUUGAUUUAUUUAACUACUAACCAGUCAUAUGCCCGCACGUCACUAAUUUUCUAACGUUUUGGAUUAAUAUUUUUAAUUUUUACUGGUUAGACAUUGGACAAUUUAUAAAUUUGGUCUACGCAUUACUCAUACUAGUCGAUCAUAUUGAAAAAAUAAUAAUAAACAUUCAGUUUCAGGAAUGAAUUUUAGGAAAAAGUAGAAUUACGUCGGUUUUCCUGCAACAAAGAGAUGAAUAGACACAUUGUUAGCUAAGGAUUAUUCGAUGUCUGAGUUAAAAUUAUUGAAUCGGUGAGAAUCUCAUAGCUUAAAGCUUCUUGGUAAAUAAACAUGUUUAUCUCACGAUGCUCUUUCGAACAAUUAUUGUAGUUAUAAUGAAAUUCGGUUCUUUUAUAAUUCAUAUCUCGAUUAAGAUUUAUGACAUAUGGAUAAAUGUCAAAUCACAUGUAGAUAUUAAUAGUUACAAUAAUGCAACCUCAAGUAGCUUAAAGGGAUAUCUCGUUAUAUCUCGUUAUAUCUCGUAUAUGUCCGACACGUGUAACAUAAUACCAUACCCACCUUAAUGAGAUAUACACCAGUCUUACCAGAUAGUUACACAAUACCCAAUAUUAGGCCUCUUUCAGCAUGGAGAUUAGGAAAAGAUGCUUCACACUCCAAUCGGCCCAUCUAGUUUAUUUUAUUUCUUUAUCUUUGAGAAGCCAAAUAUUAGUACAUUUUUUUCUUGUGAAAACUUAUUGCUAAACCGAUAAACCUCAAACUUCAUGCGUAAAAAUGACUUUGCCCAUGCAAACUAUGAGUUUAUUUCCUCCAUGAUUUUUCAGAGCUUAUAAUAUGUAGCAAUUCAACCACUUGCAAAUAUUAUUGGUUGGAAAGAGCAAUUUUGAAGAAUUGCAGGUGUAUAGUAAUCUAAUCAUUUCCAAAUACCAUUCUUGAAAAAUAAAUGUAUUUUUUAUGUUCUACGUGCACUACCAAGUAAUUAGCCAAACGUAGUUCGCGCCUUUGAAUGUUGGGAAAAGAAAAUUUGAUUUGUGCUAAUGGUUCAUUGGUGGUUUUGAAGCCACACUUUUAGUAAGUUUUCCCUCUAAGGAUGGCAAAAAAACUCCACGGGAUUGGGUAUCUGCGAAUACCCGACCCUAGUAGGGGGCUUAGAGAGGACAAUAAACAAUUAUGGGGCAUAUUUGGGGAUUGUUUGAAAAGGAUUUGGAUCCUCUCAUGAGCUUAGGAGGCUGAGCCUUCUAAGCAAAUCACAUGGGCUAUUAGAUUUUGAUCCAACGGUUACAAACAAGAACCUCUCUAAAAGUUAUAAUAAUUGUAGCCGUCGGAUUUUGAUCCAACAGCCUGUGUAAUUUGCUCAGGAGGUUCAACCUCCUAAGCUUAGGAGAGGAUCCAAAUCUGUUUUAAAAACCCGAGGCAAAUAUAGAGCAAUGAUGGUAAUUGCCUUCCCUUGACUUGAUGCUUGCCCGAUUAUAACGUAUAUUAAAUUAUUAAUACAAUUCUUAUCAAUUAUGUUUGUAAGUCCUCUUUAUUGGUUGUGCAAUGUCUCAUAUCUCUAUUAAUUAAUAAAACCUUCUUUGUCAACCAAAAAAUGAUGAAAAGACUACUUAGUCUUCAAUCACACAAAAAAACUGAUGGGCAAUAAUAUAAUUUCACAGGUCCAAAUUUUACUGUUUUAAAUACCUCCAAUAUUAAAAAAAAUGACCAAAAACAAAAUCCUCCACUCCCCCCACAUUCUCUCUCUUCUUCUCUCCUUCUCAUUUUCUAAAAAAAUGUGUUCAUAUACACAAAGUGUGUAGCCAAAUACUAGUUUUCUUGUUAUUGCAAUUGUAUGGAUUUUUUUUAAAGUUACUUACUUUGUUAUUAGCUUUUUGGGUUUACAAAUUUAUGCUAGUUGAUUAUUGAUUAAUUUGUGUUGCAUAAUCCAAAUUUAGAGAUAAUUUUUCCAUGAUAGGCGGGUUGGUGGAUGUAGGAAUCGAGCUGUGUUGGCCGACACCCGGAAGGUGAUGAAGUCAUAAAGUGUAGUGAGGGUGAAAAUGUGAAUAAAUUUAAACCUAAAAGUGCCUAAAUGUAAGAGUGCUCUUGUGAGUGAGAAUGAACUCAUUUCACAUGUGAUGUCAGAACUUAAGUACAAUAAAAUUAGAAUAAGAAUUAUACCAUCGGAAGUAGUCUCCGAUAUCAACGUUUGCCAGAAAUCCUCGUCAACACGAACGCUAUCACUAGAACCUGGAAGGGCAAAAAAUAAGGGUGAGUAUGCCUAAAAAGAAAGCUUUGUAAAACCUUUUCGAAAGUAUAAUAACCGCUCGCUGUAAAACAAGUAUAGUUUCCAAAAAUAAUAUAUUGCACGUGGUAUGAAAAUACCUACCAUAGCUAGCAAUACCUUAAAAUGCAAUACGUCACAAUAUCUCAUAAAUAAAACAUAAUGUCCAGUAAUCCCAUAAUCUCGCAUAACACAUAUAUCAUAUCGAGUGCUCAUUGACAUAUGCUAACACACGAGUUCAUGCAGAGGUAUUCUAACAUGGACAUGAUUGGGUGUAAUAAUGAUUUACGCUGUAGUACUAUAAUCACAUGAAGACUGGAGAUAUGCGAGUCACAUACAAUGUAUCCAAAGUGAGUGUAUGAUGCGAUAUAAACAUACACAUGAAGCCUGGUCCUGGCCCGGACGAGUACAAACACCAGUGUAGCACACGAUGAGCAAAUAACAUAAAUAUGAUCAUGCAAUGGUAAAUCGAUAAUUCGAUAAUUCAAUAAUUCUAAUAAGUGAAAUACUAUUCAUGACUGUAAAUAUAAUUAAAGCAUCCAUACUGUGCAUCCCGUAGGACGUAGUAUAAUUUCAUGAAUUCCGUCAAUACGCUCAUUUUUAUAUAUGUUAACCUAAUCUAGGUAUAACAUAGAAAAUUCUUUAUCAAAUAUAUAAAUGAAAACUAAAUAAAUAUAUAAUAUUUAAAAGAAAAGACUCAUUCACAAAUACUUGCGAUGUCACAUCCUUUCUAGCUAAGAAAGCUGGAGUCUCCGAUAGUAAUCUCACAUAAGCAUAAUAUUGGAACCCGUUGGUAAAACUUAACUAAAAUGACUAAAUUCGGGUAAACAGAGUGCAGAUUUGGAAUCAGAACGUCAAAAUACGCUAAGAGAGGUCCCGGGAAAAUUUGAUAAAAAGUCAACAAGUCACCCCUAAAAAGUCACCAAGCCUCCCCUGCGAUCAACUACAUAAAAUUUUGGAAUUUCACUAAACGGAUGUCAAAAACAGACUCGGGGCGUCGAAAUAGCCUAGAAUAGUUUCCGAGAAAAUUUUGAAUUUUGAAAAAGUCAACACAAGGCAAUAAUAUUCUAGGAAUAUUACAGAGAAAAUUCUAGGAACAUUCCAGGUCCAUUUUUGAAAUGGGCUAGAUCAUAUUAAUGGACCAAAGAUUUAGGUCGGCCCAUGGAUCCGGUUUAGGCUUCUCUUAUUCAUUUUUUUGUACUGGGUCGAGUUGACCCAUUUGGCUUGCGGGUUGCCGGACCCAAUGAUGAAGAAGACCGGAAUCACAGGGGAAGUGGCCGGAAAACAUCAAAUGGCCAUAACGAGUUCAUUUCUCAACAAAAUGAAGCUCAAGAGCUAAGAAACAAAAAUAUAACUAAAUGGGACUGAGUCGUGGUCGGUACUGGUCGAAAAUGACCUGCAAAGUGUUGGAUGGUUCGUCGGAAUCUGGGGAAAUACUUUGGUGUUUCUGCGUCCAAACAUCACCAAACUGUCUCAAAACAACCUAAUCGUAGUCCUAACCACAAUCUAUGAAGGUUUGGGGUGUUUUUUGAACUUACCUUGUUGAAGAUGGUGAAAACUCACUGGAGCAAAAUUUGAAACAAUGGGGGUACCACUGUGCAGAGAGUGAGAGGUAUGGUUGGAUUCGUGGAUCUAACUUUGAUUGAUGGAGUGAAGGUGGUGGUGUAGUCGGGUUUGCCGGAGUGGCGAGAGGUGUGAGGGUCUUGGGUUUGCCGAGAAGAAGAGAGAGUCUAAAGUUCUAGAGAGAGAGAAAGCUAAGAGGGUUUUAAAGAGAAAGAAAGCUCAUAGAGUUUAGCGGGAUAAGUAAGAGAGGUCCAGGAGAGUGAGGGAAGAAGGACACGCGACAUGGAGAGAGUAAAGAGUUUGAGAUGUGUGGGCCCCACGAGCCAAAAAUAAAUUAUUAAAAUAUUUAAAAGAUCAAAUAUGAAAAUAUUAAAAUAAUAAUAUAAAAAUAUAAAAUAUAAAUUAGUAAUUUUUACAAAAGAAUUUUUCGGAUUCGUAGUUCCGUAAAAUCUUCGUCGUAAUUCUGAAUUCUAUUCCGCUUGCAUCUACAUGUUCAUACCCUCGAGUACUUUAAGAAUAUGGUAAAAUAAUAGCUCAUUCGCGUCACGAACUAACAGUCAACGAAAGUCAACAAUCUUACCUUAAGGGGCAUUUUUGUCAAUUCACUCAUUUAAAAUUAAUAAAAUUGUAAAAUUAGGGAUGUGUUGUUACAGUGGCACCCUUUGACCUCGCCUCGCCCUAUUGCCAUCCCUAUUUUCCUCAAUUCCUUCUAUUAAAAGAUCUUGUUUAAAGUAAUUUGUUACAAAUGUAUAAAGUAACUGUAAUGGUUUAUUUGGCUGUAUAUGAGUUGUGUUUGUGUUGGCCCGGGUACACAAUAUUAUAAGGUUAGGCAUCAAGUUUAUUUUGUGUAUAUUGUGGAUUUUGAAACAAAGUAUGGUCUUUCAUUGUCUUCGUUUGUCACGCCCCGAUCUCGAGAUACAUCCAGGAUCGACAGGUGACAUCACCAUGUCCCUAUUCAACUAUCAUGCCUUGCUUACAAGUCAUGACCAAAAACAACCCAACAGUUUAAUAACGUAGUAACUUUUUUCUAUAUUUCUUGGGUGCAUCUGACCUCUGUGUUAGACUGCCUACGUACCCUCAUCCUCUGUAUCUUUUUAAUUCCCAAAACCAUAAAGCCUUUUCUUUCUCUCCUAUGCGCUAUCUCUGCUCAACCCAAAUUCGUUGUUCCUCAUUACAACCUUCCGCCACUCUCCCUUAUAGCUAUCCACACAGACGUGCCCCAUCAGAGCAAAAGCCAUCAUUUCAGGUUCGUUGAAAUUCUUCAACUAACGUUUGAUUAAUUGUGUGGUUUUUUUUGUUAAUAGGUUGUAAUAUUUUAGAAAUAAUAAUAAUGAUGAUGAUGAUGAUAAUAAUCUUUACUAAUUAAUAAAACACUCAUUGUCAACCAAAACCCUAUGAAAUUACCAGUUUAACCAUCUAAUUAAAACAUAACAUGAAUAAGAAAUAUGGGGCAGAAAUGUAAUUUCACACAACUAAAUUUUGUUGUUUUUUUUUUCAAAACCUCACCUACAUGUAAUCCUAACAUAUCUCUAAUUUAACAUAAAAAAAAAAAACUUCCCACUCCCACAUUCUCUAUCACUCUUCCUCACUCCUAUUUCAAAAACAAAAAUAAAAUUUGUGUGUGUGUGCCCAUAUGCUAAUAAUAACAACAACAACAUCAACAACAAUAAUAUUAUUCUUAAUAAUAAUAACAAUAAUAAUAGUAAUAAUAAUAAUAAUAAUAACAACAACAACAAAAUAGAAUUCUUCUCACAAAUACAAUUCAAUUGAAUUACUAAAUAUUAAAAGUCUCUCUGCUUGCGUGCGUGAGGGUUUUCAAAGUUAUAGGGUUCCCUAGGGUUUUUAUUCCCUUGCCGUCAACGUUGGUCUUUGGGGGUCAACGGCGCGGUGCAUGGGGAGUGCGGUGAUUAUGGAACGUGUGGUAAACCUAUUUCGAAGUAUGCUGCGUCUGAAUGAAGGGGAGGAGAUCGAAGCGAAGUUUAGCGAUACGGCGAAAGAGCGGCUGAAGUUUUCUAAGUAUUUUGUGGUGAGGAAGGUGCUCACUAGGAAGAAGUUUCGCUCUAGUAUAGUGAUGAGGGUUAUUAAGGAGUUGUGGCGGCCUAAGGUUGCGGUGGAAGCCAUGGCAAUUAGGGAGUUCUGUUAUCUUUUAACAUUGAAGAUGAUAUGCAAACGGUACUGAGCGGCAACUCUUGGUUCUUUGGGAAAUCGUUGCCAAUUCUCGCAGAGGUAAAGGGAUUAAAGGUGCCUGUAAACGUCUCGCUUCGCGAACAAGAGUUUUGGAUUCAGAUCCAUGGGCUUCCCUCGUCUCUCAUGUCUGUGCGUAUGAGGGAAAUACUAGGGGUUACGAUUGGUAGGGUGAUGAAGGUUGACUGUGAUUCUAAUGGUAGUUGUGUUGAGAGUUUAUGCUAAUAAGGGUGGGGAUUGAUGUCUCAAUGGCACUUAAAAGAAGGUUGUAGGUCCGAUUGACUGAUGUGGAAGGAGAUAGGUUGAUGGGAAUUCUGUUGCAAUAUGAGUGUCUCCCGGAUUUCUGUUUCUUGUGUGGUAUUUUAGACCACAAAAGGGGCUCACUGUUCCACUUUUACUCAGGGUUCUAUACAUGAAUUUAGGACACCAUUUGGUACGUGGUUGAAGAUUGGGCAACCCAUCCUGGGAUCAUUAUGGGGGUCUCGGCCUAUUCGUUUUGGUUUAGAGGAUAAGAGCAGCAAUAGAUCGAAAUGUAAGCUCCAUAUUUUAUGGAUGGGAAAGACAUAGAUGACAUGGAUGUGGAUGCUAUUGGAAAGGCUUCACGUGCUCUGGAGGAAGAGGUCAUUCAUGGUGAGUUGAAGGCUACUGAGCUUCGGGCGGAACAAGGUGGGUUAGGCAAUGAUGAUAGCCAUGGGCCAUGAAUGCUCUUGGGUGGUCUAUUCUAGUUGGGUGACUUUUUGCAAGCUUUUAAGCAAGCUUCACUUGAUCGGGUUCGAGAUGGUGGUGACUUGCUUGGUUUCUGUCCAAACCCGAUGGGGCCCGUUACCUUGGUGUUAGGGGAAAUGUUGUUAACGGGCAGUAAGAGGUGCAUAGAUGGGGAUGUUUAUACUAGAGACGAGGUUUCUAUCGGUUUUAAGAAGAAGUGCUCUAGUCCAUCAGUGGGGUUUGUCGGUGAACAACCUCACCGUUCACAAUGAAUUGUCUAAGUUGAAACUGUCAAGGGUUGGGGGAACUCUCGAGCAGUUCAGGCGUUGUUGGAAAUCAUCCAGCGGCAACAUCCCCUUUUGGUUUUCUUAUGUGAAACCAAAUGUAGUUCUCAAGCUAUGGAGUUUAAGAAAUGUGGUUUGGGUUUUCAGAAUUCGAUUACAGUGGUGAGUAAUGGACGGUCGGGGGGUUUAUAUUUACUAUGGAAUGAGGAGGUGGAGUUGGUGGUAAGGUCAUAUUCUCUGAAUCAUAUUAAUAUGGAAUGUAAGGUUGGGCGUUCUUUGACUUGGUGGAGAUUUACAGGUUUCUAUGGGUUCCCGAUUACGGCAGAGCGCCAUUUAUCAUGGACGUUGUUGUCAACGUUAAGUUGACAAAAUUCUCUUCUAUGGUUGUGCGUGGGUGAAUGCAAUGAGGUGUUGAGUGCAUUAUAAUAACUUAGAAGGGCUGGGAAGAGGAAAAGUCAGAUGAAUGGGUUUCGGGAGGCCAUGCAUUAUUGUCAAUUGGUGGAUUUGGGAUUUAUUGGUAGUGAGUACACGUGGACUGAUAACAGGGAAGAUGAGGAUCAAUUUCGUCUUGAUCGUGCGCUUGUUACUCAAGCUUAGAUCCAUAUAUUCCCACUAUCGGGUUUGUCAUCUUAAGCCUUCCAAAUCGGACCAUUUGCCUAUUGCAGUGGAGAUUCGGGACUCGAUGGGUGGGACUCCUUGAAAAUCUCGUAGAUUUUGUUUUGAGGAGAUAUGGCUGCAGGAUGCUAGUUGUGAGGAAACCAUUACAUCCGCUUGGAAUGUGCAGUGACGAGGUUCACCACUGGCCCGUGUUUGUAAUAAGAUUAGAGCCACUAGGGUGGCUUUGUUGGAGUGGCAGCGUACUACCUUUGGGAAUACUAAGAUGGAGAUUGCAAAUGUUAAAGAUAAAUUAGGGAUCUUGUUUGAUCACCCUCCUUCGCCGGACCUGCAUGAAUGUAGGGGAGUGUUGAUGAAAGGGUAGAUAAUUUGCUUAGUAAAAAAGAAACCUUUUGGCAACAGAGGGUGAGAACCCAGUGGUUGAAGGAAGGUGAUCGGAAUACGAGGUUCUUCCAUACUCGUGCUUCAAAUAGGCGGUGGAAGAACACAAUUAAGGGUUUACAUGGGGAUGAUGGCGUGUGGCAUGACUCGCCAAAAGGAAUUGAAGACACAGUGGUGGAUUAUUUUAGGUGAAUUUUUCAGACGCAUGGGGUUUUUAAUAAUGUUGUACAGGAGGUGUUGAGGGCUGUUUUGCAUAGGGUUACUUUGGAAAUGAAUGAGGUGUUGUUGCAACCUUAUUUCAUGGAUGAGAUUAAGGUGACUGUGUUCCAAAUGAACCCAUCAAAAUCUCCGGGGUAGGAUGGCAUGUCCCCACUCUUUUACCAGCAAUUUUGGCAUAUUGUUGGCCCGAAAGUGGUGGAGGUGGUACAGUCAUUUCCGUAGUCUGGCCAUCUAAGUAGGGAAGUUUGCUUUACUCAUGUUGUUUUGGUUUCUAAGGUUAAUAAGCUGCAAGGUAUGUCCCAAUUACGCCCCAUUAGUUUAUGUAAUGUGCUUUACAAAAUUGGUGCCAAGGUGAUUGCUAACCGACUCAAAGGUAUGAUGUCUUCGAUUAUUUCACCAAAUCAGAGUGCGUUUAUCCCGGGAAGAUUAAUUUCGGUUAAUUCGCUUGUGGCGGUGAAGAUUGGGCAUUUUUUUGCACAAUAAGAGGAGUGGUAGGGAUGGUUCUUUUGCUCUUAAGCUUGAUCUUAGUAAAGCUUAUGAUCGAGUUGAAUGGUGUUUUCUUGAAGCUAUGAUGGAGAAGUUGGGCUUUGCUAGCGAGUGGAUUAAGAUGGUGAUGUCGUGUGUUAAAUCAGUGUCGUACUCUUUUUUAAUUAAUGGGCAGCCAUGUGGUUAUUUGAUUCCGUCCUGAGGGCUUCGGCAAGGGGACCCCUUAUCCCUAUAUUUAUUUUUAUUAUGUGUUGAAGGCCUUUCGCCACUUAUUACACAAAAAGAGUAAGUAUGGGAGUUGAGUGGCAUUUGGCUAUGUGGGGAAGCGCCCACGAUUCACCACCUUUAGUUUGCUAACAACAGUUUCCUUUUUGGUAGAGCGAAUGUGGAUGAAUGUGUGGUGAUUCAACAUAUUUUAGACAUCUACUCUCAAGCUUCUAGUUAAUAAGUGAACUUUGGUAAGCGUAGUGUUGCUUUUAGUGUGAAUGUGCUUCAAUAUGACAAACAAAUGUUAGCAGGUUUCCUUGGAGUUCAGUUGGUCGAACGGCACGAGAGAUAUUUGGGAUUGCCGACAUGUGUGGGAAGGAAUAAAAAACAAACUUUCUCAUAUAUUAAGGAACGAGUGAUGCAAAGGCUUAACGGGUGGAAAAGUAAGCUCCUGAGUAAUGUGGGAAAGGAACUUCUUAUAAAGGUUGUUGCUAAAACUCUUCAUUCUUAUGCAAUGAACUAUUUUUUUGCUCUCGAAGAUAUUAUGUGAUGAAUUACAUCAGCUUAUGGCUCAGUUUUAAUGGGGGAAUGGUUCGGAGGAUCGAAAAAUUCAUUGGCAGUUAUGGGACAAGAUGUGUAAACCUAAAGCUGAAGGUGAGUUGGGGUUCCAUGAUCUUUAUGCUUUCAAUAUGGUGGUGUUAGCUAAGCAAGGGUGGAGGGUGUUCCACCAUCCCUCGUCUUUGGUAGCGCAAGUUUUCAAGGCACAGUAUUUCCCGAAUUCCUCAUUUUGGGAAGCAGAAGCCCCCGCAUCCUCUUUGUAUUAUUGGCAAAGUAUUAUUAAGGUGAAAGAGGUACUAGUUUGUGGGUCUAGGUGGGUGGUGGGAAAUGGUUGGACAAUAAGGGUUUGGUUGGAUAAGUGGUUGCCUCGGACUAGUACUUUUAAGGUAAUCUUGGCACUUCCCCCAGAACGGAUUCAAAUGAAGGUUGAGAAGUUAAUUGAUACUUCUACAAGGGUGUGGCGUACCGAUUUGUUAUCAGAAUUUUUUAGCUCGGAUGAAGUAUCUCUUAUUUUAUCUCUUCCUAUUAGUUUCCGUGCUCUAGAGGAUAGGUUGGUGUGGCACUAUGAUAGCAUGAUCUUUUCUUUGUUAAGAGUGGGUAUUGGGUAGCUCGGCAACGGCUACAAUCCUCUUAUAGUAGUUCAUCCUCCUCUACCAAUGUAAGUGCAUAUGUGAAACUGUGGAAGCAUAUUUGGAAGGCUAACAUUCCUCCCAAAGUUAAGAAUUUCACUUGAAGGGUGUGCCAUGAUAUUCUUCCAACCAAAGUGAAUCUCCGUAAGAAAGGCGUGGGAGCGAAGUUGGCGUGUGGGGUGUGUCAUGGGGAGGAGGAAACUGCAGAACAUGUGUUGCUUACAUGUUCGUUUGCUAGAGCGGUGUGGUUUAUUUCUCUGUUUGGUCUCCGGUUAUCUAGGAGUAUCUGAAUACCACUUAAGGAUUAGUUUUUUACGGUGCUAGAAAAUAAAGAAGUGGUUUUUGAGUUGUCUUGUUUGAUUAUGUGGGGCAUCUAGCAAGAAAAGAACUCACGGGUGUGGAGGGGUUCCCAAGUAUUACCUAUGGUUGUGUAGCAGAAGGUUUCUUCUUGGUUAUUAGUGUUUUAGUCGCACGCAUUGUGAACCUGCUAGGACAAGGGGAGUACCCACUCCACGGUGGUCUCUUCCUAGCCAAUGGUGGGUUAAGAUUAAUAUGGAUGGGGCGAUGAAUGGCCAUACUAAUAUGAGGGGUGUUAAAGUGGUGAUACAGGAUUGGAGGGGUGGGUUCUUGGUGGUCGGGGAGCAGCAGUUUCCAGGCGUCACUUAGGUGCCACUCCUUGAGCUAUUUGAUGUGCAGUAUGGUUUGCAGGUAGCACAACAACAAGGUUUUCAAUAAGUCGUGGUUGAAAGUGAUUCUCUGAAAGCUAUUGCAGUUCCUAAUGGGACCUAUAUAGAUUCAUCGGCUAUAGGUAUUGUCGCAGAGGAUGUGUUGCAGCUGGCUUCCACCUUUUCUAUGGCGAGAUUUAUUCAUGUCUCUCAUUUAUGUAAUCGGGUUGCCCACCAUCUUGCUAAGUUUGCUUUGUCUAGUAGCAAUAAUCUCAUUUGGAUUAAAGAGCCUCCUACUUUCAUUCAGGAGCUCCUUCUACAAGACAUAUGUAACUCUGCAUGAGUUUAUUUAAUCAAUACAACGUUUCUUUUCAAAAAAUAAAACAACAACAACAAAAUAAUAAUAAUAAUAAUAAUAAUAAUAAUAAUAAUAAUAAUAAUAAAUAGUAAUAAUAACAGUAACAACUAGGGCUGGAAAAAAAUACCAAAAAUCCCAAACCAUAUCGAAACCAUACUGAAAACGAACCGAUCCUGAAUUGUUUGGUAUAUGAUUUGGUCUCACACUUUGAAUAAUUCGGUAUUCCCGAACCGAACUUUGCUAACUAGUAUUACAUAUAUAUAUAUAUAUGUGUGUGUGUGUGUUGGAAUGUGUAAUGACUAUUAUUAUAGUAUUACAAUCACUAAAGUGUGGUGUGGUGCUGACAAAGGUAGGAUGGAUGGGUCACAGGUGCUUUUCUAGAUAGAACUCUCUCUCUUUCUCUAUCUUAUUUUCUCUCAUCAGUCAUCUAUUUCGUAUUGUCUCUCUUUCUACAACCCAUAAACCACCUAACCCUUUAUCUAUCACUUAUUUUCCAUUUCUUAUCUCUCAUAUUAUCUUUUUCUCUGUAACCCAUAAACCACCCCUACUCACUUCAAAACCGAAACCACCCUUCCUUCCACUCAAUCCAAAAUCGAGCCGACACAUCCCUACUCACUCUCUCUUAUUUCAUUUUGCCUUUCUCAUCUGCCUUCACUUAGUCUCAGACUCUCUCUCUUUCUUGGAUUCGAAGCUCAACAGCCACCCAUUGUCUAACAAUCUCACUCUGACGAACUGUUUCCACUCCGGCCACCACCACACCUCACGGCUUCAUCCCCACCUCCGGUUCUCUCCAGUGAUUCUCUUCGUGUUUGAGAUUUCGAAUUAAGGUUAGGGUUUCAAAUUGGGGCUUAGGGUUUCGAAUUAGGGAUCAGGUCAUGAAGAUGACGCAGGUGUCUCUCUUCACUUUAUCUCUCUCUACCAUAAAUCUUCACUGAUUCACUAUCAUUAUGUCUCUAAUUUCAAUUUGGAUUUUUAAUGCACGUUUGGAUGAUUUCAAUUUCAAUCUAGAUGAUUUGGAUUCUAAUGCAGGUUUGGUUUCGGGAAAUUCCAAAAUACCAAAAUUUCGGUUAGGGUCAAUCAUGAGAUUUUCUUCCCGAAAAUUUUCGGUUCGGGAUUUGCUAUGCCACUUUUGGUUCGAUAUCCCAUAUCGAACCAGCCCUAGUAACAACAGUAGUAGUAGGAGUAGUAGUAAUAGUAGUAGUAGUAAUAAUAAUAAUAAUAAUAAUAAUCUCUACUAAUUAAUAAAACACUCAUUGUCAACCAAAACCCUAUGAAAUUAACAGUUUAACCCUCUAAUUAAAACAGAACAUGAAUAAGAAAUAUAAGGCAGAAAUAUAAUUUCACACAAUCAAAUUUUGCUGUUUUUUUUUCAAAACCUCACCUACAUGUAAUCCUAACAUAUCUUUAAUUAUAAAAAAAAAAUUUUAAAAAAUAAAAAAACUUCCCACUCCCAUUCUCUAUCACUCUCUUCCUUUCUCUUUCUAUUUCAAAAACAAAAAUAAAAAAAUUGCUCACACACUUUGUGUGUGUUCAUAUGCUAAUAAUAAUAAUAAUGACAACAACAACAACAACUCUUCUUUCUCUCCUAUGCACUGUCUCUGCUCAACCCAAAUUUGUUGCUCCUCAUUACAACCUUCUGCCACUCUCCCUUACAACUAUCCACACGGACGCGCCUCAUUAGAACAAAAGCCAUCAUUCCAGGUUUGUUGAAAUUCAUCAACUAACGUUUGAUUAAUUGUGUGGUUUUUUUUUGUUAAUGGAUUGUAAUAUUUUGUCACAGCCCGUCCCGUGAUUCUUUUUAUCGAGGUUGUGAAAUGACGAAAUUAUCCUUGACGGGUGCUAAGGUAGGUGUGCGACAUAUUAUUGAACAAUGCAUUUUCCCUAAGUUUUGACAGGUGCUAAGGUAGCUGUGUGACAUAUUAUUGAACAAUGCAUUUUCCCUAAGUUUUGGAAAGUUUGAAUUUUGAUUAAAGGUUGUAUGUGUUUUGUGUGGUUAGGGAAAUAAGUUGGACUUGUUUUGGGAUGGACCGCACACGCACACGCGGGAUACCCUUACCCCGUGCUCUCUCUCUCUCCUCCUUCUCUGUCACUCUCACUCUCUCCCUCUCGAAACUGUACGGACCGACCCAAAAACCCUUGAAACUUCAUGGAUCGAAGUGGAGAUUAGCACCAUUGUGUUCGUGAGUGCCCUACGAACUCAAAGGUACCAUUUUCAGGUAAGAAACCCUUCGUUUUCAUGUUGAAAACUUAAGGUCCGAAUUGAGUACUAUUCAUGAACUUUGUAAUGGUUGGUUUUUAGGACAAUCCAAGCUCAUAGUGAGCUCUAGGAAGUUCCCACGAAGCUCGGGGACGUUCGUUUGAAAGUUUUGGACGUCGGGACACCCUAGUUCGAAGGUGGCCGGUUUUGGUGAAGUUUCCUGACGUGAUUUUCGAAGGUUUUGAGGCUCCAAAGAGGUAUAGCCUUCUUCCCCUCGUGAUUUAGGACAUUUUGGUGAAAAUUUCAUGGAAAAUGGUUGAGAAAUGACAGAGAACAAGGAGAUUGAAAAAUCUCCAGUUUCCGGCGACCGGAAAAAACAGUCCGGCGACUAGAGGAAGAAGAUGACGCGCGUGGGGUGAGUGGGUCCGUGCCCCUCCCGGCGGGUGGGGGCGCGUGCAGCCUUGAAUUUUUUUUCUAAAAAUAUGUCUGUGGAGCCAAAAAUAUUCACAAGGCGACACGUGGAUUUUUGGAUAAAAGAAGACAAAAAUAUCCUUGAGGCAUACCGGGAUUCCUACGCACGAGCAGCGGGCAAUCAUCCGUUAACCAAGUCAAAAAAUGCCCAAAGAAGGUAACAAAUAAAAGUUAUUUCAUCCAUAUACUCCACAAGGUAACCAUUCCAAACAUUCCAUUUAAAUUAGAUUAAUUGGUGAGUUAAUGGAUUUAUUUCCUAAUUAAUCCAUUAAAUCACCAAUUAAAUGACCCAUUAUGCCAAUUAAUCCCCCAUUACAUAACCCAUUACCCAAAAAAUCCCAAAUGGCCGGCCACCCUAGUUGAUCUCAUCAUAUUCACCUAUUUUAUCACAUUAGUUAGCUAGUUAAUUUAGCAAUAAUUAUUUGCUAAAUUAAUUAGUCAAUUAUUCCCAUAACUCCUAAAUUUAACCUAAAUCAAGAACCCUAUCCCUAUAAAUAGGCUCUCAUUCUCACCAAAAACCUAAUUCCAACACUUUGGCAAAAAUCCCAAAAUUCUCUAAACACUCUUUCUCUCUAAAUUCUAACUUUGGCAUCAGAGGUUCUUCGGCCAAAGCCCCGCCAUUCAUCGUGGGCGCGUGAGGCUCUUGGCUUUAACCUAAGGUGUUAAUUGUUUUGUAGGUGCAAAAUUGUCCAAGAAUAAGGAGGAAGAAAUUUGCAUCCACAAAUUGGUGCUUUCAUUGAGAGUUGAAAUCCAUACUCGUAGAAGACUCUCGCACAAAAAGGUUUUUUCUUUAUUUUCUAGUCCAUUUGAAUAUUUUUCAUACGUUCUUAUUAUUAGAAUUUUUUACUUGCAAAGGUUCUUUGAUAAAACGUAUAAGCAAAAUAUAAUGGCUAGAAAUUUAGAAAAUUCCACAAGUGAAAUUUCUAAUGUUCAAGAAAUGGGAUUGCGGAGAUCCGUGAGGCUAAAUGCGACAAUAAGUGGAGCAGCACCACCACCACGAGUUUCCACCAUGGGAACCACCACGGUGGCUACCUCGGUAGCCACCUAUGGCGAGGUCCAUGGUGCCUUCACCACGGCUCGAGCCGUGCCAUCCAAGGCUCACGACACCAAGGCCACGGCCCAAGUCGUGCCAUCCAAGUUUGCACGGGCCCAGGCCCAAGCCUCGCAUUCGCUUGCAUCACAUUCUAAGCAGCCUGCUCCCGCCAGGUUGCCUGCUUCCGCCAAGCAACCUGCUUUCCCAGCCCAGCCUGCUCCUGCCAAGCAGCUUGCUCUCGUGACCCAGCCUGCUCCCGACGAGCAGCCCACUCCCGUGGCCCAGCCUGCUCCCGCCAAGCAACCUGCUCUCGCGGCCUAGCCUGCUCCUGCCAAGCAGCCUGCUCUCGUGACCCCUGCCUAGCCUGGAGCAGCAGUUUUACCCCAUUGCAUUGUCAAGUGGACUCUCUUCCAAUAGCCAUGUCAUCUCCUCCCGUCCAAAAACCUAAAUGCCAAUACGUGGCAAGGGACUUGCUAAAUAGCUUCAGCUGCAAUUCACAAGUCCUUGCACACUUUCCAAGGCAAAGCCAACCACUAAAUCCGUGCCCACUCCUUCAUAAAACACUCUCAAAUAUCCAAACUAAUGUGGCAUUUUCUAUCAGGCACAAGUGGGUUUUGACAGGCAAAGCAAUUAAGCAUCCGGCCAGCAUGGCAGUGAAAAAACAUUCCGACUAGCGCGACGGCAGACAAUCAUAGGAAACCUCUCUGCUUUUUUGGAAAGCUCAAAGAAAUUUAAUUGCGGUGAAGCUGAUGUGUUUUCCAAGUCGAUAAUUUAGGAAAUAAGGGAUCAUUGCAUUCAAUUCAAGCACCCCAAGAGAGAGAACCGAACUCAACGUCCACUCGGGAAACCUCGACCUCUUCGAAGGGGAGCUAUCCCUUCACCUCUAGUCCCCCUUUGAAGGAUUUUUCAUUUCCCACUCACAGAAAUCUUAAGGAGUCAAAAUCCAACCCUUUGAUAAUUCACCCAAUCGAAGUGCAAAAUUUGAGAUUAGUCAAUUUGAACCUACAACAAGUGGACGAGUUCAAGCAACUUAAAAUCGGAAACCCGGUGUCUUUCCAACUUUUGAGGGCAUCCGGGAUUUGUAGAUUUCAAGGGCCUUUUGAUAGUUGAUCAGUGGUUAGGAAACCAGGGCGCAAGGCUUCAUUGACCAGCCCUAGGAAGCCACGAUCAUGCCGAGGAACGCGCUGGAGAGCAUGUCUAGAGGGUCAGGCUCUAGCGGCCCAUUAAGCGUUCCAUCACUCUGUUAUAAUGACGACUGAGCUACCUCACAGAAAGCUUUGGAUUCAUUCAGCAAAGCAAGCAACCCACAAUGAGCAAGUAUUCCGCUGAAUCCACCCGACUUGUAGGCGCCAUGGAGACAAUGAAGCCUGUCCGCCAAUCCUUAGUUCCACAACCCACGCAGACCUGACAGUCCUGCAGAAGUUCAACCUGCCCACCAAGCAGCUGUCUCUGCACAUUGCCAAAUGUUCAAAGCAACCUAACUUGGCUGAGCAGCCACGACAUGGCUUGUUCAGCGGUGGCGUCAAGAAUUCACAGCUAUCAAGUGGCCCUAAAGGUCCAGUUAAAGCAUCUUCCCUGCCUGAAGGACAAAUAACCAACAAAAAGGAGCACUUUUAAGAGAUUUCCCAAAACUUAUCUUGAACGUUUCCUCCAAACAAUUGAAAAACAUGUCCAAACACCUUAUUGCAAUGAACAAUUCCGCAACAGGGACAAUGCAUCUCAAUGAAACAAGAUCCAAACGACGACACUGAUUCGAAGGAUAACUGCAGGCGACAAAUUCCUUAAUCCAAUUCGAGACCUUUCGAUUGCCUAGGACUCACCAAAAGGGCGUUCAGCCCUUGUUCAGCAUCGCAGCACAUUUUCACAUCUUUCAAGGGGAAAAAACCCGGAGAGCACCCCGCUCCGAACCGCAAUGAUCCUUUAUCGAAACAACGAUGAUCUCAUGUGCAAGAUAUUCGCCAGCACUCUACAAGGCGAGGCACAAGAUUGGUUCUACACCCUGCCGCCACAAUCCAUCUGGAAUUUCUACGAACUUUCUUUGGUUUUCACCAAAGAAUAUUCAUCUUAUCGUUCGAUCAAAAAGAAGUCUGACCAUUUGUUCAACGUCAAGAAGAACCCAAAGGAGUCGCUUCGCGACUAUGUAAGGAGGUUCAAAGUAGAGAAGGCAAAAAUAGUCGGAUGCAACGACUCGAUAGCUAGAGCAGCCUUCCAAAAAGGACUUCCAGCAGACCACCCGCUAUUCGGAAAAUUGAUCAUGAAAGAAGAUCUAACUCUGGCAGACUCUUUUACUUUGGCAGAGAAGCAUGCAUUUUGGGAUGAGGCUCGCCAAUGCACAUUCAAGGACUUGAAGAAGUACCCAACAUCACCUCCCUAGAAGCAGUGGAUAACUUAUUCGCACGUUUGACGGUAUCUAAAGUAACAAUAAGCUCUACCAUCAUGCGAGAAGAGCUGGGGGCCCGACCACCUGUAUUCUACAGUUCAAAAGCUCUCCUCGAUGCUAUUAAAAAUUCAAAAGUUAACUUUGGCGAUAAUUGUUGUAACCCAAAAGCUUAAGUUUUACCUUCAAACGCAAGCAGUCAUCAUCAUGAUGCAGUAUUCCGCUGAAUCCAAACCGGCGACGAUAAAGGCAUAGACCCCGGCGGAUGUAAAGUUUUCUGACGAACGCAACACUGGAAGGACACACUCAGAAGCAAGUUUUUUCCUCGUCACCCUAAAAGAUUCUGCAUAGGAGCAACAUGUACCGGCUAUUGAGUACCACUUCUUGCUGCGCACCACACGGCCCUAGCCGACUCUUGCUCAAUGAUUCAACUCUAGAGUGGCCCAAUACCAGUAGUUGAGCAUCUCCUGCUGCGUAUGACAUGGCCCCAUCUCCACAGCUCCCUACUGCGCCUUUACGCCGAGCCUAGGUGACGCAACAGAGCGGCCCAACGAUGCCUCAGAAGUAGCCGGACACAUUUUAGCCGCGCCUACUCCACCCGAUGGAGACUUCUGGCAUUUGCAUGUCGACGGCACAGAAAAGCCAUCAUCACUGCCUGCAGAGAAGGAUCCAAAAAGACGAAUCUCAUCUGGGAAGGUCUGUACAAGAUCAGCAGAGUAGGCGGCAAGAGUAAUUACACCAUCGCCACCAUGAAACGGUAAAAAGAUCGAAAAACAGUGGAUGGCCUACAAUCUGAAGAAGUACCAUGUGUGACCUCCCGCUACAUCAAAACUUAAGAAGCUCGACGGGCACCACCUCACAAGCUGAGGACUAUCCAGUUGUUAUGCAAUUCCUACCUUACAGCUAAAGUUCUCGUUCGUUUCACUCGUUUUUCAAUGAGGAAUUUAGAAGUAAUCACAACUUGGCUUGGCUGCAUGCUUACAACAACUAAUCACUCAUGCACUUCAAAAGAAGACUGCGCCCUUCUUAGGGACUCAUCACAGGAAUUGCGCCCCCCGAGGGACUAACCAUGCUCUCCAGUGCGAGAGGGUAAACCAAUUCCCCGACACCCAUAUGGGUUAGCUCUCCAAGAUGGAAGGAUAAACUUUACACUCCGAAUAUCCAGACGUGGAUGAGCCUGACUGCCCUAGUAUAACUAGAUGCACGAUGGCUUACGCCGGGAUUCCUAGAAGUAGCCACAAUGGUCUUUUUCAAGGCUUAGCUAACUGAAGGAUUUUGGGUCUCUUGGCCUAAUCUGUGGGAAACCGGGCCCUAGAUAUGGAGGGGGCACAUUAUGCAGUACGCCUUAUAAACGGCUGCCCUGGAACCCUAAAGCUGCUACGAGUGCACUAAGGUAGCCUACGGAUUCCGGAAGACUGCCUACAGCUUGCCUUUCGAGCAGUAAAGCCGCACUAGACUUAUACAGCCGCACAUUCUUGUGAAAGGUUAAACAAGCUAGCACGCAUAUACGAAGUUUUAUCCACUGCCGACAUGCUACGUAGUCGAUAAGCUUCACUUCUGCCAAGCGCGGAACAACCUACACCAAGUCCUAAAGUGUUGUGGUACUUGCUACACAAUCUAUGGAAUUGGAGAAAGUCAAGUUAACAGCCUAGUGGUUACGCGGACUUAUCUGCUUCUGUAAGUAAGGCAUCCGGCUGCCAACCCUAUGGCUAACAACUUUGCAAAGUUCUACACCAACACCUACGGCUGCAUAGGCUACGCGGGCUUGUCUGCUUAUAAAAAAGUAGCAUGCCUGCUACUGGUCUAUCAAGAAUAAAGGUUAGGGCAUGAACAAAAGAAGCGAAGAUGAAGAAAAGUGAAGGAAAACAUGUUUAUAAACAAUUAGCAAAGGCCGAAGGAGUUCAAGCAAAACAAGAGCUACAAGGAAAAACAAAUAAAAUCCUAAAGGCUACCUAGAAGACUAUAGCAGCUUGGACAUCCCACAACUACUCGGUCGCCACACCUUCAGUAGCCGCGAUACUCUUAGCAGCGGUAUCAUCCGGCGUUUCACCCCUGGUUGCCCCAGCUUGGGUACUAACUUCUCCAACUACUUCACCAAUGGAAGCCUCAAAAGUAAAAUCAAGCAAGUCUUCCGGAGAAAUAGAGAAGGUCUCGAAACCCGAGCCCAGCCUUUUCACCUUUCAACUGCUCAUCCUCAUCGAGCAGACCAACAUGGAUGCUCUACAGCUCAUCCACUUUCUUCUUCAGACUUUCGUUGAUCUUCAGUACACCUUGAAGUUCCAACACUUGGGGUUCAAGCCUAUCGAUGAUUCUCUUGAAGUAGAUCACUUGGUUAUAAGCAGCAAUCAACUCUUCAUCCUUUGCAGCAGAACGAAGCUAAAAAAUGACAUGCUUAAGAUCUUGAAUCUAAGGUAUGUGACAUCCGAUCUCCUUCUCUGCACUUUCAUGCUUAACUUGGAUCGCGUCAAACCUAGUCUUCAAGUCAACGAUCUCUUGGCGAGCGGUCUCAAGCUGCAAAAAAGUGGGGGCAGAAAUAUUAGACCCUUUUAAAGCAACAAGCUCAGAAUCUGCCAUAGUAUUUGCCAUCUCCUUAGCAGCCUUGCUAUAUCUGCAUCAUAGCAAGCAGAGCAGUUCCUCUAUAUUGGGUCGUAUGCUUUGCAAAUGAGCUUGGGCAAAUAACCUUUCUGACGCCAUCAACAAACUUGGCACAAACGUCCAUGUUUUCAAGAGAUCUGGUUUCAAAAGCACAUAGAUCUCAGCAGCUUCCCCAGAAGCAGGCUUAGUGGAUUUCUCACAUCUGCCUACGCGAGCAGUCUCCUCAUUCCCAGCAGACGAAUUAGUCUCAGCAGCAUAAGGAAUGGGCCUUGGCACCACUUUAGCAGCAGAGUCCACCUUAUAAUAGCAAGCCUCUCUAAAGGUGAAUCAGACUUAGCUCCCAACAGACGUCUUGGUACAAAAUUCGGCACUAGGGGCAUGAUAGGACCUUUAUGCCGAACAAUCCUAUCAGCAAUCAUACUAGCCAUUCUUGACAUGACAGGCGCCACAUGCUCAGAUCUAGCAGCCUCAUUUUUUGUCCCCUUGGAAAAAGUUAAGUCAAUCACAAACCUGAAGGCAGUCGGCGAACCUGCGCGAGCAGCGAAAUAAGUCUUUGGUUUUUUCUCAGCCGGCAUCUCUUGAGCAGGCAGGGAAGAUCCAUUUUCCCACCUUCACUUGCAACAGGAUCCACAACAGUGAUUGGACGAGCCAAUGCAUCCGCCUUGAUCCUAUUCACCUCAUCUUUUGGGAGCAACCCACGUUUCUCCUGAUGAAGAGAGUUAAAGUAGCCAACAUCAUUCGUGGUACCUAGCAGGGGAGUUUCAACCCAACAUUCCACAAGCUCAUGAGGCCCGCAACCUCUUCAUUUCUCUCAAUUACCGGCCUAGCUCGCGUCGUGUCUAAAAGCCUAAAAGGACAUGAGCCAUGUGACUCGCCUAGUACUGCGCCCCAUCGUCACAAUCCGCGGCCCCAGCCUCACAAGCUGCUCUUGAUUCUAGCCAAGUCGAGCAGCUUAAAGCAGUGGUCCCUGCCACAAUACCUCAUCGGCCCACGCCGAGCCGACUCCUGGCCCAUGCUAGCCGACGUGCCACACCACCCCGACGGUUGCCCCGUGGUAACACCAUCCAAGAAGAAGACAAGGAAAAUUAAUUUUUUCUUACCUCAUUGCGGCACGAAGAAGACAAAGAGAGCAAUGAAAGACGGUCCUUUGCACGGGCAAGAUGUAGAAGAUUGCUAGAGGAGGGGGAACAAAUAUCCUCUAAGCUAUCUCUCUCUUGUAGGGUAGAAUAAAUCGCUCUCCAAAGUUGAUUUAAUAACCCAUUAAGGUGGACUUAAAUAGGCUUUGAGAGAAAUUUAUUUCCCUUUUCUAGAAGGACCUAAUUUCCUAUUAAAGAGAGAAUCUACAUCAAAAUAGGAAGCAGUCCUACGUUUCCUAAAGCAAGAUGAUCUCUACACCUGCUGCCCUUUUCUGCGAGCAGCCCAACAGGUGUGGGGGCAUUUGUGGAGCCAAAAAUAUUCACAAGGCGACACGUGGAUUUUUGGAUAAAAGAAGACAAAAAUAUCCUUGAGGCAUACCGGGAUUCCUACGCACGAGCAGCGGGCAAUCAUCCGUUAACCAAGUCAAAAAUGCCUAAAGAAGGUAACAAAUAAAAGUUAUUUCAUCCAUAUACUCCACAAGGUAACCAUUCCAAACAUUCCAUUUAAAUUAGAUUAAUUGGUGAGUUAAUGGAUUUAUUUCCUAAUUAAUCCAUUAAAUCACCAAUUAAAUGACCCAUUAUGCCAAUUAAUCCCCCAUUACAUAACCCAUUACCCAAAAAAUCCCAAAUGGCCGGCCACCCUAGUUGAUCUCAUCAUAUUCACCUAUUUUAUCACAUUAGUUAGCUAGUUAAUUUAGCAAUAAUUUUAUUUGCUAAAUUAAUUAGUCAAUUAUUCCCAUAACUCCUAAAUUUAACCUAAAUCAAGAACCCUAUCCCUAUAAAUAGGCUCUCAUUCUCACCAAAAACCUAAUUCCAACACUUUGGCAAAAAUCCCAAAAUUCAACACUCUUUCUCUCUAAAUUCUAACUUUGGCAUCGGAGGUUCUUCGGCCAAAGCCCCCCCCAUUCAUCGUGGGCGCGUGAGGCUCUUGGCCUUAACCUAAGGUGUUAAUUGUUUUGUAGGUGCAAAAUUGUCCAAGAACAAGGAGGAAGAAAUUUGCAUCCACAAUGCCAACGUCCGUGACGUCGAGUAGGUCACUGUGGUAUAUUCAUAUACCCAAAUUGAGCACCGUAUGAGAAGUUAUUACGAAUUGUCGGUUAUGUGCUUUAAUUAAUGUUUUUAUAGUUGUUUCGCAUAUAGGUGAUACCUAUCCCGAGGACAAGCGCAUCCAGGGACGUCACGGGGGUUACGACCCUUCGACUUACCAGUGAGUGGGUAGUAUUUUUUGUAUUUACCUAUAUACUAUCGAUUUUCCCAGAAAUUGAAUUUAAAUGAAAGUAUGUUUUAAAAUGCCAUGCAUACAUAUACAUGAAAUAUAUGAAUUGAUAAUUGAUGCAUAUAUAUAUGUGAAUUGGUGCUGUGGACGCAUAGGUGAGUAUCAGGUGAGUUUUAUGUUAUUCAUGUGAAUCAUUGAUGAUGUGAAUUGUGUUGAGAGCUCAUAACCUGCACCCCUGGUGUUAGUGCUUAUAUUAUUCACCCGCACCGCACGCUCACCUUGGAUCCAAGUAGGUACAUGUCGUACAGACCAUGAGAAGGUUCCGACAUGCUAGUCGUACAGAUCACUAGAGGUGGUUCCGACUGGUAGGCGACCUUAGAUUAUGUGCACAUGUGAUUGAUAAGAGAAGCACUAGAGCGUAUUAUUACAUCAUUCUUGUCGUAUAGACUACUUCAGGUAGUUCCGACUUAUGUGCAGAGUAGUGCCGUACAGGUCACUGUGGUGACUCCGGUUGGUUUGGAUAUUGAGCUAUGGAAUUAACCGUACAGGACCAACUGUAGGGUCUCCGGUUGAUUCAUUAUGUCAUCUGUUAUAUUGAUGCAUUCUUAAUCUGUUAUUGACAUUUAUGGCAUGGCAUAUUUUCUGGGUUUUGAUAAAGAAUUGUGAUUUGAGAUAUACGAAGAUUAUAUGCAUAUUAUGUUAUUUUCUGGGAAAAUAUACAGGUUUUAUAGCAAGGGGUUAGAAAUAUUUUAAAUGAAAUGUUUUUGAAAAACUUUGGUUUUACUGACCCACUCAAUUUUGUUUUGCGCCCCUCCAGGUUCUAGUUAGCAGCGUUGGUGGCCCGCGAGGAUUCCCACGGCGUACUGACAGACUACAUAAAUGUAGGACUCACCUGCGGGUGUUGUAAUUUAGUUAUGGUCCUACUUGACUGCACCUAGUACUUAUGCUUUGAAUUUGUGUGUUUCACACUUAAACUUACUCUAGCACGUUACUUGGUUAUUAUUGCUAGUAUUUGGUUUUUGUUUAUUCGUAUUUCUCUUAUCUAUUGCUUCCGCCUCGCACUUUUGGUUACGUCACGCCCACGUGACGGCCAGCACGCCUUGAUUCUAGGAUCGGGGUGUGUCAUAUUUUCUAAAUAAUAAUAAUAAUAAUAAUAAUAAUUUAUUAUUAAUAAUAAUGGGUUGUAAUCAUUCUUCAAUUGAUUUGGAUUUUGUUAUGGGUGCAUCUAAGGUCGUCACAUUUAACAUUAAUGGGUUGUAAUAUUUUCCAAAAACAAUUUAACAGUUCAGUAACAUAAUAAUUUUUUUCUAUAUUUCUUGGGUGCAUCUAAAGUCGUCACUUUUAACAUUGUAACCCCUUAUUUAAAAAAAAAAUCUAUCUACCGCACCACAACAAGGGAAAAAAAAUUCGAGUGUGCCGAGCGCUGAAUUGCACCGAACUCAAGGUGUUAUUUUUAUGGCCUGCUACUAUCCACACACUCCUAAACUCUAAACCAUCAAUAUUAUUUAUUUUAUGUGUUUUUUUUUUGUUAAAAUUUUCUUUUUUUCCUUACUAUAACACCAAACUAUAAUCUUCAUGUUCUACAAAAUGUAUUUUCGAUGAAUUUUUUUUUAUAAUCCAUGUGAAAAUACUUGAAAACAAGGAUACAAAUCUAAUUCUACUGAUAUUUGAAUCUAAAUAAAGUAACAUAGGAAGGAAAAAAAAUGCAAUGGGAAAAGAAAAAAGCAGAAAAUAAAUAGCUAAAAUGAAAAUGAUACAAUCAGAACUUUGAUACCGAUUGUCUAUGAAAGGUGUCACUAGCAAGGUAGCAACCUCACUCUGUAAAAGUCACUAGUGGGGUAGCGAGGGGAUCUAAAUCAAUCCCUGGCUUCAUACUGACCCCCCUUUUCAAUUUUUUUCUUUUUUUUUUGUUAUUUUUUUUAUCUUUCUUACCAUAACAACAAACUAUCAUAUUCAUGUUCUUCAAAAUUUAUUUUUUCCAUGAAAAAUCUAUUAUAAUUCAUAUUUAAACACUUGAAAACCUAAAUGUAAAGAUAUUUGAAUUUACUAGUUGUUACUUAAACAAAGUAACGUAUGAAGACAAAACGCGAAGGAAAAAAACAAAAAAGAAGAAAAUAAAUAAAUAACUUAGAAUAGGAAAAGAUCAGUACCACGCUAUUGAUCCUAGCCCAGUUGUCCAGGGUGACACUCAAGUGAUGGUGGCCAUCAACUACCUGCUUGUCAUUUCCAUCUCACGUGAAUUCUCAAAAUCUCACAGUGAGGCGGAGGUGAAAGCAAAUAGACAUUAUAAUGACAUUUGUGUUGAUUAUUAACACAUGGCCCUUUUUCAGUGGCCCAUUAUAAAACGUAACAGAAGCUUAUAUCCAACUAUUGACCCAAAACAAAUGAAAACCUAAGCGCACAUCCAUGACAGUAUUGGAGGAAAAACUCACGCUCAACAUCACAUUUAACACGUGCUGUUGAGUAGCAACAAACCUAGACCGAGAUUAGCCACCAUUUAAGGCCUCGUUUUGGCAGCUUGGAUUAUACUGACUAUUUCAAUCGGAUAGGAUAAUCUGUCAUUGGAUAGUACUGACUAAAUUAAUCGGGCUUUUAAUACAAUAUCGGAUUAAUGACCGUAUUAUUUAUAGUGUGUUUGGUGCGAUAUCGGAUACGAAAUAUUAUGACAUCAAAUGGUUAACAAAAACCACCCUCUUGUUGUAAAAUCGACAGUGUGUGCAGUGGAAUAAAUAAAAUAAGACACAAAAUUUACGAGGUUCCUCUACAAUCAGUGUGACUAAAGUACGUUCUCGGGACAGCAAUGGUGAUUUCAUUAUAAUUUGGAAUAAUAGGAAUACAAAGAUAACUCUCCAUAUUAUCUCUCUAUUCUUCCUCUCUUCUCAGCCAUGUUGCUUCUAUUCUCAUUCGUAUCUCAGCUCCUUAUUCACCUCUCUUUCAUUUUAUAAGCAAAGAGAACACUAUUCACUUUACAAAUUUUCCACAAAUGAAUAGUGAAAAUAUUGUGCAUAAAUAUUAACAAACCAUUCAUGUGGGCCAUCCAUAUAUUAUUCACAACACUCCCCCUUGGAUGGCCACAAGUCUUCGAUUGACUCGUUAAAAUCUUGAUCUGUUUUGGAUGCUCCCCCUGAUAAAUAUCUCCCCUUGAUUUCAAAUCAUUUAAGCUGAUCGUUGAUCAUUCUGUUUCAGUCUCUUAGCAAGAAGAGUUGCUGAAAAAUGUGCUUUACUUGUUGUGAACUUUCCACAUGCUUGUUCUUGAACUGAGCUGGAGGGUCUUCUGAUUUCCUCCAAAAGUCUGAAUUUACUUCAUUUAUCUGGAGCUAAAUUUGAUUCAAGGGUGGUGGACACUUGAUCUUGAAUCAGACUUGUGAUUUCUUCAAGGACCUUAGAUGCUUGAUCUUGAAUGAAAUUAGACCAUGAGGAGCUUCACGUGGCAAGUGAUCUUCAGCUUUGUCGGGGAUAAAUCAGCACGUGUUUGUUGUGCUUGUCUCCACAUGCUUCAAUGUAUCAUUUUCGCUUGCCUUAUCUAUUCCCCUUGCAUAAGUGGUAUUUUCCCUGGUUUUCCCCCAUGCAUGUGUGGCAUCUUCUCUUGUAGUAUUUGUCCACUGAUGCAGGAGUGGAAUGCAACCUUUGCAUUUGAAUGAUUCAUCACUUUUUGGUGACUUAUCCAUGUGUGGCAGCGGAAGUUUGAUUGGAGGUUUCGAAAUAUUGCUUUCUUUAUCCUUGUCUUUGCAGGUAAGAACAAGGACAAAGGAAAAGACAGAGAGAAAGCAUGAUAUGAGAUGCUCUUACUUUUUGACCCUGAUGAUAUGAUAUACUUUUGCUAUGGUGUGAUUUGUUUGAAGAGGUAUUCUUGGAGAGGAAGAAAACUGAGUAUUUCGAGAUGCUAUGUUGAAGAUGCAUUUUCGGAGAUGAGGAAGAGUUAGACAUUCUUGCAAGUUUGCCUUGUUAUAGAGAACCGAGGUCGACAUAUAUAGAGAUUUCACAAUAGCAAGUAGUGGUGUUGUGCCUUUACUUUUGUCAGCAACUGUGGUGUAAUUAGAACAUUAAGAUUUACGCAUUUUCAACUUUAUCAGAGAUCUUCGACAAAGUUACACGCGAUACCCGAAAAAGCUGAGAUUGUGUCUUAAAAAUGCCAAAAAACUUUAUUUAGGAAAAUCUGUCUUUUGAAAUUCGAAGAACGGUGUCUUUUUAAUCUCUGAACAAGUGGCUCUGUUGUCUCUUAUUUUAUAGAGACAUCAAUUGUGUUCAAGAAUAUGCUAAAGAAAUUGUUGCCUGUAGAAAAUUUCUCCUUCUUGCACUUCUGAGAUUUUAUUUGACCUCAUUUUUCCUCAUCAUUUCUGAAAAUGGCUUGCCCAUCUAACAUCUGCUUAGAUUUGAGUCUUAGGAGUGAUACAAACGAGCAUCGUCAGGAUAAUAUAUGGCGCCCGUCCUUCUUAUCUUCUAAUGGUCCUCUUAUAGUUGGGGACUCUGUGAUGAAGAAUAACAUAACCGCUACUGUGGUAGCUAGGAAUCUUCUCACUCCAAAGGAUAACAUAAUCCUUUCAAAACGAUCUGAUGAGUCGGCCGUUCAAGACUCAUUGGCUAUCAGUGUUCAAUGUGCUGGCUCUGUAUCCAAUAUGGGUCAACACCUACUUACUCAAACUCGCCAAGUUGAAUCAUUGAUGGCUGAGGUGACAAGUCUUAAACAAGAGAUCAGAGGGCUUAAGCACGAAAAUAGAGUGUUACACGUGCUUGCAAAUAAUUACUCUACAAGCAUGAAAAGAAAGCUCGACCAGCUGCAGGAAUUCGAAAGUCGGAUUCAAAGUGAUCACCAGAUGUUCGUUGCUAGAUUCCGAAAGCAACUGAUGCCUUCCCCUUCUUGUGUUUUGCCAAGUAAUGGGGUGUCAUAUGAUCAAUCUUCAGUGCCUCAUCUUUCUGAGGUACUGCUGAGCAAUGACGCUUCACAUAAGCAAUAUUUGUGAAGGUUUCAUCCUGUUUGUUUGUUUUAACUCAUGUGUAUGCACAUAUCUGUAAUUUCUCAGAGAUAUUAAUAGAUAAGCUUUAUUUCAUUCAAUGUAUUGUGCUAAAUACAAUAAAUCAUAUACUUUACUAAUAUGUGGUACCUAUGGACCAAAUAUCAAUUUAUCUUUACCAUCACGAAGAUAAAUGAUCAUUCUUAGUGUCGACAUUAUUUGAGUAUUUAACUCAUAAUCUUCAAUCCAUAUGAUUCUUUAAUAUCAUAAAAAUUAUGGAUAAGAUUUGUGUUGGCAUAUUGUUCGAUCUGCAGUUCGAAACAAUAUUUCUCUCAACACUUUAUAUUCUUUCUUGACUUUUUUGGAGUUUCAAUUUAAUAUCAUCAACUCUUCAGAAGUUCUAAUUUAAUGUCAUUGAUGUGGAUGCAAAUUUCCUCCUCCUUGAUCUUAGACAAAAUUGCACCUACAAAACAAUUAACACCUUAGGUCAAGGUCAAGUGUCUUACUCGCCCACGAUGAAUGGGGGGGUUUUAGCCGAAGAACCUCCGAUGCCAAAGUUAGAAUUUAGAGAGAAAAAUAUUUGGAGAGUUUUUUGGAGUUUUGCAAGCGUGUGGACUUAGCUUUUUAGAAGAAAUAGGGUCAUAUAUAUAGGGAAUGGGGUGUGGCCGGCCUUUAAGUGUGUUUUGGGGUGUUAUUUGGUGAUUCAAUUAGCAAUUAAUAUAUUAAUUAAGUAUAAAUAUAUUGAUUGGCUAAUUAUCAUAAUAAAAGAAAUGUUUUGGGAGGUUAUGGAAUAAGGAUGGAUGAGACAAAUUUGAACUUGUUAUCUAUUUUAGGCACUCCUGAUUUGGUUGAUGGAUGAUUCUCUACUGCUUGCGUGUAGGAGACCCGGUAUGCCUCGAGGGUAAAUUUGUCAUCUUCACCCAAAAAUUCACGUGUCGCCUUGUGAUUAUUUUUGGCUCCACAAAUGCCCCCACACCUGCUAGGCUACUUGUAGGAAAAGGCAACAGGUGUAGAGAUCUUCUUACUUUAUGACUGCUUCAUAUUUUGAUGGAGAUUCCCUCUUUAAUAUGAAAUUAGAUCCUUCUAGGAAAGGAAAAUAAAUUUUUCUCAAAGCCUAUUUAAGCCCACCUUAAGUGGGUUGUUAAAUCAACUUUGGAGAAAGAUUUAUUUUACCCUACAAGAGAGAGAAAGCUUAGAGGAUUUUUGUUCCUCAUCUCCUAGCAAUCUUCUACACUUGCCCCUGCAAAUGAUCGUCUUUCGUUGUUUUCUUCGUCUUCUCCGCGUCGCACCGAUGUAGGAAAAACUUAAUUCUCCUAGUCUUCUUCUUGGGAGGUGCUGUCACGGGGCAGCCGUCGGGGUGGUACGGCAUGUCGGUUGGCAGAGGCCAGGAGUCAGCUUGUCAUGAGCCAAGAAUGUGGUGUGGCAGGGGCCAUUACUUAUGCUGCUCAGCUUGAUUGAAGCCAGGGAUUAGCUAAGUAUGGGCCGAGGAAGUGGCGUGGCAUGGGCAAUGGCUGCCAUGUUUGGGUUGCUUGCAAAAAAUGAGGAAACUGCUUGAGUUUGAUUUCUUAGCUGCUGUAGAUAGAGCAAUCAAGGAUAAAGCUGCCAAGAUUUGAGCUGCUGAAGAUAAAGUGUCGAAUGAGUGAACUGUUAAGUGCAAAAGUGGCUGUUGCCAUUGACCAUUUGUUGCCUAGUUGAUCUUCAAACAUUCGAUCUUUUAAGCUAUGUGAGCUUCUCGCACUGGAGAGCUUACCCAGAUGGGUGUCGGGGGAUUAGUUUACCCUCUCGCAUUGGAGAACAAUUAGUUUACUCUCUCGCACUGGAGAGCAAUUAGUUUAUCCUCUCGCACUGGAGAGCAAACCCAUAUGGAUGUCAGGGAAUUGGUACACCUCUCGCACUUGAGAGCAAUUAGUUUAUCCUAUCGCACUGGAGAGCAUGAAAGUCGUUGUCGUGAGUGCAGCUAAGGAAAGCUGGACUGCUGGACAACUGAAAUAAUCCUUAGUCUGCCCCCGGUUCUUGGUAGUUGGGCUGAUGUGUCCUUUUGGUACUCGUCUGCCCCCGACGCCCCAUUAGGCUGAGUUGCUGCGUUUGUUGAAGCAGAAGUUGUCUUUCUAUUCGAUAAUCUAUGUGGGGUAGUCAUGUCUGCUCAAUCUUGUCAUUGAAAGAUAACUUGUUAUGUUGGUCAUGUCUCAUCGGAGCGCCUUAUCAAUGGCUUUAUUGCACGGGAAAUUACGCAAUCGCUUGGUCAUGAGCCUUUCUACUUUUCCUGAAUUUACCUUUGUUGGGGGUGGCAGAGCUCUCGGCUGCCUAGAUUUUGACCUACUGGUCUAGGCUGCUCUUUCAUGUGUUCGACUCAUCUACAUCGUGGCAGGGUGCAUGUGGUCUACUUCUGGCAAACGAGGGAAUUCUUUACAGGCUGCCGGUUGAACUUGAGCCGGAUUGAGUGAUUGUUUCUCUCUGUUCAUCGUGUUACCUGCUCCGAUGUGAUGUGGAGGAUACUCCUUGUGGGCCUAGCCGCAAAUGAAUGUUUUGCCUGGAAGGCUGCACAUGUUGAUUAUCAGAGUGUGGCCCCAACCAUGAAUGUAUACUUGUCCUCGGGCUUAGUCGAGAGUGCACACUCCUCCGCGCGCUAAGACGGGAGUAUACGCUAUCUCGGGGGCCUAAUCGGGAAUGUACACUGCCUGAAUGCUCGGCAUGUGGCUGCUGGAAAGGUUCGUCUGCCCUUAUCCUACUUCUGGACACCUUGUCAGGGGCAUGUUGGAUCUCGAUACGUUGCAAAAGUUGAUUCAUCAAGCUCAUCUGUUAUGCAAGGGUGCUCGUCAACUCUAUGACUUGUCGAGACAAGUGUUGUUCGCCAUUUAGAUUGGAAGAGCUUGGAAAGAAUGUGCCUCAUUGAGCAGUGGAAGUGUGGUAAGCUCCGGCGCGAGAUUUGAGUUGGGAAAUGUCAAAUCCUUGAAGAAAUAUGGUGAAAAUACCCCUGGCUUGAUGGUAGGUCCAGAUGGUUGAGAUAGUCUUAGGCCGACUUGAGCUGUUUGGGAGGCCACGGGGGCAGGCUGGGUUGCGGGAGAAGGCUGGGUCGCGGGAGUAGGCUGGGCCACGGGAGUGGGCUGUUCGGCGGGAGCAAGCUCGGCCGCAGAAGCAUGCUGGAUCACAGGAGGAGGUUGGGUCGCGGGAGCAGGCUGGGCUACGGAAGCAGGUUGGGUCGCAGGAGCAGGCUGCUCAAUGCGUGGUGCAUACGAAUGCGAGGCUUGGGCUCGGGCUAAUGCAAGCUUGGAUGGCAUGGCUUGGGCCAUGGUGAAACCUUGUAGUGGUGGUGCCACUCUGCUUACGACCGCAUUUUGCCUCAUGGAUCUUCGCAAUCCAAUUUCUUGAGUAUUGGAAUUUUCACUUAUGGAAUUUUCUAAAUUUCUAAACAUUAUAUUUUUCUUAUACGUUUUAUCAAAGAACCUUUGCAGAUAAAAAAUUCUAAUAAUAAGAACGUAUGAAAAAUAUUCAAAUGGACUAUAAAAUAGAGAAAAACCUUUUUAUGCGAGAGUCUUCUACGAGUAUGGAUUUCAACUCUCAAUGAAAUCACCAAUUUGUGAAUGCAAAUUUCUCUCCUUGAUCUUGGACAAAAUUACACCUACAAAAUAAUUAACACCUUAGGUCAAGGUCAAGAACCUUACUCGCCCAUGAUGAAUGGGGGGCUUUGGUCGAAGAACCUCCGAUGCCAAAGUUAGAAUUUAGAGAGAAAAGUAUUUAGAGAAUUUUUUAAAGUUUUGCAAGAGUGUGGACUUAGCUUUUUAGAAGAAAUAGGGUCAUAUAUAUAGGGAAUGGGGUGUGGCCGGCCUUUAAGUGUGUUUUGGGGUGUUAUUUGGUGAUUCAAUUAGCAAUUAAUAUAUUAAUUAGGUAUAAAUAUAUUAAUUGGCUAAUUAUCACAAUAAAAGAAAUGUUUUGGGAGGUUUUUGGAGGUUAUGGAAUGAGGAUGGAGGAGACAAAUUAUACAAUGAGGAUGGAUGAGACAAAUUUGAACUUGUUAUCUAUUUUUGGCACUCCUGAUUUGGUUGAUGGAUGAUUCUCCACUGCUCGCAUGUAGAAGGCUUGGUAUGCCUCAAGGAUAAAUUUGUCAUCUUCACCCAAAAAUCCACAUGUCGCCUUGUGAUUAUUUUUGGCUGCAUAAUUGACUCUUGCAAGAUAUUUUAGUAUGUUGCAACAAUAUCAUAAUGAUAGCACUCACUAAGACAAUUUAUACCAUCCAUUGGUAUUGAGUACAUAUUUUAUGUUUUAUCCUUCCGGGGCCUACUUCAAGCAAUUUGAAUCCUUCAGGGAUUUUCUACACUUCAUGACAUAUUUUCCUUUGGAAUUUAUACAGAGCAACUUGCUCCUAUGUAUAAUUGAAGGAUUUACUUAUGGAGAUGUGAUGUGGGCGACUCAACCCUUCAUAAAUAAUUCUCCAUUCAUAUGAACUUAUUUACAACCUUGUGUCAUAUCAUGUGAGUGUAUUUCACUGUAUUACAAAAGCCCAAUGUAACCUCUUUGGUUCAACAUCUUUUGGUUAUUUGUAUUAUAUUCAAAUAUAUAGGUUUAUUUUUCCACGUUCUUACAAAAUUGUAAUGGAAUUGCCUUUUUCCUUCUUUUUUUUCGUUGAAAAGAACAAGACUCAAUAUCAAUACAGCUUAUUGAUGAAUUUAGUAGCUACUUAUAAAAACCAAAAUUACCAUUGGUUAUCAUUAAUCUAUGAUCCCAUAUUCUCAUGUGCAUGCGCAUGCAUAAAAACUUUUCAUUUCUUUUGGAUAUCCAUUGCCUCUUCAAAGGCAUUACAUUAUCUCUUCCAGGAUAGUCAUAAUUUAGAGAAUGUGGAUCAUAACCUCCUCUAGAGCGUUAUAGAGCUUGGAUUUUAAUCUCCACUUCUGGGAGUUGAGUCAUUUGGAAUCUAUACAUCUAUCAUGCUUCAUGCAUGAGACAUCAACAUUCAUAUGUUCGCGGAUUGUCGUAUAUCCAUGCGGCGACUAUCAAGCUUCUGGCAUGCAACAGUUAUACUUCGGGAAUGCAAUAGUUUAGGAAUGUCAUAUUCUUCCUCUUUUGGAAGACUGAAUCUUUUUGAGUCUAAGGGUCUGCCACGUUUUAGGCGUGCAACAAAUAAAUCAUUUGCUGCCUCAUUAUUUUUUACCAAGAAGGACAUCAAUUAUUGUAGGCACAUUUGCAGCAAAUAUAUGUGAUUUCAUCACUUUCUUGCAUCAUUAAAUGCAUCUGAUAUUUUAUUGAUAUAUCGUUGCAUUAUUCAAUUAUUUUGUCUUCAUUUUCAUGUUGAUUGCUUCGUGAAUUAAAAUAAGACAAAUUCUCUUCGUUCUUCUGGAACGGUCUUUUCUCAUUAUUCUUUUGGAAUGAUAUUGUCUCAUCGUUCUUCUGGAACGAUGUUAUUUUCUCCUCCUAACGGCGAGAAAAUUGUCUUAUCAAAAUGACAGUACGCAAACCACGUGGUAAACAUAUCCCCAGUCAAGGGUUCCAAAUAUUGAAUGAUAGAUGGUGUUCAACAUCAAUGCCUAAUUCGUGAUGAUGCCUCAUUUCAGUACGUUGUGGCAGUGCAAUAGGCACAUAGAUAACACAUCCAAAAACUCGUAAAUGUAUAAUGUUUAGCUAGUUGCCAAACACGAGUUGUACUGAGAACUAUUGAUGGUUGGUAACAUGUCUAAACCGAAUUAAUAAUGCAUCAUGCAAAAUAGCAUGUACCCAUGCAAAAAUUGGCAAUUUUGUUUUCAUGAGCAGAGUUUGGGUAAUCAAUUUCAUCCGCUUAAUAAAGGCUUCUGCUAAACCAUUUUGAGUAUGGACAUAAGAAACUUCUGGUCCUUAUUUAAUAGUCUGUAGACUGAGACUUUUAUGGCCUUUAUUACAAUUAAGUCGAGGCACUACGGCACUUCAAACUUACGGUGCUCAUCAAGUAACUUCAUGUCUUGGUCUUCAGGAUCAAGAGACUUCAUGUCUGAUCUUUCUGUAUGAUGGAACUUCGGGUCCAAUCAUUUUUAUAUGAUGAGGAUCAAGAAAUUGCAGGUUCAGAUCUGUUCAAGCAACUUCGAGUCCUUGUUAUACUCAUCGUAACAAAAGAUAAGUACAAUAAGUAAAUUAAAGCAAUAGGCGGUAAUUUCAGCCAUAAUGAAUAAAUUGCAUUUAAGUAAAUAAAGUUUGUGAUAAUGACUUUAAUUCAGCACCAUUCACAUAAAUCAAAACUUAAAGCAGUAUGCGGUAAAACCGUCCAUAAUAAAUAAAUUGCUUUAAAGUAAAUAGAACUUGUGAAAAUGUUUUAAGCCAACAUAAUUCACAUAAAUAAAUAUAUAUUUUUUUCUUCUUUCUUUUCAGAUGGUGCAACGCCAUUCAAAAGCCUUUACUUUUUUUUUUUAUUCUUAUUCAUUCACAUGCUGCAUCAUUCCAAAAACUUGGCCCCAUUAUUACUUUUCAUUCAAAUGGUGCAGAUGUAUCAUUAUGCCUUUUCCAUUUUUUAUUUAUUUCUCGCUUUUUCAAAUGGUGCUAUGCAUUAUUGCCUUUUUCAGAUGAUGCCAUGCAUAUUCCAUAAACUUCUUCCCUUUUCUUUCUUUGUCUGUCUCUACCAGUCUCGAAACCCAGGAUCAGUUGAGUUGUUGUGGAGGUCACACAAAACCAAUUCAGUAUAAAAAGGCUACCAGAGACUGGCGUUGUUCUUGCAUGGCCUAGAGAACAUGACAUCGUAAAGCAAGAACCUCCUUACAGAGACAUAGAUGAUAAUGGGGUUGACGGAGGCACAAGAGAGGGAGGCUUAAAUGAAGUUAGUCUUGCCAUCACCAUCUCAGACAACUGAGUAUUCAUGGGAGUUCUCGAGAUCCGUAAAAAACGACGCGAUCUGGGUUUCCAAGUCUGAUGAGAUUCUUAUGGAUCUCUGGAAACCAGUUGUUAAGUAUGAGUUUUCUCAUAUCGUGACGACUUCAGGUCGUUGUAAAUUUCAAUUCUCACCAGAAUUCAAUGGGGCGCUUCAGGCGCGGUGGGAGAGACAGAAAAUGGACAUACCUUUUAUUCUGUGAGAUUUUGGCUAGCAGAGGUGAGAGGUAGGUAAUGCUUCAACAUAUUUAUAGCGUUGUGCUUUCUACUGACAUGAAAGAUUCUCGUGUUGAUAACGUGUUGUAAAAUCGACGAUGUGUGCAGUGGAAUAAAUGAAACAAGACACAAAAUUUACGAGGUUCCUCUACAGUCAGUGUGACUAGAGUACGUCUUUGGGGCAUCAGUGAUGUCUUCAUUAUAAUUUGGAAUAAUAGGAGUAUAAAGAUAACUCUCCAUAUUAUCUCUCUAUUCUUCUCCUCUUCUUAGCCAUGUUGCUUCUAUUCUCAUUCGUAUCUCUACUCCUUAUUCACCUCUUAUUCAUUUUAUAAGCAAAGAGAACAAUAUUCAUUAUACAAAUUUUCCACAAAUAAAUAAUGAAAAUACUGUGCAUAAAUAGUAACAAACCACGGCAAUGGUAUUAUUCACAACACCUCUUUGUAUUUCACGAUAAGAGUUGCAGAGAAUGCCUUUGCUCCACAACAAAAAGAUAUUUUUAUUUGGGAUUUUAAGCAGUCAAAUUACUAGGCUAAUGUAAAAUCCCAAAUUACAAAUCGCAGAACAAAACAUUCUGCACCAAUUUGCUCCUGCGCGUCGACCUCCUUUAACAAAUUGAACUCCAACCCUUUAUUCUUCUUCUUCUUCAGCUCCUCGAUUCAUUUUCCCAGAAGAUUCUUAUCCUCGUUCUCUCUCCAACAACUUCUCUAGAAGCCCCUCCGUGUUGGUUUUAUACCUAAUCGCCCAAAUAAUACCCAACGAGAAGCAGAGCGACAUGAUCCAAGACCGGCGGCACGCGAACACGUGCGGGUCCCGCGACGAGGAACUGAAGAGGAGGGCGACAACUGCGACGAGAAACUGAAGAGGACGGCGAGGGCCGUGGAGUGCAAGAGGAAGAAGAAGAUGAAGAGCAUCGCGGAUUCCUUUCGAAUCGAGUCGAUUUGGAUUCUUCGACAGAGAUCCAGUUGAGAAUUAGCUGUUCUUCUUUCAGCCAUUGCUUCAGAAGAAGCUUGUGGCUUGGCGACUGAGCGAUUUGGUGAGUGGGUGUGGGAGACAGGGAGAAGAAGAAGGAGAAGGAGGAGGAAGAACAUAGGGAUUGACGAUGGCAACGGGAGUGAGUUGGCACAACAAUGCGAGAGAGCGAGACCGAGAGAGCGACACGGACACAGACCCGUAUUAUACAUAAAUUUCUGGAAGGAUAAAUAAGCGGGCUGCGGGCAUACACCGUAUAAAAGAUGUGGGCCAGUUUAGUUAAUACGGAUACUAUUUAGUACAUAUUUGUACCAAACACCCUAUUCGUGGUUUUGUAAAUAAAUUAAAAUGUACUGACAUCUUUUAUCCUACGUAACAUCAAAUUCAAAUUUUGAAUUUUAUUUUAAGUUUUAAUAAACGUGUGUGUUGUCAUUUAGUAUUACAAUCUAGUAAUAUUUUUUUUUAAUUUGUAAGUGAGAAAUUUUAUAUUUGAUUAUAGUUAAAAGCGAAUUCGAACCAUAUUAUUACUAAUUUAUUACGAGACUAAGCCUGAAUUGUAUGUGUGCCUAACUCUAAAUAACCCAAAACUAGUUCACAUACAAAAUGAAUAAUUACCUACCUAUCUAUUUUCAUUUUAAUCUUUUAAAUGCAUGUAAUUUCAGUGUUUAAAAAAAAAAAAUUACAAAAGAGCUACAAUAACUCUCGGCAAGUGUUAUGAAACAGAAAUUCCCUUAAAAAAAAUUAUUGUACAGGAAAAAAUAAAUAAAUGAAAAAUAAAAAUAAGGAACGAGGAAGAACCCGAAAGAAGAAAAACAAUAUUUCAGUCUAAAAUCGAGGAAGACGCCUUAACAAGUGAACAACACAGAAGAGAAGAGAAGCUCGCUUCCUCCAUCAUCCCCCCGCCACCGUCAGCCACUCUCUUGGUUUUUCCAUUCCAAUUUCUCCACCUCCGUUUCUUCUUCUUAUUUCUUCAGCUCCGCUCUAUUGCCGCCACCUGAUUGCUUCAACUACCUCUCCCUCUGCUUCCACCUCACGGUGAUGAGUAAGUCUCGAAACUGAUUUUUCUGAAUUUUUUGCUCUGUCUGUUUCGUUGAUAGGAUUCAGGUUAUGGAAUUUCAAAUUUAGGGUUGGGAUUAAUGAUGUUCUCAUUAAUCAAUUUCCCUGCUCCUCAAUUGAUCUUAGGGUUUGUGUUUUUGUUAAAAUUUUGGGAUUCAUGUUUUGGGUCAAUUGGUGUAGGAUUUGCUACAAUUUUUUACAUUUUGGCCGCAACGUGGAAAGGAUUGGUUUUGACAAUGAAAAAAUGGUAAUUGAUAUGAAAGUAGGUGCAGUCCUCUGAAUAAAUGUCUAUUAUAUCUAUAAUCGUGUUACGCGGCACACAAUUUUUUUCCUUUUCGUGUUAUUUUCGUAUGACAUGCAUAUCGGGCUUUCAUGCUUGGGUUCAGAACUGACUUAGUAAGACAAAUUGAUAGUAGAUCUACCUGUUAUAUUUAUUUGAAUUUGGUAUGCCCACUACUGACAAAAGGCAUUUUGGUACUCCUGAUAUCUGUUUUUGGUUUCUCUGUUAUACACUCAUGAUUCGAUGUUAGAAAUUGGCUUAGCUUGAAAAGAAAAGUCCAUACUUUAACUACCUGGUGUAUUUCUUUGUAGCUGCCUGAAUGAAUAGAGGUACAUGGUAAUCCAGAUAUAAUUAUCGGCUGAUUAAUGGGUAAUGAGCAAGUCUUUGUUGUAUGUUGAUGCUUUGGUUUUCAACCAAAUAUCAGGAAAGGGGUGAAACCCCAUUGAAUAUGAUAUAAAUUGUGUAUACUUUGGAGCUUCCCUUUUUCAGCUUCAAUGAUUAGAGAUCUUAUUUUGGAUGUUUUUAACUGAAUGUAACGAAAAGUCUGAAUGUUCAUCAUGAGAUUGAUAAAUAGAUUGAAAUUUCUUGCUUUAUUUCAUGUGAUGACCUUAUCUGACAUUUGAGCACUGUACAUCUGUGGACUAAGGCAUUAAUGGCCGCUGUUGCCAACAGUGUCCUCUAGGUGAUUUUCUUGUAGUGAUUGUAGGAUGGUUUGAAGAACUUAAGACCAUCGAUAUAGAGUAAUGGGUAGCAGAGAGAUGGACAAACCUGCUAAAGAGAAAGAGAAGGAGACGAAGACAACACCUGCUACUACGCAGGUCCAUUUGUGUGUCCUUUUAUUGUCUCUGUUAUGAUAAGUUGAGGCCCUAUCAUAUUGGUAGUUAGAAAAGAGCAUUAAUGUUUUGUGGGACUUUUCAGGAGCAGCCUGCGACUACUAGUACUGGCACUGUUAAUCCUGACUGGUCGGGAUUUCAGGUUACAAAGUGAAAAGCCUCAGUUUUGGCAUUUUUGUUUAGUUUAAGAUAUGUUUGGAAUUUAUUGUGGGUGGUUGUUUGUUCAACAGGCAUAUUCUCCAAUACCUCCACAUGGAUUUAUGGCCUCAAGUCCUCAAGCUCACCCGUAUAUGUGGGGGGUUCAGGUAUAUUGGUGCCUAUAAGACUUCUUUAUUUUUUUUUGUUUAAUCUUGAUUCUUGAUUCAUGACCAACGAAAUAAAUCCUGAUUAUUCAACAUUUGGAAGGCACUUUGUAAAACAUUUGACUUUUAUGCUAUUUUUGACUCGGUGGCUUUUGGACUCGGUGCUUUUGGACAUCUAAGAGUUGUGAGCUGUAGGCAGUACAGUGGGAACUUAACUAAACAUGUAUUCUUUCUUUACAAAUCAUUUGGAAAGUGUUAAUAAACUGAGAGACAGCUUUGGUUCAUCUGAAAGAUCUUGCCUUUAAGCUUUUUUGCAAGUUUCUGGGAUACUGAGCAUGUUAGCAAGAAUGGGAUACAGACAUAGGAGUAUUUUUCUUUGUAAUGAUUGUCUUUUUAACCAUGGAUUCUUGUAGAAUUAAACUUAGAAAGGAUUUUUCUUUAGUUUGAUGAAGUAAAUUACUUUUCUCUCUUUCUAAAACAAAAACAACAAAUACAAAAAAAUGAAGUGACUUGUUUUUUUUUGUCUCCUAUUUCCUAACAGUCUACUAUUUAUAUUUAUUUUUCUUUCUCUGAGGUUACAAAAGGCAGUGGGUAUGUUAUUGAAAAUACUGAUGAAAAUGCGACUAGAUUUAUUCUUUUGAUGCUUCAAACUUGCAAAGGGGCUGGUACCUGGUUUAUUUAUAUUAACAAUGUCUAAUUUUCAGCAUAUUAUGCCCCCAUAUGGUACCCCUCCACACCCAUAUGUUGCAAUGUAUCCCCAUGGCGGGUUAUAUGCUCACCCGUCUAUGCCUCCUGUAAGUUUUUGUCUAUUUUGCUUCAGCUGAAGUACCACAUUUCUCUCUAGCCUCAUUUUCUGGAUGGCACUAACUCUUUAUGCCUUGCUUUAAACAGGGAUCUUAUCCUUUUAGCCCGUUUGCUAUGCCUACUCCAAAUGGCAUUGUAGAGGCUUCUGUAAGUUUCUAUCGCUAUACCAUUUGUUGUUUAAGAUAAGGUAUUUUCCAUUUGAGUAGAGCAGAUAUAAUUUAUAAAAUUGCAUUUAGGGUAACACACCUGGAAGCAUGGAAGCAGAUGGUAAGCCAUCUGAGGUAAAGGAAAAAUUACCAAUAAAACGAUCAAAGGGAAGCUUGGGCAGUUUGAAUAUGAUUACAGGGAAGAAUAACGAGCUUGGCAAAACAUCAGGAGCCUCUGCUAAUGGAGUUUAUUCCAAAAGGUAACUGAUCAUGUUUAGUGCCUAUUGGCCUUUUGUAUCAGGGAUUCGAGCUGCCCCCUUACUGAAAUAUUUGGAUUUAAAACACUCUGGAUGGAAUAGGGAGAUCAAAGCCAUCUAUUUGAUAAGCUUUGUGUAUCUUUGUCUGUUCCAAUUUUAGUCUUCAUUGAUCUUUCAGCUAAUAAAAGUCAUAUGAAAGUGAUUGUGAAGCUCAUUAACUUGUUGAUCAUAAUUUUGUGCUAGGAAAUCAUGUUUGCAUAGAUGCUCACGUAGCUCAUAAUGUGUAGUACUGAUUGGAUCCUAAUUAUGAAAUCAAAUCUAGGUUAGAGCAGUGCAGGACUCAUAUGGUGUUUUCUCUUGGAUCUCUCAUUGUUGGAUCAUGUUUUCACAUGUUAAUUUUGGUAAUGCUUGAAAUAUGCUUUGGAAAUGCAGUGCUGAGAGUGCUAGUGAUGGUACAAGUGAAGGAAGUGAUGCAAAUUCUCAGAGUGUAAGUUCCAUGCUGUUUAAGUUGAUUAUUUGGUUUAAUUUAUUUGGGCCAGAUAAACUGACCCCCGGGUUGUUUAUAUCGAGCCUAUUGUAAGUAGAAGGCUUGGUGUCAAUGUUGCAUUGCUUGUAAUGGAAGUUUGGUCUAUUCGAGGAAUCUUUAUAAUUCUUCUUGAAUGGUUUAUAUCCCUAUUGAAUGGCUCUUGGUUUUUUUUCUUCCUUGUCAUUUUUUUUGUAAAAUUUAAUUUUUGUGAGCUGCUUCUGUUUUCCAUCUUAUUUUCAUUGCUUGUGUAGGACUCCCAAUUGAAGUCAGGGGGCAGGCAAGAUUCUUUGGAAGGUUUGAUUAUAUAAUUUUCUGAGGCUGUUAAUCUUUACUUAGAGAUUUUACUAAGGAUUGUAUGGCCUUAUUGCAGGUGAUGUAUCUCAGAAUGGCAGUUCAGCACAUGGUUCCCAGAAUGGAGCACCGCAUACCAUGUUGAAUCAAACAAUGGCCAUCAUGCCAUUAACGGCUGCUGGUGCUCCUGGUGCUGUUUCUGGUCCUGCAACAAACUUAAAUAUUGGGAUGGACUAUUGGGGUGCUCCACCUUCUGCUGCCAUGCCUGCAAUGCGUGGGAAGAUUCCAACUACUCCAGUAUCAGCAGGAAUAGUUACUGCUGGGUCUCGGGAUAGUGUUCAGUCACAGAUUCGGUUACAAGUAAUCUUUGUUCCCAUGUUUCAAAUUCAAUUUUCUUUUCUUCUUAUCAUGUUUUUUCUCCUGCUCUUAGUUAGUCUAUUUUGCAUUAAGAUAUAGUUUAUAGAUCUUAUUAAAAUGAGGAAGAAGAUUAACUUUGAGAAUGCAAGGUGAUGGUUACAUUUUUAAGUUGCACAACUUGCAUUCCAUGUGAAAAUUGGUAUUUGUGCAUGCUUUCUUAGCGUUUAGGUUAAUAGAAUUUUGAAACAGUUAUAUUCUGUGGUUGUAAUACAGUAGAUGGAGGUUGUUACAUGAAAACAUGGUGUAGGUAAGUCAAUUGAGUUUAUAAUUCAUGGGUAAAACGAUUUUUUGUCGCUUUUGAAGAAAGCAAUAACCAUCUAGGAUAUCUGCAUGAAUUGUGUCUCCUCACUUAUUCUGAUUUCCAUGCUUAUUUGAAAUUACAUACUGGCUUUCUUCUCAUCAGCAUUGCUGUGACCUCUAUUAUUACAAGUUAAUAUGAACCAUGUUAAGGUUAGCAGUCCACUAGUUGUGAUUGCGAGUCCACAUGUUUAUUUUGUCAACUACUUGCUUUAAUCUGAUUGCUAUUACCUGUAUUAUGAUUCAGUAUUAUACUAUUCUUGUUUUGUGGCUAUACCUACAGAUAAAACACACGUACUCUAUAUGUAGUUGAUAUUCUUAGGGAAAUCCUUACUUCAUACAUCUUUGAGAUAAAUAGAGAUGGAUGCUUGACGACUGUCUGAACAAAGGCAUGCCCAUAUGUGGUUUUGUCAAGAGGCACUGUACUUGUUAAUUGCAUGUUGCAAGGUUGAUGUCCUUCAUAAGUUUCUCCACAGAUACAUGAUGUAGAAUCACCCUUGUUUUGGGUUGUUGCCAAAAGUUGGAGGGGUGAAUGCUAGGGUCUAAUUUUAAGGUUUAUGGUAUCGAACAGUAUGGUAAGUACUAAAUUAAAGGAUUGAAAGCUCAUUAAUGGGCUGCAAAUACUUGUUUUGGGCUGGGAAGUAGUAAUUGAAGAACACUGUUUUGGUUAUUUUCUACAUUAGAUUAUGAUGGUCGGUUGUGUCAGAGUUUGUUGAAUAUGACUUUUAAGUUGGAUUGGGAAUUGGUGAGUACAGGGAGGGAUGGGUGUGGGAAAUUUUUUGUUCAAGAAUAAAUUGCUGCUUCAUUAAAUGGCUUUUUCUGAUUUCCUCUGGGAAGGGAGUCAUUGUGGCACAAGGUAACAAAUAGGAAAUAUAGGUCCAGAGAACAGUUGGGAUGCUACAAGGACCAAAGGGAUCUGAUUGAAUCCUUGUAAAAAAACAUGUCUGAAACAAGAAUUUGCCAAAUAGAGUAACUAUUUAAAACCCAAAGAAAUAAUAUUGGUUCGUAACUGGACUACUUUUAAAAUCCAACCGCAUCCUAGUAUGAAGUAUUACAACAAAAAAAAAAUGCAAAAAACUUCUGAUACAUAAACUACAAAAAUGCCUAAGCGUACAAGUCUAACAAAACUGGUCUGUCCUAAUAUUAUCAAUCCCAUUAUAGUACAUUACUGAGAAAUCCUUAGGUAGCCUUACAUUGCCCUUGAAAGUUUGAUGUGUGGAACCAACAUCAUUCGCACCAUAUCAACCUUUUCGUUCUUCUUCUUCCUCACAUUUAUUUUGCAGUUUGGUCUUUUUUGUUGACCUACAGAAUUCCUAUCCCAUAGAGCAUCUAGACUCCAAUUCGUUGCGCAGGAGGAUUACAUACUUGAGUUGAAAGUGUCAUGUACGAUAUAUCAUUGAUAUUAUGAUUGAUUACUAGCAUGGUAGACGUUUCCAAUGGUUUCCUGUGAACUUGUACGUGUUUUUGAGUGAAUGAUUUCCUUCUGGUGUCUAAAUUUUGUGGUAUAUGUGUUUAAUAUCAAUGUCCUUAGUGGAGUGUCACAAAGUAUUGCUUUAAGCGCCCUCACCUCUAGUUUUUCCUGCUCAGGAUGAGAGAGAGAUGAAAAGACAGCGAAGAAAGCAGUCAAAUAGGGAAUCCGCUCGUCGAUCUAGGUUGCGCAAGCAGGUGAUUUUUUGCAUCUGUUAAUUUUCUCUUGCAACUUGGCACUGUAUGUACCAUAUGAACUCAUCUGAUGUAUAUGCAUGAUUUUAAAUUAGGCGGAAUGCGAUGAGCUGGCCCAGCGUGCUGAAGUCUUAAAAGAAGAAAAUAACACUCUAAGAUCAGAAGUUAACCAGAUCAGGAGCGAGUAUGAGCAGCUUCUUUCAGAGAAUGCUUCUCUAAAGGUAAUGUUUACACUUGGUUUGUUUAGUACCUAUUUUUAUAAAGAAAAAAGAGAUUCAAUGACCAGCUAAUUGAUCCCAUCCUGCCUUGAAGGAUCUGUUAAAAUUUCAUUAUAAAUUUUCUUGGAAUGAUUUGUUUUGCAUCAAAACAAUCCCAAAUUACUUACUAGAAACUGUUCUAGCAAACCUUGAUUUAGGAUUGCUUUGAUCCAAAACAUAGUAAGCUAACAUUGGUGAUCUUGAUAGAUCCUUCACGUUUUGCAUUUACCCUAUUUGAAUGGCUGUGUAGCAAGUGACAAUUCAAUCCGAUACAGAUUUUCCAGUUCUCACAGAAACUCUUGGGUAAUUAAAAAUUUCAUUUAAAAUGUCUUGCCACAUUCUAACUCCUUGUAAUGCAACGUACAUAGUAUAUUAGAUAAGCCUAACUGCAUGGUUCAUUGGUUUGGGAUAAGUGGUGUACUCUCACUCUGAUCCAGACCCUUGUUUUUCGUUUCGCAUAACAAUUUGUGGAUCCAGACUCCAGACAUCUUUGUCUUCGUGGGAACUCUAAUGGAAAUGUAAUUUUGAUUAGGGAUGUACCAUGUUAAACUGGAUAUGCUACUUUCUUUCUACAGGAGAGGCUUGGAGAAAUUCCUGGUCAUGGAGAUAUACGGUCUGCCAGAAGUGAACCACAUUUGGGCAAUGACACUAAACAGAAUGCACAUACAGAACAGCACGGUGGCCACUAGGAUGAGUAACUCAGCUUUAUGGUGCCUUCUUGCAGGAGCACAAUCUAACCAAUUAGCAACAGUGAGUUUAUUUUGCGUAGCGUGUAGUUUGACCUUUGUCGAAGUUUUAACCUUUCAUAUUUUAGGAUAUGUUCAUAUUUGCGUAUCAUAUUUAUCUCUGCUUGGGGUUACCUUUAGGAGUUGACGCCCGAAGAUGAUAUGUCGAGUGAGAAAUUAACGUCAUACCCUUGUUUGUUUCGUAAGGGUAGUGGCAUUCACACUUAAAGUUAAUAUGUAUUAAAUAUGGACAAUGAAUCCGUAACUUGGGAGAGUGAUUGAGUAUAGGAUGGUACGCUAACAGAAAUCUUGAUUUGUAAACUGGUUUACUUAUGUCUACUAUUUAUAUGUUGGUUGCAUUAGGCACGUUGAAGUCCAUAGUUACCCAAGUUAUGUGAUGUUACUAUUUUGCUCAAAUUAUAGCCCCAAUGUUUCGUGCAAAUGAUACAACGCCAUGUGAAGAUAAAUUUACACUUCAUUGAUGGGGGCGUUGUACCUGUGCCAGUGGCGGUGAUCCAAGUUUUAAGUCGAUCCAGCAUGAGUUUCAAGGUUGGUACUAGGUUUAGGCAGGGUUAUUUAUUUAGGAGACAUUUUGAUAACCACUUUGUUUUCAGUUUUUAGUUUCUGGUUUUGGUUUUUAGUUUUCACUUUUCAGUUUGAAUUUGAUCUGACAAGAUUUCAGUUUUCAGUUUUCAAAAGUGAUAGCAAAAAUUGAAAACGAAAUGGUUAUUAAACAGCUCUUUAACUAUGCGUUCAUACAUUUUUAAUUAAUUGAGCGCUGAUAGGGCAUUGAACUUGGGUCUCGGCCCUCGUCUUUUCUAAUCUUCUGCUCCAAGUGUUCUCUCUAUGAUUGCACUAAUGAAGUCAAGCACUCCAGGCGAACAAAGCUGAGAGAAUUACGCAGCGGAGGAAGAUGGAAGUACAAUGCGAUUAAAAGUAAGAGAUAAAAGGCUUAGGUUUGGUAAAUUGGGACAAAUCAAACCAGGACAUAAUAAAAAUCGAAGAAAAAGUGUUUAGAAAAAGAAACGCAAAUUUGACGUAAAAGACUGAUACUAGAUAUGAACAUCGUUUAAGGUUCAGAGCUUGAAGGGAAAAAAAAUGUUAUGCCACCACCAACUUACCAUGUCCAUCACAACCGGCAUGUUAAACUAUCGCCACUAUUGUCACCACUACUGCCACUAUUGUCACCACUACUGCCGCUAUUGCUACCGUCACCUCUAUUAUUUCCACCGCCACUAUGGCCACCAUCUCUGCCACCAUCAGUCCCGUCGCUUUGCAACGACCAUUGUCAUUACCACUCUUCACUAUCAUUGUCGUCAUCACCGCCGCCGUUCCAGCUACCAUCACCAUCUACACUGCCACCACACCCACCACCAUUGGCCCCUCCCUACCCUGUUAUUGCCACCACCAUCGCCACUGCCACUCCCAACCACUAUUAUUACUAGCAUCACCCUCGCCACUAUCACGCACCGCCACUACUUCCACCAUUAACAGAUACAUUUUCAAUAUGAGAAUAGUUAAUGAUACUUCAAGAAUCUCAUUUUGCACUCCAAACUUUCUAUAACUAGAAAAAAAAAUACACUUAUAAGGAGUGUAGAAUGUCUUUCUCAAAAAAUCAUUCUCAAAUUAAAUUACCAAACUCAUUCUCAAACUAUGAAAAUACAAAAUAAGAUUGUUUUCAUUUACAAAAUAUGUAACUUUAGUUGGGUUAGAAUUUCUUCCUCCUAAGCUAGUGUAUUUCAAAAUAUAACAUUAGUUAAAGCAAAAAAAAAAAAGUCAAUUAAAAUGAAUAAGAAAAACAAUUAAGGGCGUGUCUCAUAACAUUUUACAAAACAAAUUUUGUAGAACCGUUUUGUAAAACAUUACUAGACGCGUACUUAAUUUCAUUUUGGUUGACAUGUUUUGUAUUUUUAACUAAAGUCAUAUUGCUACCUAGUACUAUGAUCUAGUGAUAUUCAUCUUCAUUUGUAAGUAAGAGGUCUUAGGUCUGAUUCUUACCAAAGGCAAAUUUGAACCAUAUUAUUGCUAACCCAUUGUGAGACUAAUUUCAUCCUUCUCUCCCUUGGCAAUAGGCAAUUCAAUCCCCUCAAGUGAAUAAUAACUGCCUUUAAUGAACAAUAAUUGCCUAUUGCAUCUCCACCCCUAUGAUGAAUAACCCAGACAAUUCGUAUUAAAAUAUUAGUAAUUUUUAUUUUAUAAAAUAAUAAAAAUAAUUUAAUUUUUUAAUUUCGGAUAAGAUGACACACCCCGACUUGGGAAGGUCGAAGCAUGCUGGCCAUCACCGUGAAGUGACGUAACCAUAAGGGUAAGCGAUGUAAAAAGUGAGUAAAUUUAAAACUGAUUAGAACUAAUUAUACUAAAUAGUGAAAGAGUGUGCAAUCGUGGGAAGAAGCCACUACAAUUAUUCAGAGCGUAAUAGACAGUGAGACUACAAAAGAGUAGUCAAAGUAACUAAGUACACUUAUUACAUAACAGUGAUAAGUUCGUAUGUCUAAACAGAAGAGAAUGUCAGAACUGUCGAGAUUCCUCGAGUGCGACAAAGAGUACAGCUAUCUAGGUCCUAGAGGGGCGAAAAACAAAGUUGAGUGGGUCAGCAAAACAAUGCUUACACGAAAUCCUUUAUUUUCGAAUAUACUAACCCCUCGCCGUAAAACAAGUACAGUUUCCUUAUAACAUUAUACGUAGGUAUGUAAACGAUGAAUCAACAAUAUUAUAACCAGAAAUAUGCCAAAUCAUGAUGUAUCAAAUGCCACAAUAAUAUAAUCAUGUGAUAAUCAAGUAUAGCUAAGUGCUCAUCCAUAUAGGCUGACACACGAGUUUAAACAAAUAAUUUCUGACACGAACAUGAUUGGGUGUAAUCAAUAUGCUCUAGUACUACGAUCACGUGAAGUCUAGUGCAGAAGCGGUCACAUACAAGUAGAAUUGCCUAGUGCAAUCUACCUGACAGGACUAGCACCUAACUUGGAUCAAGCCGAGCGAACGGUGUGAUGUGAACAUACACGUGAAGGACUGGCCCUGGCCUUGGGGCGAGUACUAACACCAAUGCAGCAAGAUGAGCAUGUACAAAUAUAUAUAUAUAUAUAUAUAUAUAUAUAUAUGAAUGUCAUGACAGUAAUAUCUUAACCAUAUAGUAGCAUUUAUCACAAUUAAUAUCACAAUAACGAUACUUGGCAAAAUAAGCGUAAAAGUGAAGUAAAUACUCAUUUAUAGAAACUAUAAAUAUGUAUAGGCAUAAAAAUAAACUACCCACUCACAAGUACGUCGCUGGGUCAUAACCCUCGAGCCUAGCCUGACCCCGUAAUUCCUAGGGAUAUGUUUCCCCUAUAUGUGAAAUAACUAAAAUAGAAUUAAUUAAAGCACAUAUACGGAAACCUAAAUAAAACCCUCAUAGUUUGCUUAAACCUAGGGUUUAAAUAUAUGAAAUCGAUCUAUUCGACGUCACGGACACACACAUGUCGACCACACACUGGCCGGAGGCCAGACGGGCCGCCACAAAGGGUUGCACAACCUGCCACGCGGUACACGUGCCGAUGGCAUGUGGGUGGUCACGCGCGUUCACGCGCCUACGAUUAUGCGUGAACUCGCCUUCUCCAUGAUUUUCUGCAUUUUUUGCAGAUUUUUGGGCUAACUUCCUGAGCGCCUAACGAGCUCGAUUCUCAACCAAAACACUUCUACAAAAGCCAAAUUAAAGUUAGGAAUGUGAUGAAUCGAUCCAUUUUCAUAGAAGGUUCAAGUGUGGUCCAUGUUGUUCAGAAACGUGGUCUGAAAGUGACCAAAUGGCCACGGCCAAACUUUUCCAGAAAGUUGGGAAAUUUCUUCCCAACUUCUAGAGUUGAUUUCUAACUCGAAAGUUAACCAAAUUCAAUGAUUUAAAAGCCAUUUUGAAGUUAAGAAUGUAGAGAAUAAGUCUAUACCUAUUAGAUGUCCAGUCGUGAUCGAGGUUGACCUGAAAAUGUGAUGCAAGUGGCCAGAUGGCCACGGUCUCUUUGUUGGAAAAAGAAAAUUGAGCAACUUCCCUCACCUCGAGCUUUUUGUGCUAGAGUUCAAUCGAGAUAAGUAAAUGAGUUCAAAAACAACUUAUAGAAAUGAAAUGGAGGUUCUUAGGGUUUCUCGGAGUUUACCUAAGCCAUGAAUGGCCUGAAAAUAGCUGUAUCAAACUCACCGAGUCGAACCUUUCGAGUUGGAUGUCCAAAACUCGGUCAACACGUGAACCAUGGGUAUGGUUGAGUUCCUAGGGUCGAGAUGAGCAUGAUGGUGUAGUUUGUUUGUCACGUUUGCAGGUUGUGAAGAGAGUUUGAGAAGCUUGCAGAGAAGAAGGGGAGCACGACAAUGAGAGAGAGAGAAGAGAAGGGUAAGGGUUUUCUGAUUGGUGCCAAAAUAAAAGAAGGGAUGGUGAUUGGUGGUGAGUGAAGGAGAUGGUUGUGGGGAAAAAGGGCUGACGAGUUAGAGACACGGAUCCCCUUUUUUAGGGAAACGAUGGAUUCUUUUAUGAUUUUAUACACUUUCGAUGUAUAAUUCAUGCCUCGUUACAGUGUUCCAAACACUGAUAAAUUUGUACGCGCAUGUAAAAAUUUAAAUACAAAAGUGCGAACGAAAGAAAUUAAUAUAAACGCAUUCAUGUCACUUGCCGUUAAGGGCAUGAUAGUCAUUUCACACACUCGGGGAGAAAUUACAUAGGAAAAUUAGGGACGGGUCGUCACAGGAUUUUUAACCGAUCUCGUCACACCACAUGUCAUUAUUUGAAAGAACAAUUUUUGUGAAUAGAUUUCGAUAAGAUUUUUAACCAAUUUCAUCGCACGACGUAUCCUUACUUGUUUAGAAUCGUUGAAAAUAUUGAAAUGUGGUGUAAGGUGGGAGAAAAUGGUAAGAUACUUACAGAAAAAAAUUAUAAUUUUUAAUUUUUUUUCAUAUUUUAAAUUUUUUUAUUAACUUAAUUAAUCUGAAACGUUGGAUUACAUAAAAUUUGAAAUCCAACAGUCCAAAUUGUGACACGUAGCCCACCGUAACAUUUCUUUAAAAAAAAAAAAAUUAAAACUGACAAAAUCAAACGGUCUAGAUUCAACUGCAACUGAGUGGGGCUGACACGCGAGCCCCACCGUUUGAAAAUAUGUCAGAGAUGAUCCCCCAUGGGAGCGUGUUGCCCACAUGCCUGACGCAAAUUUUUUUAGAACAUAGCUGACGUGAGUUCCCCCUCAAGCACUCGGGCCUUGAACUUCUGCCUAACCUCUCCCACGAGCUCCCCCUCAUCCCAAUUGCCCUACUGGGUUGGGGCGUCUUUGGGGGCAAUUGAAUUGGAUUUGUUGCCAACCCUCAUGGUAAAAUACCAUGGUGGAGUUGCUCUUAGUGUAGAUAGUAUGCUCUGUUUUUGAAAAAAAAAAAAAAAAACAACAACAACGAAAGUCAUAUUUUGAAAUUCACUAGCCGUAUCUUGUCACUUAAAAAUAUCUUUGACCACCCAAACACGAGAAGAAACAAAGAAAAGCAGAAAAUUACCGACCAUACAUUAUAUAAUUAAAAACAAAAAAUAAAGAAGAAUACCAACUGCUUUUAACCACCGGCUUGCACUAUCAAAUUAUCACGGCUCUCUCUCUCACGCACAUAAAUAAGCUUUAAAAAAUGCAGGUUUCAGGGGUAAUUGGCGACGUUUCUUUUGUAAUUCCCUCCGGUGGUGGUCUCAGGUGGCCAGAAUUCGGACAUUUCCAUGCCCACGGCCAAAACCAUUCACAUCCACUCACUGAUUCCAAGUCAUUUCUUUCAGCUUCAUUUUUCAGAGUAAGCCCUCUCCUCCACUCACUCAUUCAUCUUCUGCUAUUGCCCUUGGCUACUAAGAAAGUGUGAGAAAUUUAAUGGGUAUUUUUAGAUUUUAAUUUAUCGUCUGGGUUUUUUCUUUCUUUUUCCAAAGCGCUUUUCGUUUCUUGCGGAAAGAUUGGAUAGAACCCAGUUCAGAACUUUAAUUUUGUCCUGUUUGGUUGCCUAGAAAGUGGAAAGUGUAGAAAAAGAAAAUUUUUAGUUUUCAUUUUCUUUAAUUGAGGACCUGAGAACUCCAUUGUUCAGUUGCUGAUCCAAAAUUUAUACCGUGAGGGGUCAUGGAGGCAGGUUUAGGGGCCUCCAAUGAGUCAAUAUACAGCUUCAGUGGGGAAGUUUCCAACUUGACCCCUCUGGUCCCUUGCUGCAUCCGCCAGUGGAUGCAUUCGUAUAACUUUUUAAUAUUCUAUUCGCAUUCAUUGGUAUCUGAACAUCUGCUUUGCUGUCAUUUUGUAUCAGUGAUUCUAAAUAUCGAAAGUGAUAUACUUGAUUUGAUACUUGCUCCUUAAUUGGCAUUGCUCUAUUAAUUUUUCCAUGUCUUCAUUGAAUUUGUACUCCCAUAUAUUCUUUUUUUGUUUUAACCAAUGCUGAACCUUUUGAUUCUACCGAUCUGUUUCAUAAGGUAGUUGCUUCCAAGGGGUCCAAGGGGAUUAUUCACCAUUGUAUAUAUAGGUAUACAUAGAGGCUUUCGACGUUAAGGAUGUCCUUAUUUAAGAAAACAUAACCGUUAAUCAAGUAUCAGAUUGCUGAAAUUCAAUUAAUAAAGUUGUACGGUUAUUUCCGCACUAUAUUGCUAUAUGCCAUCCUGUGCUGGCAUGUCCAUCAUGGGGCACUAAGGCAAGGUUAUGGAUGCUUGGCGCGCUAACAUAAUUUUCUUUUUCUUUUCUAGAGUUGUCCUUCAUUUUGCAUCCCAAAGCUGGGAAACGGACUAUAUAACUGCCGAGCAAGGGGGUUGGUUGUGAGAGCAUCAAAGGAUUCAAGUGAUAAUUUGGUGCCAGUUGCUCCUCUUCAAUUUGAAUCUCCCGCUGGCCAGCUUUUGGCCCAAAUAUUGCAAACUCAUCCACAUCUACUACCUGCAGCCAUUGAUCAGCAGCUUGAGAACCUUCAAAUAGAUAAAGAUGCCCAAAGAAAAGAAGCUGCUUCAUCUGCAAAUCUCCUCUACAAGUAUGUACUGCGAUUUAUCAAAUUAGUUGUUUUCGUUUUGCUAUUGAAUAGAUGAGUAAAUGGUAAGUUUUUUUUUUAACACGCGUCUUCAUUUGAUACACACUUAUCGGAAUCGUUAACAGUUCCUCUCUAGACACUCCCCUCAGCAGGCCCAGUUAAAUAAAUUGACCCAAUCGUAAGGCCUUAUUGGUAGUGUAUGUCACCAAGUGUAUACGAAUUAGGGGAAUUCUGAUUUAGUUUCUGUUCUUAAUUUUUGUUUAGUUUGUAGUAGGGUUAGGAUUACUUUCCCCUUUGUAGCAGGAUUAAGGUUAUUAUAAAUAAUUAUGUGCUUUGUGAUUCAGUAGAGCAGACUUGAAUGAUUGCUUUGGGCUGAUUGGCUCGAUUUUUUGUUUCGUUUGGAUAAUGAAACAUGAUUGCAUUUGGCAGAUCAAUAACUUAUAGGUGAGAAUACAUGUAAUUAUUGAAAAUAAAAAACAGAUAUUGCAAAAUACUGCAUUAGAUCUGCACUGUUGUUAUAAUGAUAUCAUCCCAUCUUAUGCUCACUCCGCCUUCUUCUUAAAACGAUAAGUUUGAAAUCCAUAUAGUUCCCUUUUCUUUGAAUUUACUAGGUUUAAACCCCUUGGAGAUUAGCAUUGUAGUACAGGUUGAAUAAUGUUAUGUGCUGCUCCAGUUAUUUCCCAUUUUCAAUCUGGUUUUUAAAUAAAAUGUUUGACCAUAGGAGCUUUGGUUGCUUAAGUAACCAAUGUUGAAUAAUAGCUACAAGGUUUUAUUUAUUUUCAUGAAAUUCAAUUUGAAGUAGACACGAUCAGGUGUCUAAAAGGCACUGUUAUCAAUUUCUCUUCAUACUGUAACUAGCUUUAUACAUGUCUAACAAGGUCUUUGCUCUUUAUUUGUUCUCCUCAACUAUUGUUUUCUUAGUUGUUUUGGUGUCUGGGAAUGGGAACUAAUUAAGUAAAAUCAUGAAUUUUAGACGAAUAGCUAAAGUCAAGGAUAAAGAAAGGCGCAUGGCAUUGGAAGAGAUAAUAUACUGCUUGAUAGUGCAUAAAUUCGUAGACCGUGAAAUUUCAAUGAUCCCGAAGAUAUCAGAGACAUCAGAUCCCACCGGUAGAGUGGAUUUCUGGCCAAACCAAGAAAAGAAACUAGAGUCUGUUCACUCUCCUGAAGCAUAUGAGAUGAUACAGAGCCACUUAUCCCUUGUACUUGGUGAGCGACUUGUGGGCCCCCUUUCUUCCAUGGUUGAGAUUAGCAAAAUAAAACUUGGAAAGCUGUAUGCUGCUUCAAUAAUGUACGGAUAUUUUCUCAAAAGAGUUGAUGAGCGGUUCCAGCUUGAGAGAACCAUGAACACCCUUCCUGAGGGUUUCACUGCAGAUCCAGCACCAGCAAACCAGCUUUGGGACCCUGAUUCCUUGAUUCGGAUAGCUCCUGAAGGUGCUAGUGAUAGUGAUAGUGAUAGCAAGUCAUAUCGAUUGAGAUCCUAUGUGACAUACUUGGAUGCAGAGACACUUCAGAGAUAUGCUACUAUAAGAUCAAAGGAAGCUAUUUCUUUGAUUGAAAACCAGACACAAGCCCUGUUUGGGAAACCUGACAUCAGGAUUGCCGCGGAUGGUUCAAUUGAUGCACCUAAUGAUGAGGUGAUUGCACUUACCUUCUCUGGAUUGACAAUGCUCAUCUUGGAAGCUGUUGCUUUCGGAUCAUUCCUGUGGGAUGCUGAAACCUACGUUGAAUCUAGAUAUCACUUUGUCAAAAGCUAAAGAUGUUAUGUUUCUUUAUUUACGCCCAGAAGCUGCAUAAAAUCAUCAUGUAUUGAGCAUGGUGUAAUGAGUUUCUUCUUCUUCCUGUAAAUAUAAAAUGUUAGUGAACUUCUUUUACCAAAUUCACAGAUCGGAUCUUGUUGCAAAUUUGAACUACUUUAUCCCAAAUGCUAACACUGGGAACAAUGUAUACACAACAGAAAUGCAGAAAGAUAAAAUUGAAAACCUUUUACCAGUGAGGCCAAAAAAGCGACACUCUCGGGAACAAAGUUAGUCCCUUUCUUGCACCACAUGGCUACCAACGGAUGGAUGGUGGAAACAACUUGGCUUUCAGUGAAUCUUUUCUGUAUUAUUCUUCUGCAAGGACAACCUCAGGGGGAGUCUUUCCUUCCUGUUUUUCUGUGUUUAACGAUCUUAUUUUCUUUGAAUGUGCAUGUUUGCUGAGUGCUUGUCCUUAUUGUUGUGUGGAUGUUUCAAUAUUUGUGUAUGCAUUCGAUUUUGCCAUUGUUUGUCUGAAUUAAGUAUGUUCAGUUCUCACUAUGUUGUGUUAUAUGUUCAUGGUUUUUAGAUUGCAUGGUUUGGUUUCCUUCGGCAUUUUACUACAUGCGUAAUGAGCAUGAUUUCUGCAACAUGUCUUUAUAUCUAUUUUUUCUAUCUUAUCAUUGUCGCAGGUGGUUGUAUUUCUAUUAGAUUUGACAGAUUGUGUAUGAGGUUGUGUAAUCUAGUUUUGCAAGGUAAGCAAAAGGAGAAGAUUGAAGAAACCACCUUCUAUGUAGUUGUCCAAUUAAGCUCUAAAACACCAUUAGAGUAGUCUUAGAACUAAGUUUGUAAGUAGCACUUGCUUGAAGGAAGCUGCUGUGAAGUUUCAAGUAACUUAUUGUGGUCGAGCUUAUCAUAAAUGGAGGUACGUUGAACUUCAUAUUCAUGCAUCACAUAGGAGCAUUUGCUAGAUAUUUCUUUCUACUUAUCAAUCUACAGGAAUUGCAUUGAGCUGCUCACGAUAUAGUUGUCGAUUCAUCCUAUCUCAUAGAGUUUAUUUGAUUAGAGAUGCAUUGUUUAGACAAAUGACACAAAUGUACUUCAUACAUAUCAUAUAGAUUUAGGUUCUCAAAAUCGAUUCAAUCAAAAUUUCAUGGUUAACUUGAUUUGAUUGAUGUGUCACGUAUGUGUCCAUUGGAGAAUAGUUGAAUCCAUUUCCUACCUCUCUGUGCAUUUGGAAGAACAAGCUUGGUUGAGGGAUCGAGCUAAGGAGAUACUUGCCUUCGUGUGCAACUGCAAGCAGGAGCUAGAAAUCGAGCUGCAAAUAGAGCAAAACUUCACAGGUACCAGUUGCUAUUUAUGAUAAGGUUAUUGGGUGAUUGAGUUGCGAUUUGUACCUUAUAUGAGCUUUGGUUUUGAGUGGAUUUGUUCUUCAACUUGGUCAAGAGUGACUGAUUUUUUUAGACUCUAUUUAGAAGGUUUUUUUUGGCCACCAAUUACCUUGUGCUAUUUCUAUCAACUCUUCUCUUUUUAGUAAAAGAUAAUUGAAAGUCCUAAACAACUAGAAUUAAGGACAUUUACUUUUUCUUAUUCGAAAACUCUUAAACAAACUUUCUUUAUCAUCAAGGGCACAUUCUUUUAUUAUUAAGGACAUUUUCUUUUAAGAAUGAGGAUCCUCUUCGGAUUGUCUUUGUGAGGAUUCUGGGAAUUCUCAAAUCGUGUCCGUACAUCGUACAGCCAGAAAUCAUUUUAAAUACUUUUAUUUAAAAUUAAAUAUGAAUAGUACCUGACUAAAACUACAUUAUUGCUAAAUAUGAAUUUGAACUACAUUAUUACUAGCCUAUUGUGAGACUUAGCCUAUCACAUCCCUUUUAAUGUAGAUAAUAUCGUUUGUUCAAAAAAUAAAAACCAUCAUGAAGUGUGACUCUCUUUUUGUUUUUCUGUCCUCAUAAUAUAAAAAAUGUACUUGAGAGACUUUGUAUUAGUUCUUCCUAAUUCAAAACCCAUAUGAUGUUUAACACUCAAGGUGAUGCAUGAGUAUUUGUAAUGAAGUGAAACAAAAUCACGAAUAUGACGUAAGGCCUCAUGAAUAUAGUCUCGCAUCAUAGAUUCAGCCAUUUGUACAAGUGCAAUUGGUAUUUUACAUGUGAGACUUAUGAUAUGUUCAAUUUAUCUUAUGGAGACUCUAUAUACAUGAAAAUCUUCACAACUUAUGAAAUAUUUGAAGAAUAUCUCUCGAAUAGAUAUUAUAUAGGAUACAAAAUGUCAUGAAAUUUUUCUAUAUGGUAAUAAGCUUUGAUCAAGAAUUUCAUGCUAUAACUUGUCUUUCAUGACUAUCGAGAGAUAUUUGUGCCGACGUUGAGAUAAAUCGUAACAUAAGAGGAUAAGUUAUAAUACAAAGGAUAAGUUUUAGUAAGCGCGUCCAAUACUUAGUUAAUAUUUGAUACAACGCUAUUCUCUUUUCAUGCCACCUUGAUUUUCUCCCAUUGAAUUUUCCAAGCAAAAUUUGACAAGACAACUAUCAAUACAUUGUAAAUCUUAUUAGUUGAAUGAUUCAACACUUGGGUCAAUAUGUAAUACUUAUUAGUUAAAUUCCUUAAUGAUGUAAAGUAGAAAAAUUUGACCCAAGUCUCCAAAUAAUCAUUCCCUACCUAAUGAACAUUCAAACUUCUUUCGGAAGAUAAGUAUUAUUUGAUACAUAUGCAUAUCACGCUUUACUGCAAUGUCGAAAAAUAAUCAUAUCUAAACACAUCUUGAUGUGGAUUUAAUUUCAACCGAUUCUCCUAUCAUAAUAAUUAAUUAUCUAACUCACUAACGUUAUCGUACAACUCAAAAGGUAUUAUUUGAUACAUAAACUAUGCAAAGAAAAAAGGUAACAAGGAGAAAGUAAUUGGCAUGCAGAACUAACGACAAUGUGACAUGGAGACGCGGUCCUAAGGUCAAAAGAUUGCACAGAUGUAACUUUCCAAGAUGCCCUUAAAGUGGCUUACUUGCGAAGCGUUCUUCCUUACGCCAUCCUCACUGCCUUAUCAAUUUGGGCAACUGAAACGUAAACCUCAAUUCCCAAAAUUAUUCUGCAACCCUGAAGUUCCAACCCUCUUGUUUCUUGUUUCUUGUGAGCGAAUUUUCACUUGCUCUGCUUAUAUUUUAUUUUAUUUUUAUACAUUUUUUUUUCUGGACCAACCGGAUUUGGUCAAUUAUUGAGAGGGCAGGUUACUAUCUAUCAUAUGUUUUCUUCUCGUGUAUAAACCAUUAAGCUCAUAAUUAAGAAAUAAAUAAAUAAAGAAAAAGAAUGAAAAAUAAAUAAAAGUCGUGGCUUAAUAUUCAAUGGCCAUAUGAUAGAGAAAUAUAAUAAAUAAAUAGGUUAAUAUCGUUUUUAGUCUUGUGACUAAAUGUCAUGAGGGAAUGAGUCAUCUUAUGAAGAUGUUGAUUUUCCAUAAUCUUCUAGUAUACGUACUUGUCAUAACUUGACACGUACCCCUUAACAUGGUCAUAUUUGAAGGAUGGGUGGACAUACUUGGCCUAAUUAUCGACAUCAUGAAAUGGAUGAAAGCUUUUGGAACAUGUUAAAAAGGACCUUAUUCUUAUCUUUUAUUUUAUGAAAAAUACUUGUGUCCACCGUAUGUUAGAACUUACUUGUCUGUCCACUUGUAAUUAACUUAUAUUUAUUAUGCAGCCGUCAUUAUAUAAAUCAUUCAUACUCUUUAUUAUCAUAUCAAUAUUAAAUCUGAUAAAGAAAAAAAAAGUCAUUCAUUUCAGAGUUUAUUGGGUCAUUCAUAUACAUCAAACAAAUAGAUAGUUCAUCGCGAGAUCGCUACUAAAUAAUCUAAGAAAAACCUAGCUCAAAACGUCGAUAUUUUGGUGACGUUAUUUUGGUUGGGCACUAAGUUUUGCGUCAACCAUUCAGGCAUUUUGUUGAAUAAGUUAUGAGUACCAAGAGUCACGAACUAGGAAAGCAAGGGGUCAUCGAAGGUGCUUCCCAAUCAAUUUUCUCAGUCUCAAAGGAGUCACCUGACACUCGUCCCUUAGUGAAUCCACCACAGUGACAAUAUAUACACACAACAAAAAUUGAAAAUUAACAUAGUUCUACUUUAGGGUAUUUUAACACUAGGAGAUACCAAAGAAAUCACAUAUGUGGAUCACAUGUAACCCAUCUCUCUAAUAAAAGUAAGACAGACCAAUAAUCAUGUACAAAUAUAUAUCACUUUUAUUAAAAAAGUGUUUCACAUGUAAUUUACAAAACAUAGAGUCUCUAACAUUUUCCUUUAGCACCGUACAAAAAUGAUAAACGACGAUACGUACGUUGCUAGAUUUAUAGUUCGAUUAAAAAAAUAUAGGUGUAACUUUAUUCUCUUGUAUGGACCUCCCGAUUAGAAUAAUAACAAAUAUGAAUAAAUUAGUUAAUUAUAAAUGGAAUAUCAGCUUUGGUAAUUUUUCUUUUGGCAUAAAUCAAUUAAACCCAUUACAACCCCACAAGGAUCCAUAUCAUAUUUGUUAUUUAGUUGUUUGGAUCUGUAUUCCCGUGCAUGAAUACGUAGUUGUUAGAUUUUGUUAUCCAUCACCUACUGCAGACGUUAAUAUCAUUUUAUAAUAUAUAUACACACACUACUUUAUUUUAAAUAAAAUAAAGGUUGCUACCCAACCUUUAUUUUAUUUUAAAUUCUAAUGUAUUCAAAUCUCUUUAAAAAUGAUUGAAAACGUUUUUUAUGAGAGUACUUUUAGAAUCAAUCAUUAGUAAAAAUGCAAAUAAAUCUUCAAAAAGCACUUGAAGUGCUUCUUGCAAGACAAAAAAUACUUUCACCAAAAGCGCCUUAGUAAUUUAAUAGUACUUUCAGACAAGUCCUUAUAAUUUACAAAAUUUGAUAUGUUUGGAGAAAUAUUCAAAAACAACAAAAUGUGUCUAGAAUUAAUAUAUCACAGAAAUAAUAUAUCAAAGACACACCAAUUUUUUAUUUUUAUUUUUUUAUGUAUUUAUCAAACUAUAAUUACAAAAAUGUAGAAAUUCCUAUACUACAAGAAGUUUGCCAAAUAUUUUUCUUUUUGUAAGUUGGUUGUAACCACCAUGGACCAACUUUUUUUUGUAUGUAAUUAUUUCUCACAACCCUUAUCACAUCCUGGCCUGGGCCCCACCACAUCUCGGGUUCGACUCUACCGUAGCACGAUAUUGUCCGCUUUGGGUCCUGACCACUCCCUCAUAGUUUUGUUUCUGGGAACUCACACGAGAACUUCUCAGUGGGUGACCUAUCUUGGGAAUGCUCUCGCCCCCUUCUCGCUUAACUUCGGAGUUCGUACGGAACCCGAAGCCAGUGAGCUUCCAAAAAGCUUCGUGCUAGGUAGAGAUGAGAAUAUACAUAUAAGGCUUACAUGAUCCACUCCCCUGGGCGAUGUAGGAUGUUACAAUCCACCCCCUUAGGGGCCCGAGCCCAACUCCACUGUAGCACGAUAUUGUCUGCUUUGGGCCCCGACCACGCCCUCACGGUUUUGUUUUUAAGAACUCACACGAGAACUUCCCAGUGGGUCACCUAUCCUGAAAAUGCUCUCGCCCCCUUCUCGCUUAACUUCAGAGUUCCUACGGAACCCGAAGCCAGUGAGCUUCCAAAAUGUCUCGUGUUAGGUAGAGAUGAGAAUAUACAUAUAAAGCUUACAUGAUCCACUCCCCUGGGUGAUGUGGGAUGUUACAACCCUAGCUAAUCAAUCACCACAUUCCAAUGGCAAUCGAGUAAUACCCCAGCGAAAUAUGGGCAUUCUCAAACAUCCGCAAUAAUUAAUUAAAGGAGAAAUUAGGUUCACAUUCUUCUUUUUGCUAUUCCAUUGAUUAAAAUCCUAUUCAUUUUCAAUUUUUGAUCAAGGUCCUUAGGUAUUAAUAACAUUAUUAAUUAUUUGAAUAAUAAAAUAUUUUUAUUUUAAAUAUAUUCCUUUGUGUUAAAAAUGUUACAAUUAGCAUAUUAAAAUUUAUGGCUAAAUUUUUUAUCAUAUAUUUUUAUUUUUAGUUUGUACCUAUUUUUAAUUUGUACCAAUUUUUUUUCAUUUUUAAUUUGUACCCAUAUAUUAGUUUCUUUUUGUGCCCAUAUUUUUUAAAGUUUUAUUUGUCACAUCUCGGCCUAGGCCCCCACCACAUCCCUGGCUUGACUCCACCAUAGCAUGAUAUUGUCCGUUUUGGGCACCGACCACUCCCUCACGGUUUUGAUUAUGGGAACUCACGUGUGGCGUGGCGGCGUUUGGGCCGAGGUGUCCCCUGACCCUCCUAGGACUAAUUCUUUACCAUCACUACACUUUAUGGCUUCGUCACCUUCCAGGUGUCGGCCAGCACAACUCGGUUCGGAGUCCUAAUGGACAUUUCGGGUCGUGGUGUGUCAUUAUUUGUGUUUGUACCCAUGUGUAUACCAUCACGUUACAUUGUAUAUUUAAUUAAUGAUAGAAAAAUUAUAUAUGGUAUAUUUAUGUUUUAUGACUAAACUUUGUAUCAUAUAUUUAUAUUUUUAGUUUGUACCCACUUUUAAUUUGCAACAUUUUUUUUAAAUUUGUAGUAUUUUCUUUUUAGUUUUAUUUUGUACCCAUGUAUUAAUUUUUUUUAGCGCCUAUAUUUUUUUAAAAUUCAUUUGUACUCAUAAUUUUUUAAUCUUUUAUCUGUACCCUAAUUUAUUUAUAAUGUACCCAUUCUUCUUUAUUAAUUUACCACUUUGUUAUAUGUGAAAUGUACCAACUUUUUUAACACUACGGAUACAUUCUUUUGCCAUUUAUUAUUUCUUAUUUUUACAUAGUUUUUAUCCAUUUAUUCAAUCAAAAUGUUUGAAUUUUUUUUAUUGUAACCUUUUCUAAUAGUAUUAUAAUGAGGGAUUUUAAAUUUAUAGGAUUAUAAAUCUCAUAAAAUAUCAAACAAUUAAUGUCAAAAGUAUAAAAAUAUAAAUAUUAAUUGUAAUAGAAUGAGGUGUACAAAGUCAAGGGACUUUAAUCAAAAUUUGAAUACCAUUAAGGUUUUAGUCAAAGAAUGUUAAAGAUUAGGGACCGCAUCCAAAGUAUCCCUUAAUUAAAACAUUCAAUGGCUAAUCAGUAGCUGCUGAGAGAUUUUUCAGUGUGACCGUCACACGAAGUGGUACACCACAUGUCCCUAUAUAAAUGGUGGAUUAUGUGUGUUAAAAAGUUAAUAACUUAAAUAUUAAAAAAUUUCACCACUUGCAUAAAAACACAUGGUGUACCAUCCGUAUUCUCGUCACAAUUAAAAAUUUCUCCAGCCGCUGGCUGACCAUAUACUUUCUCCCCUUUUCUCUCUCUCGUAACCUUUGCAUUGAAUUCCUCUUGGCCUCUUAGCUGCUGGAUAUAUAAACAGACUUUGGCAGAGAAAUCGAAAGAGGUGGGAUUGGAUGAGAGAGAGAGAGAAAUUUAAACAAAAAUAGGCAAAUAUCGAUCAAAAUUUGAAUCACAAAGAAAAAAAAUAUCGAAAGCAAAUGGAGGGGUUACAACGUUGUAGAUAUUGGUUUAAUGGAGUUUAUUUCUUUUUCCAUUCUUUGAGGUUAGUACUAUUGAUCCUAUAAAUCUUAUACAUCAAGAUUUUUGGCCGUUAAAUCUUGUUUAAUGGAACUUGAGUAAGAAUUUAACUUGCAAAAUUUUUGGUGUAUAUAUUGCUAGGAUACUGGGGAGCAUAUUAAAAACUCUUACGAAUUUGACAUGUGACGAAAAUUGCUAGUUAUUAGUACGAAAAUUGGUAGUUAUUUGUAAUUUUCCCUUGUUAUGUAAUUUGCCUUUGUCUGUAGUUCUGCGGGCAUAGGUAAGUGGCUGUUGGUCCAACUAAUCCAAUUUGUUGGAGAUAUUUUCAGCUGGUGGUUCAUGUUGGUGUUGCAUCGUGUGGAAAGGACAAUGGAAGCCAUGGUCGCAUGCUUUGCCGCACGGUUGAUGCUCACAGCAUAGCAAUGGAUAUACGCUACAUGUUUGGUGGGCGGAAGAUUCCCCAUGAUUUGCUUAGGAAUUCCUUGUAAUUUGCUUUUGUAUUGACAUUUGAGGAUAGUUCCUUGUUUCGUGCGGGACGCUCUUUUUCCUUCCACCGGUUGAAAGCUCCGGCAAGGUUUUAUUGAGCCCCAAUAGGCAAGCUAUCCUCAGUUUGUUGUCAAUUUGUACUUGUACCCCGCUGUUCGAAUGGAAUAUCUAAUAUCGUAUUUCUCUCAAAAAAAAAAAAAAAAAAAGAUGAUGACUAUUUUCAAGUGAUGAUAAAUUUAUUUAAAAUAUAGCAACAUUAAUGAAAUAACACACAACGUGGUUGAUAAAAUAUAAAAGAAAAAAACACAAUACAUUAAAAAAAAAAAAGACACUAGGGGAUAAGCUAAGCUUGGAGCCUUUGAGCAUGGAAAUCAAACCCCGCAAUAUUCCUUGACAGAGAACCCAUCCCCAAUAUUAAGAUAAUUGGCCAUAUAAAAUUGAACAUAAUCCAACAUAUGCAAUGGCUUAUACUUCACGGGGUGGUCGUCGGUGGUAAGCUCGUCCGGUGCGCGUGUCACCCCUUUCAAGUAUGAAAAUAGUCCAAACGAGUAUCUUUCCUCAUUUUCCUUCAGAUUGACUCUAUGUUUACAAGAUGGUAUUCUGUCAUUGCUCCAAACCUAGGCAAGAAAAAGCAUAGAUUAUAGUUGAUCACUAGAAAUAGAACCCCUUUUAGUCUAUGACAGCCUCAUUUAUAUCCAUGAAACAGAAUGAUUAAUGGAAGCGUAUAGUGGCAUACCUGAAAUCCAUCAGAUGCGAAUAGGAAGGAUGAAGGCAAAGGAUCAAAACCAAUCCAUUUGUUAUCUUUUGUAUAUAUCUCAAGACCUUUGACAUGAUUUUGGUGGAGUAUGGAAGUUAAAGUCUUGUCUGUAUGCACGGAUAGACCCUGUCCAGUUCCCAUUUUCUCUGGUUUCUUAUAUUUCAUAAAGCGGAAAGUGGACACAAUCGAUUGAACGUGAUCGUCAAGGUAUUUUUCUACAUUGUAGUUUUCGAAUACCAUUCUUGUAACCACUUGAUUUAGACCUAGUUUGGGAGUGAGGUGCUUAAAAAAAAAGCACCUAUGAAAAAAAGCUGUGAGGGUUUUAAGUGUUUGGUAAACUGAAAAAAAAUGGCUUAUUUUGGAAGCUGCUGUGAGAAUAAGCUGAAAUCAAAGGAAAAAGCUGAAGCUGCUAUUUGUAGCUUUGGAAAACUGGUUUUUUUUCAAAGCACACGGAACUACAGUGCUCUUUUAAUGAAAAGACCCACUAUCAAACUGCUUUUUUUUCCAAAAGCAUUUUUACAAAAAAGUUUACCAAACGCUCUGCUGAUUUAUUUCACAGCCGCUUAUUCUCACAGCACAGCCGCUUAUUCUCACAGCAGUUUUUUUUCAAAGCACAGCAAUACCAAACCAGCCCUUAGUUCUGCCAUCACUUUUCUAUACGCAUCAGCAGUCUUACUAGACAAAAGAACAAUGUGAAAGGUGAGUCGAUAUAUCCCAAACUCAAUCAUUUAUCAAAUAUAUACUAAACCAUACCGAUAUUGAUCAUUUCCAUUAGGCCAAAAAUGAUGUUCGAAUACGCGCGAUUUUUCACUGUCUGUACCAGUUGCCAAGCUUUCAUGGAAAGGCCCCGUUAAAUGACCAUCAAGUAUAGGUUUUUCCUGCGGAUUUUGCACUUUAGUUUCAAUUGGGAAAUCAAACAGCUCUUUUAAUGUCCCAAACAUGCUAUCGUGAAGCUCAGGUGAAACUUUGUUGGGCAGGACUGCCAUGAAACAGCCAAACUCUUCGAGUGCGCGGCAAACAUUCCCACGUACUGAGAGCCAAGAACUUGUCCCUGGCUUCAAGCAAUCCUCUUGGGAGAAAUCUACUACUGGAAUUUUGGGUACCGUUUGGGUAACACUUGUGACAUUCAUCUUUGUCUUUUCACAAGUUAAGAGGUUUUGAGGACUCUAUGGAUAUUGAACUAGAAGCUGUAAGUUCUCAACCGAUUAAACUGAUAUUUAUAGAGUAGUUAAUUAUAAAUGGAAUAUCAGCUUUAGUAAUUUUUCUUUUGGCAUAAAUCAAUUAAACCCAUUACAAUCCCACAAGGAUCCACAUCGUAUUUGUUAUUUAGUUGUUUGGAUCUUUAUUCCCGUGCAUGAAUAUGUAGUUGUUAGAUUUUGUUAUCCAUCACUUACUGCAUACAUUAAUAUCAUUUUAUAAUAUAUAUAUAUAUAUAUAGACACACACUACUUUAUUUUAAAUAAAAUAAAGGUCGCUACCCAACCUUUAUUUUAUUUAAAAUUCUAAUGUAUUCAAAUCUCUUUUAAAACUUAAAUUCUAGUUUGCAUUGUAUGUAGAAAUUUACGGCUCGUUUGGAAGUAUUUUUAAAAUGACUGAAAACGUUUCUGAUGAGAGUAUUUUUAGAAUCAAUCAUUAGUAAAAAUGCAAGUGAAUCUUGAAAAAGCACUUGAAGUGCUUCUUGCAAGACCAAAAAAACUUCCACCAAGAGCGCCUUCGGUAAUUUAAUAGUACUUUGAGACAAGUCUUUAUAAUUUACAAAAUUUGAUAUGUUUGGAGAAUAUUCAACAAAAAAAAAAAAUGUGUCCAGAAAUAAUAUAUGGGAACUUUAACAAAAAGCUCCCGGUACUGUUCACUUUAACGAAAAACCAUAUUUUUACACUAAAAAGUCAAUCUUGGUACUAUUCACUUUACCCUUUAUUUUGUCCUUAUCAUUAAAACUCAAAGUUUUCAAGCCCUUUUCAUUAGUUUUCCUAUAAUAUAUCAAAGACACACCAAUUUUUUAAUUUUUUAAUUUUAUGUAUAUAUCAAACUAUAAUUACAAAAAUGUAGAAACUCCUAUACUACAAGAAGUUUGCCAAAUAUUUUUCUUUUUGUAAGUUGGUUGUAACCACCAUGGACCAACUUCUUUUUGUAUGUAAUUAUUUCUCACAACCCUAGCUAAUCAAUCACCACAGUCCAGUGGCAAUCGGGUAAUACCCCAGCGAAAUAUGGGCAUUCUCGAACAUCCGCAAUAAUUAAUUAAAACAUUCAAUGACAAAUCAGCAGCCGCAGGCUGACCAUAUACUUUCUUCCCUUUUCUUUCUCUCGUAACCUUUGCAUUGAAUUCCUCUUGGCCUCUUAGCUGCUGGAUAUAUAUAUAAACAGACUUUGGAAGAGAAAUCGAAAGAGGUGGGAUCGGAUGAGAGAGAGAGAAAAGAGAGAAAUUUAAACAAAAAUAGGCAAAUAUCGAUCAAAAUUUGAAUCACAAAGAAAAAAAAUAUCGAAAGCAAAUGGAGGGGUUACAACGUUGUAGAUAUUGGUUUAAUGGAGUUUCUCUCUUUUUCCAUCCUUUGAGGUUAGUACUAUUGAUCCUUGUGUGUUUUGGAAACGUAGGUGCAGCGUUCUAUAACCUGACCACCAUCCCCUUCGACCAAGGCUAUAUCCCUCUCUUCGGCGACGGCAACCUUGUCCGCUCCCCCGACGGAAAAGGUGUUCGUCUCCUCCUUGAUCGCUUCACAGGUUCGUUCUUUCUUUCUUUCGUUCAUUUGUAUUUUGUGUGUACGCGCACAGAGAGGCUGUAUUAAUAGUUUUAUCAUUUACGAUUCAUAGUUUGGAAUUCUCUAAUUGUCUCUUGAAAUACUCUCUUUUAUUCAUACUAAUUAAUUCUUUAUUUUAAAUUAAUGAAGGUUCUGGCUUCAUCUCCUCCAAUCUUUACAACCAUGGUUUCUUCAGCGCUAACAUUAAGUUGCCAUCCGAUUACACUGCCGGUAUCUGUGUUGCUUUUUACGUAAGUUUUCUUAUUAUUUCUACGUAACACAAGCAUAUAUAUGGUAAAUUAAUUUGAAACGACCUUUUUUCUUACGUAAAAUGAUCCGUUUUUAGUUGGGAGGAAAUGAAGGGAGAUUCGUUGAUAUUUUCUAAAUAAGUAGAUGUAAUUAUAAUUUGUUUCUAAAUUUGUGUGGCUGCGAUGACCAAACAAACAGACAUCAAACGCGGACGUAUUCGAAAAGAGCCACGAUGAGUUGGACAUAGAAUUCUUAGGGAACACAGAAGGGAAGCCAUGGAGAUUCCAAACCAACAUCUACGGAAAUGGCAGCACCAACCGCGGCCGCGAAGAGCGUUACCGCCUCUGGUUCGACCCUACCAAAGACUUCCACCGCUACAGCAUCCUUUGGACCCCCGAAAAAAUCAUGUAUGUCCUAUCGAUCCUUUUCUUUUUCAAUUCUCAUCUAAUCAAGUAUUAAUUUCAUUUUCCUCUUAGUUUUGUUUUGUUGUUUUUCCUCUCUAGAGAAAUGUUUUUAACAUUUGUUUUUAAUUUCCUUCUGUUCAUGUUCAUUGCUGUUUGUUGAUUUUUAUUUUUAUUUUUUAUUUAAUUCAAUUCAAUAGUUAAAAAUAAACAAGAAUGCGUAGAAAGAUGAAAAGAAUGUUUUGAGAAAGUUUUAGUAUACCUAUGGAUCAAGAUGAUUCUUGUUGUUAACGCUGGUAGGCAAUACGCAUGCUUUGUAGACUUUGUUGUAUGCUUUAUUUGACCUCACGGGAGGCCAUACACACUUUGAGAUUGCGUAUGGGUUGCUUCUGCUUACUAGUCGAUAAAAAUACGUCUCUAUUUUCGACCUAAAAACAUCACAUAAAUUAUAAAUGAUAUAGAGUUCCAAAAAAAAAAAUUAUAAAUGAUAUAUCUCCUUCUUGUGACAAAGUCCAACAUGUUGUGUCUGUACCAGAUUAACCUAUGAAUUUAAUCAAUUAAAUGAUUGGUAAUGUAGAAUUAUAUAAUGAAUUAAAGGUAUGGACUAAAAUUUAAUAGCAAGAUAAUGUCACAAAUUUAUUGAUUAAAAAAACGUCACAUACUGAAAGUGACAUUUCUUAUGUGUGAUGCACACAAUACUUUAUGUCAUGUCAGGAGUAUAUAUAUGAACUGAAAGAUGUUAUUCUACAAAGUCACUGUGUAACGUUAAUGUACGACAUUGAUGUAUUAGUAUUUGAAAACAAUUGUAACAAAAUUGGACUAUAUAUAAAGAAAUAUGAUAAACACACACUAAAUUUGUUUAAUUAUGGUCGUUCUCUUAGCUUGAUUUAUUCGAUAUAAUAGUCAUAAAUAAAUAAAAUACGUGAUAGGUUAAACAGAUUGCUUGAAAAUUAGGUUCUUAUAUACAAUAAGUUAUAAAAAUAAAAUAAAAAGACCAGCUAGUUGCUUCACCACGAAGAUCCAAUUUUUUGGAGGCUGAAAAGACUCGCAAAGACAUUUCAGUAUCUCUUUGGCCACUAUUGUGUGAUUCGCAAGCCCCAAAAAUCGAACUUUGAAUGUACAGUGUGGAAUAUGAGCUUGAAAUUCGUUUCCCACUAUUGAGUCACUGCGUAGUGGUUAAUAAGUUAUAAAAUUAUUGAGUUAAAGAAAGAAAGCGGGUGAGAAAAAACAUCCUAUAUUUAAAAAAUGGGAGACCAUAUUUUGUUAGGCUACCAAACUAACGAAUGCACCCACCAUUGAGCAUCAUUGCCUGCCUACUUACAUAUUUCAAUAUCUACGCAUUUUUAAAAUUGUCUUCUUAUAGUAGUUAUUGACGUAGAAAUUGAAAUGGUAAUAUAUAAUUUAUUUUUAAUUUUUCUUCCCAUUAUAAUUGUGAUUAAAUAUACGACUGAAAAUUUUACGUUCAGAUUCUACGUGGAUGAAGUUCCAAUUAGAGAGGUGGUGCGAAAUGAAGAAAUGGGUGCUGACUAUCCUUCAAAGCCAAUGUCGUUGUAUACGACUAUAUGGGAUGCAAGCAGUUGGGCUACGUCCGGUGGGAAAUACAAGGUGAAUUACAAAUAUGCCCCCUUCGUGGCAGAGUUCAAAGACCUAGCCCUAGAGGGCUGCCCUGCCGACCCAAUCCAGCAAAUCCCUCCUGCUGAAGCGUGUGCGGAACAUUACACCCACCUCGCCACCCAAGACUACUCCGUCAUUUCGCCUCAGCGGCGAGCUGCCAUGAGCAGGUUUCGGCAGCGUUACAUGUACUACUCAUAUUGCUAUGAUUCGCUGCGUUACCCAGUGCCACCACCCGAGUGCGUUACCGUUCCUGCCGAGAAGGCACGCUUCAAGGACACUGGCAGGUUGAAGUUUGGCGGCAGCCACAAACGACAGUCCAAGCGGAAGUCCCACAAACGCAACCGAGCAGUCCCUAACUCCGACAACGCUGCAGACAUAUGAUGAUGGUACAUGGAUCACACAGUUCAAUUUUUUUUCAGAUAUUAUUUGCGAUUCAAUUCAUACAUCUCAUGCAUGUAAAUUCAACCCUAGCUUGUACUAGUGUACCAUACUCCAUACGUUUGUACAUCACACACUAUUGUUCUCACUCCAAUGUAAGUUCAACCCUUGAUGUGUUAUUAUUGAUCAUUAGUUUUCCAUUCUGUUGGAUGGAUCAUUAUAUGCAUUCCUUUUUUUUUUAUGUUUUGCCUCGUUGAAAUCUUGUCCGGAAUUUAAAUCCCCAAAGAGUGCUAUCCUUAAGUAGACAAUUGUUAUAUCUCGAGGUUCCUCGAACCAGGUACGAAUUUAUAUAUAACCCAUGUUCCAGUGUGCAACUCCAUUAGCACGUUCUCAUGCAUGUAUGAGAAAAUAUGAAUGAGUAAAAUGAGUUAUCGAGGAAUUAAACUGGAUAAUGGAAUGACGCCUUCGGUUUGAACCUCAAAUUCAAAUAUGAAACAUUCCUAGAGGAGGUUCAAGUUGAAUUUAGAUGGACAAAAUAAAUCAAGGGAACUGGAUUAAUACUGCCUGAAAGAGGACUGAUAGCACAGAAAGGAGAGAGAGAUUGUGAUUUUCGUUAAAGAUACGUGGGAUUUUUUAUGCAGUGCUUUGUGAUGUCCUACAGAAAAAGUGAGUUUUCCGUCUUCUCCAUAAGCCCCUUAGCUUCACUAUAUAGAUGAGCUAAGCCCACCCAGAAGCUGAAGAACAGACCUACAAGCAAGCGGCUUCACUUUGGUUUCACACUGUAUCUUGUUCUACAGACGGAAACAUCAAUUCCAAUCAAGUUUGUCAUCAUGAUUGUUAUGGGUGCUAUCAUCAGAGACAUCCAUUUGAAGUUAUAGAGAUCAACAAACUCAUCAUAUGAAUUGUUGAUGCACAAAAUCUGGAGGAGAUAUUGGACCAAUGUAAAUUCGGUCGUGAAUCACACAAAUGCACAAGAACACAAAGAUGUAUCGUGGUUCAACUUAAUGUUUGGGCUACGUCCACACUGAUGUUGAUUCUGAUUCACUAUAUGAAUGUAUGGAUUACAAUAGAUCGGCAAGGGAGCUCUCUGUGGAUGCAACCCUUGCCAUUUUGCUCUCUGUUUGGCUAAGAGGGUAUUGCCCUCUAUUGUUGUGAGGGUUGAGACUCUGUUUUCUUUAUGUGAAGGUCAGGCUCCCUUAAUGAGGGUGAAAGAGAGUCCCUUUUAUAGAAUAAGGGCUCCCUCCCCUUUUACAUAAAUUAUGGACUUAGGGAUGAGGCCCAAAGACAAGGCCCAAUACUCAGGUCCGCUUGUCAGGUUAGACAAGAGAUCAUUGUUCGAACUAAAUAUUUGUCACCAUAAGCAUGUGGCUCAGUGAUCCAUAGGCUGAUCAAUAGUGUCGGUAGGCUUUUUUAAUCAGCAACAAUGUCGAUCAGUGGAUCUAGUUGCUCAAUAAUUCCUGACAAUAAAUGACAGUAUAAGUAUGACCAUAUAAUGAAUAAAUCAAAUUAACAAAGUUUGUCAAGGCAAAACAUUGUAUCAUGUGCCUACUACAGAUGAAUAAUUUAUUCAGUUGUGUGGUAAAUCACAUGUUGUACAAGUGACAUAAUUUAAUGGCAGUCACAAUACUCUAGGCCAAUAAAUAUUGUAUGAUAAAGUUUUUAUCCUACCACUUUAGAUAAUGAAGUGAGGAAUGAUUAAAGAUGUAAUAAUAAAAUAUUAAUUAAUAAAAUAAUUGUAAGGAAGAUUGCAGACAAGCGUUUGUAAAGUAUAUGCACAUUGUAAAGCAAAUCAAACUAGGAACGCACUAUAUAGGUGUGAUAGAAAUGAUGUGGCCUCAUGUUAAAGAAUAUACACACAGAUGUAAAGCAAAAGGAUCUUAUCAAAAUAAUAAUAAAGUAAUAAAAUAAUAACAAAAAGAAUCUUAUCUUGUUCCCAUGGCUUUUUUCAGAAAAUGGGCAGGGAACAUGCACCCCCCUUCAUGAUGAAAGUUUUAUCUUUUUCAAAAUGUUGAUGGUCGACAGUUGCAAGUUGUGAUAAUAAAGUUCUUAUCUUCUCUGUUCGUCCAUCAUUGCUCUAACAGUGGAACUGUGAGCGGAGACCUUAGCCAAAGUAUAAACCUUUUUGUCUCCAGCCAUUGUCGUCGAAGGAGAGCUAGAGGCCAGUCUGAAACCCAAAAGCUAUUUUCCCUUCCUCUCAAGUAGCUGGCCAACAUUUGUUAGUCAUGCAAUCUCCGGGUCAGGCAUCCAGGGUGUCCUAGGCGGUGGUCUUUCUCUUGUCGCCAUUUUUGAACCUGGCGAGGUACCGAUGGUAAUUAUCAUUCAUCUUCAAGUAGAAGACCUUGGACUCUCCGGUGGUAGCCGAAGGAACAAGGUGCGACCGCAGGAGCUCUAGGAUUCCGGCGUAGAUGGCGGAGAGCUCGGUUUCUACCUUGGAUCUGUACUGCUUGAUGAGCGCCACAUGCUCCUCGUUGUGGCGGCCUUCAUCCUUCUGCUCAAUUGACGAGAUUAUGCGCCAGGCGGCGCGGAACGAGCCGAUGACGUUCUUGAAGGCGACGCUAAGCAGGUUGUGCUCCUUCACCGUAAGCUCGAUCCCGACGGUGAUGGAGUCGACGACAAGCUUCUUCAUGAAGCUCACAAUCUCCUCGUACCGCUCGACCUGCUCGGCGAGCUUCGCCAUGUACACGUACUGUUCUCUGCUGAGGUUUUCAGGGACAACGGAAGCCAUUGGAGCAGGUGAGCUGAGAAGUAGAAAUCCUGAGUAGAGCUCUUCUGACUCUGGAGUCAGUGGCCUCAUAAAUCCCCAUUUGGAUCCUCAUUAGCUCACCCACCAUCAUGGCCCACCUAGGCUUUCCUAGACCUGACCCGACCCCAGACCCGGCUGACUCAUGACUCUUCUUGGAGCCGGAGCCCGGUGAUUUGAGACCCAAUGCUUUCUUCAUCUUUCUGGCAGCUGUGGAAGUGAGCAAUCUCUGCAGCGCGGGGGAGUCUUUGAGGGAGUUGGCGUGUUGGGUUGACGAGUCAGCGGAUGAGGGUGUGAAAGUCAAGGCUUUUCCGGUGGAUAUCGUGGGCGGUGAGUCGAAGGUCCGAGUUGCUGAGUUGGGCCGAAAUGGCGGAUGAUGUGGUGGUGGUAAAUGGUGGCUGGGGUAAGGUGAUACCUCUUUUGGAUUAGCCCAGCGAAGAGACGUCUUUGAAGAGGUGAGCCAUAGAGGCAAAUAUAGGGGAAGAGAGGAAGAGAUGACGGAGAGCGAGCGUUAGAGAGUUUUCAUUUCUGCAUUUUUUAGAGAUGGGUUUUGCAGUGACUUUGGUUCCUGGGUUUCUGCUGAUUCACGGUGGAUAUUGUGGUGAGGUUUCACAGUGGUGAGAUGAAAAAAAAUGAAAGAGAACCGACAUAACUUUUCGUGUCGUUUCCCACAAACGGCGCCAAAUGUUGAUGCACAAAAUCCGGAGGAUCUUGGACCAAUGUAAAUUCGGCCGUGAAUCACACAAAUGCACAAGAACACAAAGAUGUAUCGUGAUUUACCCUAAUGUUUGGGCUACGUCCACACUGAUGUUGAUUCUGAUUCACUAUAUGAAUGUAUGGAUUACAAUAGAUCGGUAAUGGAGCUCUCUGUGGAUGCAUCCCUUGCCAUUUUGCUCUCUGUUUGGCUGAGAAUGUAUUGCCCUCUAUUGUUGUGAGGGUUGAGACUCUAUUUUCUUUCUGUGAAGGUCAGGCUCCCUUAAUGAGAGUGAGGGAGAGUCCCUUUUAUAGAAUAAGGGCUCCCUCCCCUUUUACAUAAAUCAUGGACUUAGGGAUGAGGCCCAAAGACGAGGCCCAAAGACAAGGCCUAAUAUAUGGUACCAACAUGAAUCAUCAUCACCUCCAUAUUUUGACGUCAAAGUGAAAGAAGUCUCAGUCACUACAAUCCGCGUUCAGAAGCUUAAAACAACGACAUCUCGUUCCGGCUUCAGAAAUUUAAUACAAUUACGAUCUAACCAUCGAGAUGGCGAUUAUAUUAAAUACAUUUAAGUCUUGUAAGUUCUUCGUUAAAGUGAGACUUUAAUUUGAGUUUCAAUAUGAUACUUUAGUCAAAGUGACUUAAAAUUUUAAUUUUAUUCAACCAGAAAAAUAGUAUUUAAGUUUUGACUCCAACCAUCUCUAAUACACGAGAAAAACUUGUAUGAAUUUUAACUUGAUGCAGGACAAUGUUAGACGACACUACUAGCCACUCUAAACUUGCCACUUGUUCAAAUUUAAGCACUAUAACACAACUUGAGGAAAAGAACUCCUCCACCCAUCCUCUAUAGCACGGUUUCCAAAAUCCUUCUGAAGUUUCACUUGCUGAACUCCAAUUUUUGUUAUCAGCCAUUUUCAUUUUGACUAAUCUUCUCUGUAUUUGUUUCAAUUUUAUUGGAUGUCACCGAAGGGACAUUUUGACUAUAAUUCGAAGUUUGCACUUAGUUUUUUUUUGUUUGAUCAGUCAUUUUCAAAUUUGUAAUCUCCGUCAGAUGAGCACAAGGAUUUACCAACUGUUCAUGUAUAAUUGACUUUAAUUUGUAAUCUCCGCUUUGGUUUUUGCUUUCUUUUUUCUUCCAAGUAUUUUAUUCUAUUACUUUUUGUUUUACCAAAUCAAAACUCUGUUUAGGAGUAAAUGUUGAAAUAUCAAGGAGAUAUUCUUGUGUGCGGACUCUCCUAUGAGAUAGAGCACUAAAAGGGAAUGGGGGAAGACGGGUACAAAGAGUCCACCUACUAGAUGUAAGUCGGGGUUGUUUGGUUCCCUUCUCUCAAUACAAAUAAAUUAGAUUUUUUUCGUAUUUCUAAAUUCUUGAGUUUGAAACUUUUUUUAAGUGUAAUUUUAUCUAAGUCUUACAUGUCAAAACAAAUAAUUUUAAAAUUUUUUUUUUUUUUAACUAUAUAGAUGUUAAGACAGAUUUUUUUUUUUAGGUGCCAUAUUUUUUUGUAAAAAAUCUAAGGACUGGCCUGCCAUUUUUGGUGCCAUAUAUUGAAUAUAGAUUUCACAAAAAUCCCUUAAUUUUGAUAUCUUGAAGGGAAAAGGAUUGGAUCCUUUUCCUGGGGAUCCAGAAAUCAUGUAUAUUCAUCAUACAUCAUGUGGUCAGAAAUCAUUUAAAAUUUAAAAUUAAAUAUAAAUAAUAUCUAAAAAAAACUAACCGUACGAUGUACGAUGAACGGACAUGAUUUCUGAAUCAUCCGGAUAAGGAUCCUUCUCCUUCUUGAAGAGCCAUAUCCUUCUUGAAGACCCAUAUCCUCGUUAUGGGCCUGGGUGGCUAGUACAUAGGAGCAAGUCUAGUGGAAACGACAUGGGUUAGGGGUUGGAGGUUUUAUUUGACCUCUCAAAGUAUCAUUAUUUAUGAAAUUCAGCCAUCUCACAAUUUUGUUGCUCUAACGAUAUGAGAGAUUAGAGGUUAAAAAGUGUUGGGUGACUAAUUUUCAUUAGCUACCGGUUUGUUCCUAAGUUGACCCUUCAAGGGCAAUCGGCAAGAUUCGGGGCUAAACUGGCUCCUUGGAGGGCCCUGGGCGAGUUUAGCAUAAACUAGAUAUGUCCCAUUAAAAAUUGAAUUUUAUCAUGUACAGCAUUUUUACCUAAACUAGCUUGCAUGCAUUAGAUAUGCUCGACACACCAAGCUGGCGCACAAGAGAUUUUGUGUUACAGGUAACAAAUGCUAUACAUCUUGAAUUUGGCAUUUUACUUUAAUGAAAUUUUUCAUAAAAAUGGUUUGGUAAUGAAACGAGUAUAUGAACCAACAUGAACGCACCUCGGGGACGCCUCCGAAAAUUGGAACGACAGUAACAAAUAGGAUCAUGUUUACCAAACUCGAAGCUGGUCAUCGAUGCUAUAAAAGGUGUUUGUUCUACUCCUUGGCGUCUGAGGAACAUUUUAGAAGAUAUCAUACGGUUGGCUUCAGCUUUUGAUGUGAUCACUUGGAACCACGUCUAUAAGAAAGACUUUGUUAUUUGACUGUAUUGAUACUGAUUGUAAUAUGAGUGACUUUAUCUAAUGUUAUUCAUUUGGAUAAUGCUAGGGAUAUCAAAAUAUUAAACUAAAUUUGUAAACCAAAUGAUGUGUUACUAAUAUCAAAUAAGCACAUUAAUCAAUAUUUAACUAGUAAUCCAAUGACCAACCAUUACAUCAUUUGAUUUAUAAAUUUAGUUUAAAAGUUUUUAUCUCCUUAGUAUUACCCUAUAUUUUCCUAAAAGAAACUGGAAUUUCCAAAAAUCUAAAAAAAAAAAAAAAAAAAAAAAAAAAAAAAAAAAAAAAAAAAAAAAAAAAAAAAAAAAAAAAGAGAGGCUGUCAUCAUAAAAGCAAUGGUUUAGUCAAAGUUGCCAAUGCUGAAGUUUAUGGGUGUUUUGCCUUUUUCAACAGAUGCUGACUUUUCUCUAUCAAUAGUGCGGGGGCUCACUGUUUGAUGUCCUAUGUAUGACUCUAAAUGGUUCAUAUUUUCAAUAAAAUUUAAUGCUCUCGCACCGUUCACACACUGUCGGUGUAGAGAAAUUAGUGUCCGGCGUCUGGACCACUAGAAACCUACAGCUUAGCGAGCAUUAUUGUUCACCGUCAUAAAUUAUGAUGCAUGCUUAUUAUAUACUUAUUCUUCUAUUAUGUGUCAUUCGUUUAAUUUUUGAUAACGUGAAAUUACAGAUAGUUAGAUAUAUGGUGAACUUGGGCUAUAGGAUGACGGUGAGCAAAUAUACUCUCUACGGAUACACUAGAAAAUCUCCCAUGACCCACCACCCAUCACUGCCCUAAUUUUUGAACCCUCCCACCUUUCUUUCGGUUUUGGCCGGUGCCUGGACAAAAGACCUUCUUGUCAGUAUGGUUCACAAGGUGCAGGCAAAUUGUUAAAAUAAAGGUCAAACUUUCGUGAAACCGUGCUAUUCAGAUCUUGGUUCUGUGGUCUGUAAUAGAGUGCAGUACUUGGUCGUCUCCUUUGUGUUUAAAAAUAAAGAGUGAUGUUGGUGAUGAAUUUCAGGUUCGUUCUUUAUACGAUAUGUUCUAAAUUUAAUUCUUAACGCUGGUGAAUAGCACAAUGGUGGUUAGGGGAGACUGAAAUAUUUAUAUGAGUCUUUCCGGUCCUCGAAUAGUGAACUACCGUGGCGAAGCCACUAGUUGGUCUCCUUUUGAAAAAAUAUAACAAGGAAGACCAAAUUUGUAAACUUAAUUUUGUAAACUUAAUGACAUGGAAGUCCACGAUUUGAUUAUUACUUAAAUGUCGAUUACCGUACUUAUUAUUUACUGAUGACACAUCAUUUAAUUUACAAAUUUAGUCUACCUUGCAUUAAUCAAAAGUCCUCAUAUGUGGCUUUUUUUGGAACUAUACUAGUUUAUUAAUAUUUUGACAAAAGAUGUAACCAUUAUGUGGGAAUUAAGAUCCUCUCCGAACUUUUUUGUCUAGAGUCAACGCAUCCGGAUAUCCGGACCACUCAUUUUAAAUCAUGCGGUUCUCAUUAAUCUAUUUUACUAACCCACCUCACACAAGUCAAGAGUCUGAAUCUUUUUUUUCUCUCUUCAACCACUCGAAUCUUUGAAUCCUUGAGCUCUGAACACAGAGAUCCGAAGAUGAUCUAGACUCAUUCAUUGAUGAGCAUUGAUGAGCGAAGUCACUUUCAAAUAAUAAUACAAUUCUUAAUUGCUUGAAAAAAUGGGUCAAAAUUAUUGUUCGUCCAUGCAAGUUGAACAUUAUUUUGUGUGAUCGAUUAGGGGAAAGUCCACUGUUUAACCACGUAACACAGUUCAUGUAUAUAUAGAUAGAUCCAUCAUCACUCAGAACUCACAAAAGAUAAAGCCUCUCCUGCCCCUCGUAGGCCAACAGAACAAUGGCCAAAAUUCCAGUGGUAGAUUUCUCGAAAGAUGACUGCUUGAAGCCGGGGACAAGUUCUUGGCUCUCGGCACGCAAAGACGUUUGCCGUGCACUGGAAGAUAUCGGCUGUUUCACGGCAAUUCUUCCCAACAAAGUUCCAAAGGAACUUGCCAACACCUUCUUCUCUACAUUUGACGACUUGUUUGAUUUUCCAACCAGUACUCCUGAAAAGCCUUUCUUCUAUGCAACUUCUAAUUCCGGGCAACGAACCUACGGGAUCAUCAACGGCACAAACCCUCAAGAUGUUCAACAAUUCACACAUCUCAUUUGGCCCGAUGGAAAUGAUCAAUUUAGGUAUGAUCGAUCACUUCUGCAUUUCUCAAACAUAUAGAUCUUAAUACAUACAUACAUACAUACAUAUUAUAUUGAUCAUAUACAUCAAUUUAUACAAAUAAUAUGUUCUUUGUUACCCAGUGAGAGUGCUGACUUUUAUGCAAAAGUGCUGUCGGAAUUAGAUCAAACUGUGACAAGAAUGGUGUUUGAAAACUACGGUGUAGAGAAGUACCACGACGAUCACGUUCGAUCGAUGUUUUACGAUUUGAGAAUGAUUAGAUACGAGAAACCCGAGAAACUUGAUAGUGAUGUAGGUUUAAAGAUUCAUACGGACAAGAACUUCUCCACCAUAAUCCAUCAAAACCAUAUCAACGGUCUGGAGAUAAAUACAAAGGAUGAUGAGUGGGUGCUUUUUGAUCCUCCACCUUCAUCCAUUAUAUUCAUAGCAGCUGACGGAUUUCAGGUAUGUCACAUAUUAUUUACCCUUUGAACACGAGUAAUUUGAUAACCGUUUCUUUUUUCCUUUUCCAUCUUUUAGUUAGUUUUGAGUUUUCAAAAUUUGGCUUUCCAUUUUUAUUUUUUUGACAAAUAUUUUAGCAAAGCAAAUUAAGUUUACUUGUUUUCGAUACGAGUAAUUUAUUUUUCAGCAAGGACGUUUGUGUUCUUUUAUUGGCUUAGGUUUGGAGCAAUGACAGAAUCCGACCUUGUAGACAUAUAGAGUGACCUUGACUGAAAAUGUCGUAAGAUACACAUUUGGUGUCUUCUCUGUCAAGAAAGGGGUGAUACGCGUACCAAAUGAGCUCGUGGACGAAGACCACCCGUUACUGUAUAAGCCUUUGAAUCAUGUUGAGUUCCUCAUGGCACAGAGACAUACUGGUGAAACUGAGUAUGCCGCAAAGGCAUAUUGUGCCAUUUGACAUUUUCUUUGGUCCAACGCUCCAAGUCAAUCCCGCUAUGGUUUUCUCUUUCUAUUUUCUUCCAUGUAUUUUAUUAUUCUACUUUUAUUUUUCUAAAACAGUACUAGGUUUAUGGGUAAAUGUUGAAAUAACAAGGAGAUAUUCUUGUGUGCGGAUUCUCCUAUGAGACAUAGAACUCAAGGGGAAGGAGGGAAGACAGAGUACAAGGGGUCCACCUAUUGGAUGAACGCCGGUGAGACUCUCUCAGUAGCGGAGCCAAUGUUGGGGUCACUGGUUGCCCAUGACCCCAACAGCUUCAAAAUUCCUAUAUACAUUUGAAUCUGUAUUUGUAUUUCACCCCUAUAAAUAGUUAUGGCAAACUAAAUCAUAACAACCUCCUCCUACUAAUUAUGUUUUCUUUUGUCAUCCAUAUUUUCCUUUUCUCUUGUCUUGCGUGCCACUUUAUUGUGCGAACCAAUUGCUCGACAAAUGUCUCAGUUGACAACCUUAGCAGUCUUCAACAUCACUCGAUAGUUUCGUAUAGCUACCCUCGAUAAGCCUCUAUUGAUCAUAGUAGUUGUCGAUAUAGGUAAGUGUAAGCUUUUGGCAAAUGUCGGCAAUAAUCGACAAGUGCCCAUCAGGUGCUCGAUGAACUGGUCCAUUGAAGUUUUUUUGUCGAAAUUAUGAUCUCAUUAUUUGAAAAUCUUAACCCCGCCAUUAGACCCUCCAAUAAGUCUUUUGAUAUUGUCUCUGUAUCAAUGGAUUCUCAUUUGCCAUACAUAACUAAGAAGUAAGGCCAUGGCUUCAAUAGGGCACACAUCCAUCUAUUAAAUAGCCAAAGGCCGUAAAUGAUCAAAUAAUGGCCUUGCGCUUGAUUCAACCUGAAAGAAAGGUAGCCACUCUAAGAGCAACUUCACCGUUGCUCAUUGCAUUGGGGUUAGGCAACCCAAUCCACUCCCUCCCCUUUCCCCAAAACACUCAAAUUCACUCAGGCAAUUGGGCUUAAGAUGAGUUCGAUGGAGAAGUCGAGCAAUAAGAGCACGUCCAGUGUGUAAAGGCUCCCCUUGGCAAUAGGCAAUUCAAUCCCCUUAAUUGAAUAGUAAAUGCCCUUAAUGAACAGUAAUUACCUAUUGUAUCUCCACAUAUACUAAAUAGCCUAUGCAAUUCACAUUAAAAUAUUAGUAUUUUUUAUUUUAGAAAACAAUAAAAAAUAAUUUUAUUUUUAAUUUCGGAUAUGAUUUUUAACCGAUCACGUCAUGCCACAUUUCAGUAUCCAAAAGUACGAUUUUUGUGGGUAAAUUUCGAUAAGAUUUUUAACCAAUUCUGUAGCACCUCAUGUCUUUACCUGUUUAGAAUCGUUGAAAAUAUUGAAAUGUGGUGUCUUUCAAUUGUGGCCCAAACCUUGGAAUAUCAUAGGGCGAUAAAAAUUGUAUUCCGAACUUAAUUAAUAUAUUUCAAAUUUUCCUAAGCAAUUUUUGGGCAUAUUUCAAGCAACCAAAGUCCUAGCCUGGAUUGGAGGAAUGUUGCUUAAGUCUUAGUAUUAGAUUAACCUAUACAAUUGCACCAUCGAACUUAAUAAUUAAAAAGUAUUGUUAUGUCCACCCACCUAUCUUAUUUUCUCACCCACUUUAUAAUUAAAGAAUAUAUGUGUGUGUGUAUAUAUAUAAAUAUAUAAUGGAUGAGAAAAUAAGACAAGUGAAUAAACAUAAUAACAAUCUAAUUGAAUAAGCGUAAGAAUAUUAACAAAUAAGACAAGUGAGUAAACAUAAUAACAAUCUAAUUGGCCGUAGGAGGCUUAUCCUUAUUUGCUCGGAUUCUUCCGUUGCGUUCCAAACCAUACAAUAUACCAAUCUCGCAAAAUGCGCCUAUAAAAUUGUCAAGUAUAUGAUUUCAAAACUUAUAAUUUCGAUUACAAAAUUAAGAGUGUUUGGAAAGUAAAAAUAGGCUGUGUCAUACUUACGAGGGUCGUUGAAAGUACUUGGUCAUAGAGAAAGAGCAACACCAGUGAGACCCCAAAUUUGAACAAAACCAAUUUUUAAACAUCCAAAUUAGUUUUAAUAAAAAUAAAAAUAAUAACUUAUUACUUAUGUUUAAUUUUUUAUGCUUGAACCCACAACAUUGCACAUUAUUGAAAACCAAAUUAUUGAAAAUGCAGGGAGAGCAUAAAGUUUAAGUGUUAAGCCACCCCAUUGCAUAUGGUCUAAAAGUGAUGAGAAAAAAUGAAAACCAUAUAAAACAAUGAUAAUGUUAUAAAUGUGAAUGACCCCAUCUAAUGAUAUUGAAUUCAUUCAUACUAGCGCAUCCAUUUGCCUAUAGAACCAAUUCAAACAAAUGUUUCAGACAUACGAGAGAGAAAUAGUAAGCCUCAACAACCAAUAUUCCAUGCUUUGAUAUUUUCCAUGAUAAAUCCAAAAUUAUUAUAUGAAACCAUCCACAUUAGAUUAGCAAUACACUCCAUUAGAUUAGCAAUACAAUGUAGCUAGCAAUACACUCCAUUAGAUUAGCAACACAAUCAAAACAGAAACAAUCAGAUUUUGUGUCUCAGACAUCCAAGGAAGGAAAAAAAGCAGCAUAAGCUCUCAAGCCCGGCGAAAGGCGAAAGCUCUUAGGCGGCCACUGCGAAUGUUCUUGAGAAACAAGCCUUUGGAUUUAUCAUCACAGACCAUAAAUUAUCAAAUUUAACAAAAUAAGACAAGAAAUGUAAAAAAGAAAGAACAAGGGCAUCAGUUCUCCAAGGUGAUUGAUAAAACAUCAAUGAAAUUCAGACGCAAAUUACCCAUAAAUACCAAUUUGAUUCAUCACCUGCCCACAUUCUUUUCAAGCAAAGAAAUAACAAAACGAGUGGGGUUGUGUGUGGGAGUGAAAUUUGAAGUGUGAAAAGCGAUGGAAUUUAGAAAGAAAGCGAUCGGAACCUGUCGGGAUUCACAGUAACAUCAAACUGUUACCAGUCAGUGGAUUGACAGACAUGAAUUUCUAUCGUCACCUCGCUUUCUUCGAUCAAACCCAGUUCCUAAAACAGCUAAAAAAUCAUAAAACAAACUAAAACAUGAAACCAAUAGAAUUAAAGGACGCUCAGAACUUCUUAGAGGGUUGUGACCGUCAUCGACGGAGCUCAAAAGCUGCCGCCUUUGGCACAAAGAGCUUCAUCAAGGCCAUCAUUACAGAGAAUUAAAUGGAAACACACAGAAAUUAGGAGUCAUGAAGGGAAACGGGGAUUGGGUGGAGGCGGGAUGUUGAAGCGGCUAUGGACUUGAAGGAGGAGGAGGAGGAGGUGAGCAGAUGCUUCAAUUUGGGGAGAGUUGUUGCGGAAGAGGCAAUUUAUGGACUCCAUGAGAAAACCCUAGUUUUGUAAACCCUAUGGGCUGAAACGUUGGGCUGCAUUGGGUACCAGGAUUAGGGUGCAGAAAUAAUUUUCUUGGGCUUUAACGGGCUGCUGCUUCAUGAAUAUUUUUGUUUUUACUUUCAAAUUUUCAUUUAUUUAUGGAGAAAAUUCAGCAAUCAGAUUCAAACUGUAUCUAAAGUCUUUUAAAAUUAAAUUAAAAUCAAAUCAAAUAAAACAAAAUACUUAUCAAGAAGUGUUGUUCCAUGACACCAUAUUUUCUACCCAAGUUUCAGACCGUUAGAUCGGUAGAGAUUGAAGCAUUACGGUUAAGGUUGCAGGCAUGGAGGAUUAAUUUUUUAUUCUUCAAAUAGUAAAGCAUAUUUAAUUAUUUUCUUCAGAUGAAAGUUUUUUAUUGGCUUUUUUACUAAUAUGUAAUUGGAAUGAAAGAAAUUGUAUUAAGGAGGAGAUGAAAUGAGGUGAAGCAAAAAAUUAGAGUCAUGUCGAAAUUUUUUACUUCAAUUUGUUGAGGCCCAAAAAAAAAAUAGUCAUGUCGAAGUUUUUUACUUCAAUUUGUUGAGGCCCAAAAAUGUUACACACCAACCCAACCAAUUUUCAAGGCCCAAUUUUCAUAUAAAACCUUCACUCAAGCCCAACACAUGCCAAUGUGCGGGAUCGAUAAGGAAAUAUAUGUACGAACAUGCCACACCACGAUAAUUAAAUUGGAUAUUUAUACAAAUCACGCAAUGCUCAUGCCUAUUCAUGACGCCAAGCUUCCUCGUGCUAGUCACUAUUCAUGCUAAGCCCAAAUCACAUGCUCGAAGCUUGCUAACUGAAUUGUGGUGCGGAUGGUUACAAAAGGUUAUUAGGCCUACCUAAAAUUGAGGUUAUGGAAGACUUUAGGCUGCUUGGGGGCCUAGGAUCCAAGCCAUAUCCUUUGCAUUUCAUGCAGGCAAGCAUUGAGAGAGAACUAGCCUAGUUUACCUCUUUCCCUAGCAAGCUAACCCUCUUAGUUAAGACUAAACUAGAUUCCUACAUUAAAUGUAUGCUAAACCCAGUAAGUCAGGCAUUUACUGUUAAUUUUCCCUUCCUAGCUUGCACAGAUAACCAACACGCAAAAGUCAUAAGACGCGUUACCAAAAGUAGUGUUUGCGAAAGGCUGGCCUGGGAAAGCCGCAUCUCAGGAAGAAGCAAGUUACAGGUUUUAACAAUGUAUUUACCUUACACCAAAAGGGAAACAGUUGGGGGGGUUAGAGAGAAAUGAAGGGGAAUACCAAGCCAAAAAGGGAGAUUCCUUUGAAGUCUAGAUAAUAACCCUUCAUUUACAAAAUGAGAGAGAGAAACCAUUAAAGGGGCAUAAAGAGAACGCAGAUAGACAAAGUCAAGAAGCACCACCCAUGAAGUAAACCUAGAAAGCUCCAUUUAGCCUAGAAACAUACUCCAAGCGUCAAGAAUCAUCAUCCAUGCUACCUUAGAAAUUCCUAGCCUUCUAUUAAAGAUCCCAACCAUUAGAAGCCUUGCUAUCACCCUAGGAAAGCCCAAAUCAUCCAGCCAAGAAUGUCAUGCAAUCAUACAUACCCCUUCUCUCUCAUGUUAAACCGGUAAUCUUUUAGCUUCCACACCACGGCCUUGGAUUCUAUAACCUACAGACAAGGUUAUGCCAAUUGUUGUGAAGUUCAAUAAUGAUUGUGUGCCGAACUUUAAAAGUAACAUGAAAGUAACACUUCACUUCGUCGAGAAAGCUAAUGAAGUGACCUAUUUUAGCAAAAGAAUCAAAGAAGAAACCAGGGCACAAGGCCAAACACUGUUUUCUCUCCAACACUUGACCCCAAUUGACAAUCAGCUAGUACUUUUUUUUUUUUGGUUGAAAGGUGGAUUCAUGGAAGAAACCAGGGCACAAGGCCAAACAAACAAACAGAAAGCUUGUCGGUCAACCAAGAAACCAUGAACACAAAGAUAAACAUGACAUAAGAAGACGCCUUCAAGAAGGACACCAGCAUCAUCCUAUCUACCCACAAGGAACCCCCCACCCUUACACUGGAGGACAUGAGAGACCGUCUUUGAUUGAUAGUCAGCUGGUACCUGAGGUCCUUAGAUUGAGAAAGACUUGUCAAGAGUUUUCGAUCACAUCAUUCGUUGGACAUCUCUCAUAAAAGCAUACAAACACUUGUAUCAUUAUCCCACUGAACUCUAAGUUAGAGUUAGUCUUAAAUUAUAAGCCAUAAGUAAACCAUUAGACUUGGUUUUAGGUCCUUUAGUAGAAAAACUUGUGUAGAAUCUCCAACCUUUCUAAUGAACAAUGUAAAUCCAUAUUUAUAUACCAUUUCCAACCGAAGAGGGCUAUUUUAGCCCUCUCAAUAAUUUAUUAUUUUAAGUUUGUUCUUUAUUUUUAUUGGUUAAUUGAUUUAAACUACCAUAUUAAAAUAAGGUUUUCGGACAUAUUUUGAGUGUCACUUAUCACUAAGUGAAUAAGCCUCCGGAUUUCUUAUUCUUUGGUUGAAGAUAUGGUCAUUUGAAAAAAUAUUGAAAAUUUUGAAUUUAGAUUAUUGGAAGAGGUAAGGGAGGGGUGUUUAUGAAAAGGAUGUGAGAAAUGAUGUAGAAAUCACUUAGGUAUUUAUAGGAAAAAAAAUUAUUUUUUUUUUAAAUUUCGGCCUUAAAAAACAAACAGGCUAUCUGAUUGGCUAAAAAUGCCCAGCAUGAUGGCCAAAGGGCUAAAGCUUGGCCUUGUGGGUCCCUUUUUUUUGGCUCAGCCCUCCAUUAGAGUUGAAUUUUGGAGCAUUUUGGGCUGGAUUUUAGCCUAUAACCUAUAGCCAUCUCCAAUGGAGAUAGCCUUACCAAACUCGAAGCUGGUCAUUGAUGCCAUAAAAGGAGUUUGUUCUACUCUUUGGCGUCUGAGGAACAUUUUAGAAGAUAUCAAAUGGUUGGCUUUGUGUUAAACCCCACCCUCGAAUUUAUAUGUAUUUUUAUAAUUUCCCAAAGUUUUAUUGAAUUUAUCAUUUUGGUUCCCUAGCUUGACUAAAUCUGGACCCUUUAUCUAGAUUCCUAAACUCCCUCAAAUUGCCACGUGGCAGCACCCUAACAAACCUUAUAUAUCUCUCUCUGUUCCCCCCGCCCUCGUGACUUCUUCUUCUUCUUCUUCUUCUUUAUGUUUAUGCUUUCUCUCCCUUCUCUAUUCUUUCCCUCUUUCAUCGAGACACACACACACACACACCCACUUGCACCCAGCUGCAUUCCCUGCUCGAGGAAGACACAACCAUCGUCAUCAUCAGAACCUCUGUAGUUCUCUCUAUCUCAUGUUGCUGUAGGAACGACGAAACCUCAGAAACCUCCAACGAGAAAAUCCGUCGAAGCUCGUACACAAACCCGACCAAUCUUGACCGCAUUUGAGUCUAUUUGUGGUAAAAUCUUGCUUCCCUUCUCUUUCAGCAUCAUUUUUAUGAUUUAACUUCCUAUUUUUACUUAGUUUUAGGUCCAAAUCGGAAUCGGGACGAAUCCCGAUCAAACCUUCUGGUGUUCUUCCUCGAUCACCUAGCAGGCCACCCGCGAGCCUUAACUUGUAUUUGGACAAGCCCAAAACCCUAAAACCCAACCCGUUUCCUCUUAUUUUCUACUAAUUGUUUUAAAGGCCCAAAGGUGCCUCAGACCUAUUUUAUUCAAGUGGGUUUAAGCCCAGCCCUUUUGAUUUUUAGGCCUGCGGGCCGAGUAUGUGGGUGUGUGCAUAUAUGGUGUGUGUGUGUGAGUGUGUGUGGUGCACAUGUAUAUGUGUGUGUUGUGCCGUGUGUGUGUGUGUGCUGGCGUGUGUGUAUGUGUGUUGUGUAGGUUUGGGCUUAAGCCCAAACCACCCUUUUUGUUCCUAAACUAUUCAAACCCAAAACCCAAUAGGUCCUAACCCUAUUUAACCUAAACCUAAACCCUAAUCCGGAUCCAAACCCAAGACCCAUUUCCAUUUCUUGAAAUUUUAUAAUUGGGUAGUAUGAUAAAUUGUACAUUUUUGUGCUUAGGUGAAGUUGCUAGCGGGGAUUUCCCUAAUCCUUUUCCGCACAAUUCUGCUGCUACGGAGUAUCUGUGAGUGGACCCCUUCUAAAAUUUGCAUAAUUUUAUAGUUUAAUUGCAUAAAUGAAUAGCAUGCCUUAUGAGUUUAUGAACUGAUUUUAUGUUAAGCAUGUUUAUGGAAUAUGUUGUUUAUCGUCUCGUUUUUUGUGAGGAAUUAAUUAUUAGCCUAUAUUGAGCUAUAGUUUGAUAUAUCGUAUUUUCUAUAAAAACCAUGAAUUGGUAGACUAUCUGAUGGAUGACGAUAGGAUGCUAGAACAUAUUUUAGAAACCCCUCUUUAUAGUAUAGAUGAUGGAUGACUUUAUACUAUGAAGUGGUUAUUUAUGAGAGGCAUAACUAUUUGUGCGUACCUAGUGGACACUAUGCUGCCUGGGGCGAGGAUCUGGUGUUGGCAGAUAAGCCGGGAGAAAUAAUCCCUAACUACGGGCUGAGGGACAUGGAGCAGGCAUUUGGCCAGGAGUUGGUAAUCUCUGGCUACAGGCGCAGAGACCACGGUGCUGGCAUAAGGUCGAGAGUUAUAUUUAUUCAAUGAUCUUACUGGCAGCACACCCCGCUUACGAGACGAUCUGUGAGACGAUUGAUGUUUUGAUUUCCGCGAUGUUUUUUCGCGAUAUGUCUUUUGAGAUAUUUUUGGCAUGCCAGGGUUUUCAGUAAACCUAUCACUUAUUAUGUUAGUAGUUUUCUUUAUAUAAACUUGGGGGUUAGUAUGUUGAUAACUGUUUUAUUAUAUAUAUAUAUAUAUAUAUAUAUAUAUAUAUAUAUAUAUAUAUAUAUAUAUAUAUAUAUAUAUAUAUAUCAACUUGGUCCACUCACCUUUGUUUUGCGCCCCCAUUCAGGACUUAGAAUUGAGGCAUACAAUCCCGGCGUCAAGGCACUUCCGCAGCGGCAUCUUCGAGUCCUCUUGGUGUAGGACCUACUCCUUUGUUCAUUCAAUUUUAUAUGAUUUCUUUUAGUAUUCUGGUUAGUUGUAUGCUUUGAACACGUUCCUUAAAUGUAUAUUCAUUAUUCUUUUAUAUUUCUAAGUCUUAUCUAUCCCUUGUUUGUAGCAUUUGCACUCAAUAAAUGGCUUUUGUCACCUUCGAGUGUCGGCCAGCACGUGCCUAUCCUAGUAUUAAGGGAAUAUCAGGAUCGGGGAGUGUCACUUUGGCUUUUGAUGAGAUCACUUGGAACCAUGUCUACAGUGAAGAGAAUUUUCUAGCAGAUGUUGUUACUAGUACGAGAUUUAUGUAUCAUAAUUUUCAUGUCUGAACAGAACCUUGCUGCCUCUAGCAAAAAACCUUUCAAAGUACCUCCAAAGGAGACGCCAAAUUCAAAACAUCAAUUUCAAUUUGAUGGCUGACUUGGUAAUUUGACAUAUUGUCAAGAUUUUCCUUCCACCCGAUAUGCCAAAAUUUACUUCUUCAUUUAUGUUUUUUUAAACAAAAUUAAUAAACGUUGGGUUGUUGUUGGUUUAAAAAUAAUAAAAUAAUACUUAAAUAUGUCAGCUUAACUUUCUUUUCCAUGUCAUCUUUGACAUCUCCAUUGAAGUAAAUGAUACGUCAUUUAUUACUGUUAUAUAUCUAUAUGAAAUUUUUAACAUUUCUUUUAAAGAUGGUCUUAGAAGUGACUUUAUCUAAUGUUAUUUCUCUCCUAUAAAAGGAAAUUGGAACUUCCAAAAAUUAAAAAGAAAAGAUAAAGCUUUCAUCAUAAAUGCAAUGUUUAGUCAAGUUGCCAAUGCUUAAGUUUAUGGGUUGUCUGCCUUAUUCAACAGAUGCUGACUUUUCUCCUUGAAUAGUGUGGCGGCUCACCAUUUGAUGCCCAGUGUAUAAAUAAAUAUAGUCCAUAUUGUCAAUAGACUUUUUAUUCAAAAUGAUGUCUGAGAUUUGCAUAACACAUUACCUUGGUCAUUGGGAUUGAAAAUCAAUAAAAAUGGUCUCUGAGAUUGUUCACCAUCCAUUAUUUUGGUCAUUCCGUUAAAAACUCCGUUAAAUGUCCAAGAGCUUUUGGUCGGAAGUUUGGGCAAUUUUCAAAGCUUUGUAACGCAGGCGUUUCUUAACCAAAUUCAACCCAUAAUAUAUCAAAAUGAAGAUAGGAAAGUGUAGAAUAAGAUGAUACCUAUUUGGAAGCCCAAUGGUUUCUGGAGAUGAUUGAAAAAUAGCCUGAACGUUAACUGGUCAGCAGAAAAAUUAUAAAACUCGCCAGAAACUGGGUAAAUUUAAACAUUCAUAACUUCUUCAAUACUUAGCGAAAUAGAGUGGUUCAAAAACAAAAAUCAUACUUCUCGACGAGACAAAGAGAAUGGUACCUUUGUUGAAGGCUAACUCGCCGUGCUUUGGCCGAAAAAAGGCUCGAAAGUGGAUGUCUUGGUCAUCGAGUUAGCCACUUUCGAGCCAUUUUUUUCGGCCAAACCACUGUGAUUUAGCCAUGAAGAAAGGUACCAUUCUCUUCGUCUCGUCGCGAAGUAUGAUUUUUAUUUUUGAAUCAAUCAAUUUCGUUGAGUAUUGAAGAAGUUAUGAAUGUUUCAAGUUUACCCAGUUUCCAGCGAGUUUUCCAGUUUUUCCACAGACCAGUCACCUUUCAGGCUAUUUUCCAGGCAUCUCCAUCAACCAUUGGGCUUCCAAAUAGGUAUAAUCUUAUUCUACACUUUUCUAUCUUCAUUUUGAUAUAUUAUGGGUUGAAUUUGGUUAAGAAACGAUUGAGUUACAAAGCUUUGAAAAUUGCCCAAACUUCUGACCAAGAGCUCUGGGAAACUUAACGGAGUUUUUAAUGGAAUGACCAAAAUAAUGGAUGGUGGACAAUCUUAGGACCAUUUCUAUUGAUUUUCAAUCUCAGGGACCAAAUUGAUGUGUUAUGCAAAUCUCAGAGACCAUUUUGACUAAAAAGCAUUUUCAAUAAAAUUCAAUGCUCUAGUGCACUGUUCACAUAGUGUGUCGUUGUAGCGAAAUUAUAGUGUCCGACGUUCAAACCACUAGAAACAUGCGGCCUAGUGAGCAAUUUUGUUCAUCGACAUAAGUUAUGGUUCAUUAUAUAUCUAUUCAUCUGUCACGUGUUUUUGACUUAAUUUUGGUUAUUUUUCUUUUAAAUUAAAAUAGUAAUACUUAAUGUGAAAGUUAAUUAAGAUUAAAUGAAAUGACAUGUGGUAGAUGCUUAGGUGUAUAAUAAACGUACAUUAUAAUUAUGCUUAGCUGUUCAUCUUCUUGCACUUGAGUUUGAGAAUACUGCAUUGGCGAAAAAUGAUAUUAACAAUUGGACUGUAUUAAUGUCCUUAACGCGCAGCCUGCGAUGGUAUUGUGUGGCCUCGAAAAUGAUUAGCGGCCUAAUUCAAUUGAAAACCAUAAAUGGAGGGAGGACUAGUUGUUGGCGUAGUAAUCACUCCAAAAUUCCAACAAACAAUACAAAAAAACAGUGUUUGGGAAUCAUAGUCAUAUGACCAAACCGACAGCGAAAGGAGUGGACUUUAUUAUUUUACAACAAUUCCUCCUCCUCCUCUCUGUCACUCUCUCACAAUUCACACAAAUUAGCACCCAAUGUCCUUCACCUCUAACAUUAAAAAUACCGUCUAAUUAUUUUUCUCACGUAAAUAUCUGAUAGUUUUUAUUUGGUGUAAUAAAUAUUUGAUAUUUCUUUUAAUAAAUUAAUAUUGGUGAAAGUGCAACAGCACAUUUUAUAUAAAUAAAUAAAUUAUUCAUUCAUAGUUUUCCUUCCUAUUCGGAUCUGUACCUACCUGUGAGGGUGAGGACAUGUUGCCUUGCUUUGGCAUCGUACCCCAUCAUUUUCUUCUUUUGGUCCUACCAAAUGUUCCAAUGAUUUAAUCAUAUAUAAACGCUUCACUUUCUCCAUUUUUAUACUUAUUUUCAUAGGUUUAAUAUCUAAUGAAAAUUGACAUUUUAUUUUUAGACUUUUUUAUACAAUGUAUAUUAUGGCUGUAUGUAUUUUGGGGAUGAAAAAGAAAGACUUGUACCAAAGCAGCAUGUCGAGAUAUGCCUAAUAUGCAUUCCAUAAAACAUUUAGUAAGCACAAAAAUGACUCGUACCAAAUAUUUGGAGGAUCUCGCAUGGUAUCUCCAGCAAUAUGGAGUUGAAAUUGGCUGCAAGAAGAAAACUGCAUCAUUUUUCUUCAAAUAUUCCUUUGAAGGGAGAAUUUUUUCAUUGUGACGGGAAUACGAGUGGUACACCACGUGUUUUUAUGUAAGUGGUGGGAAAUUUUAUUUUUUUAAGUUAUUAACUUUUUAGCACACAUAUCCUACUAUUUGUAUAGUAACACGUAAUGUACCACUCCGUAUGCCAGUCACAUUAAAAAAAUCUCUCCAUCCCCUGUGCCCCUUUUUUGACUUUCUUCAAAGAAAUUGUGCUAACUAACUUAAGAUACUCGCAACCGUGUACGUAAAAUGCGUAAAGGAGCCAUCAUCCCAUGUGCCCCAUUUAGGAAAAGGAUCCUUACCGAAUCAUUUUCUUAGGGAUCAUAGGGAUCCCGUAAUUGUGAUCAUUCAUUGUAAAUCAUGCGAUCAGUUUUCGUUAGGUACUAUUUAUAUUUAAUUUUAAAUUUUAAAAUGAUUUCUAACCGGACGAUGUACGAUGAACAAUCACGAUUAUGGGAUCCCUAUGAUCCCUAGGAAAAGGAUCCGGCGUGGAUCUUUUCCACAACUAUACUCUCCUACUCUCUCUCUCUCUCUCUCUCUCUCUCUCUCUCUCUCUCUCUCUCUCUCUCUCUCUCUCUCUCUCUCUCUCUCUCUCUCUCUCUCUCUCUUCAUUGGAUCUUCCUUACUUCUGAACUAGUCUCUCUCCCUCUCUUGCUUCAUUGGAUCCUCCUUAAUUCUAAACUAGUCUCUUUCUCUCUUUAAUUAACAAAGUAAUCUCUUUGCAACAACUCCUUGGAAGGUGUGUGUUGAAUAAUAUAUACUAAGGGGAUAUUGUGGAUGCAAAUUUCAUCCUCCUUGAUCUUGGACAAAAUUGCACCUACAAAACAAUUAACACCUUAGGUCAAGGCCAAGAGCCUCAUGCGCCCACAAUGAAUGGGGGGGGAGGCUUUGGCUAAAGAACCUCCGAUGCCAAAGUUAGAAUUUAGAGAGAAAAAGUGUUUGAGAAUUCUAGAGAAUUUUAGCAAGAGUUGGAAGUCCCCUUUUGGGAGAGAAUGGUGAGCUAUAUAUAGGGAAUGGAGGUGGCCGGCCCUUAGAGGUUUUUUAUGUGAAAUGGGUGAUUUGAUUGGUGAUUAAUGGAUUAAUUAGGCAUUAAUUAACCAAUUAAUCUCCAUUUAUAUGGAAUAAUUUGUAGGUUAUGAAGUAAUUACCUAAGAUGAGGAUGGAUGAGAUAAUUUGGAAUUGGUUACCUUUUUUGGACACUCUUGGUGAAUGAUUGUCCACUGCUCGCGCGUAGGACAACCGAUGUGUCUCAGUGGUAACUUUGUCCUUUUUACCAAAAAUCCAUGUGUCACCUUGUGAUUAUUUUUUACUCCACUAUAUAUACAAGGGAUAUAUUACACUAAUAUAUACUAAGGGGAUGCAGAAGAGUAAGAACCCAAAAAAUAGUGAAUUGAAGAUAAAUGCCCUAUUUAUAAGGGCAAUCCACCAUCUCUCAUAAUUAGGCUAAACUCUAGUUCACCGAAGCCAAUUUGGGAGGUGUCUGUUCUAUCUCAAGGUUUGCUAGUUCAUUUUCAAAUGUUUUAGUUUGUUUUUAUCUUUAUUUGAAGAUUGGUGACAUUCCUUAUUACUGUGACAUAUUAGAUUAAUAAACAACAAAGAAUUACAUAAUCCAUACGUCUUGUCUUUGUUAAUAUUAAAUUUCAUUGGAUGCUCUGCCGAUCAAAGCUGAAACCAAUGGUGGAACAAGACAAUCCAAUAUUAAAAUUUUAACAAAAUUGGGGGGUGACAUGAGAGUUUUAAUAAAAGUUAUGAACUGAUGAUGCCGUGCCCCUAUUUUGUCUUUCUUAAUACGUGCGAACGCAUUGAAUUAUCGUUGUAUAGAGUAGAAGGACUCGGCUGACUCUGUCCCUCCACUAGCACUAGGAAUUAGGAACUUCCUCGCAUCAGGAGGAGCUGCAUUCAUUCUUAAAUUCACAUUUCUUUGAGUCCUCCACUAAGGAUAUAUUAUAGUGAAUAUUAAUGAAAUAUUUUUGGUACUAUUUACUUUUAAUGUUAAAGAUGUUUUUAUUUUAAAAAGUUAUUCCUGAUACUAUUUAUUUACACUUUUAUUUUAUCUUUUUUAUUAAAAUUAAAGUUUUGAGGAUUUUUCAUUAGUUUUCCUUGUAAUAUAACCUUUUAUUCCUUCUGAACGCACAUGGCUUCUGCAAUGAAAGUGCUGAAUGCACAUGAGCAUUUUUGUUCAUCGACAUAAGUUAUGGUGUAUGUUCACAAUAUAUCGAUUCAUUUGUCACGUGUUCUUAACUUAAUUUUGGUUAACUUUUUUUUUUUAAAUUGAAACAGUGAUAUUUAAAGUGAAAAUUAACUAAAAUUAAGUGAAAUAACAUGUAUUAGAUGCUUAGAUGUAUAAUAAACAUACACUAUAAUUAUGAUAGCAAACAAAAUGUUCUCCACGGGCUACAGUAUAAAAAAACUCCCAUGACACAUCACCUAUCACUGCCCUACUUUUUGGACUGGGAUCACCUCCGGACCCCUCCUGCUGAGCAAAUUGAGCAAAAUAUCUCAUAAAUAAAUUUAAAUUGAAAAAUUCUCACGCAAAAUAAGGUAAGAUGAAAAUGGAAUGAUGAGAUAUUUUGCUCAGUUUGCUUAGCAGGGGGGAUUCGAAAGUGAUCCAUGUCCCUAAACCCUCCCCCACUUUCUCCACUUUUUCCACUAUCUUUUCUUGUUUGAUUUAUCUCCCUUCCUUUUUCAAUUCCCUUCAAUCUUCACUUCUCACACUUUCUAUUUUGUAUUUCUUUUUUUUUAUAAAAAAUUAGUAUAAGAUAUUAAUAUUACUUAAUCAUGACCGUUCAAAUAAGAAGGAAAGGAAGAAGAGAAAAAAAAAGAGAGAGAAAAUCCUUCUCCAUGGACAAAAGACCUUGUCAGUAUGGUUCACCAGGUGCAUGCAAAUUGUUAGAAUAAAGGUCAAAUUUUCUUGAACUGUGCUAUUCAGAUCUUGUUCUGUGGUGUGUAAUAGAGUGCUGCACUCGGUCGUCUCCUUUGUCUCUAAAAAUAAAAGGUAAUGGGGAUAGAUUUUAGAUACGUAUUUCAUAUGGUAUGUUUUGAGUUUAAUUUUGUCAAUGGUGAAUUGCAAAAUGGUGGUUAGAAGAUAUUGAAAUAUAUAUGUGAGUCUUUCCGGCCCUCUGAAUGAUGGGCUGUCGUGGCAAAGUCACAAGCAGGUUCAUUUUUUGAAAAAAUAUAACAAGGAAUACUAAAUUUGUAACUUCAUUUUGUAAAAUAAAUGACAUAGAAGCCGGUGAUUAGGUUAUUACUUAAUUGUCGAUUACCGUGCUUAUUUUUUAUUGAUGACAUAUUAUUUAGUUUGUAAAUUUAGUCUACGUAGUAUUAUGAAAAAUCCUCAUAUAUGGCAUUUUUUGGAACUAUAUUAGUUUAUUAAUAUUUUGACAGAAAACGUACCCAUUCAUUGACAAUUAAUAUGUUCUCUGAAUUAUUGUGUUUCAGUCGAAUUCUGAUAUCUCGACCACUCAAUUUAAAUCAAAUGGUUCUCAUUAGCUUAUUCUAUUUGCCCACCUCAAAUAAAUUAAGAGUCUUAAUCUCUUAAUAGUUUGAAAAAAAUGGGGCCAGAAUUAUUGUUCAUCCAUGCAAGUUGAUCAUUGUUUCUGAGUGAUACGUUAGGGGAAAGUCAAUUGUUUGACCACAUAACACAGUUUGUGCAUAUAUAGAUAGAUCCGUCAUCACUGAGAGAACUCACAAAAGAUAAAGCCUCUCCUGCUCCUCCUAGGCUAGCAGAACAAUGGCCAAAAUUCCAGUGGUAGAUUUCUCGAAAGAUGAUUGCUUGAAGCCGGGGACAAGUUCUUGGCUCUCGGCACGCAGAGAUGUCUGCCGUGCACUGGAAGAUAUCGGCUGUUUCACGGCAAUUCUUCCCAACAAAGUUCCAAAGGAACAUGCCAACACCUUCUUCUCUACAUUUGACGAUUUGUUUGAUUUUCCAACCAGUACUCCUGAAAAGCCCUUCUUCUAUGCAACUUCUAAUUCCGGGCAACGAACCUACGGGAUCAUCAACGGCACAAACCCUCAAGAUGUUCAACAAUUCACACAUCUCAUUUGGCCCGAUGGAAACGAUCAAUUUCGGUAUGAUCGAUCACUACUGCAUUUCUCAAACAUAUAGAUCUCAAUACAUACA
rnacentral:lncRNA from 1 species